rnacentral:lncRNA from 1 species
CUAUGAUGUCUUAUAUCAUAGGUUCGGAUGCUCAGUUUUCUGGCCGCGCUUAGAUAGGUCAUCUUAUCAGCAGCAGUAUUUGUGGUGAGUCCUCCUCUGUCAAGGACAUAAUUAUUUUAUUUUAGUUAUUUCAGUAGUUCUGUAUUUCAGUCCAUCAGAGUUAGUUGGGGAUUGUCCCAUUAACUCCUCAAUCAAUUUUAGACACUUUUUAGACAUUCAGGCAGUUAGUAAGUUUAUCAGUCAUUUUAUUAGAGAUUUCAGUAUGUCUUCAGACAUUCAGAUUGAUGAUUUAAUCAUGUUUUAGUAUUUAAAACUUUAUGGAAUUGACAUUUGCUUUCCACACAUGUGUAUUUUGUUACUUUAUUCAAUGCUCACAGCAGGUACCAGCUCAUGGGUUAGCUUGUGGUCACUCGUGACCAUAAGCACCAUUAUCGCGACUAGGGGGUAGCCUCGGGUUGUGACAUUCUUCUAGCUUACUUCCAAUGUAACAUAAAUAAUUUCUCAUUUAUGGUGACACGCUAGAACAUUCACCAGGGUUUACAUCGAGGCAAUACUAUCCCAACACUUUCAAUAUUCAUUUCCUAGCUCUUCAACACUAAACCACCACACACUCAAUUCUAUCAUCUGUUCAUACUUUCGCGACACCACACCCACCUGAAGCUUCUACUUUUGAUGUUCAUCUAACUAUUGUGUUUCUCACUCAAUGAAUGAGCCUUUAUUGAAUAUUUCUAGUAAUCAAUAUUAAUUUCUUGAUCCCACAUUUAAAUUGACUGAUCCUUAUGGGUAUACUCAAUCGCCUGAAUUUCCACUUAAUGCUGGGAACCCUGUUAUGACAGAAGAAUAAGAAGAAGUGACUAAAAAGGUGAAAAGUUUGGAACUGGCUAUGAAGAACUUGUAAGGACUUUGGGGAUACAAAAGUGUCUCAUAUGAAGACUUAUGCAUGUUUUCAAGUGUUAGCUUUCCUCUUGGCUUUAAGAUAUAGAAGUUUGAGAAGUAUGAUGGAUACGGUGAUCUCGUAGCAUAUUUGAUACUUUAUUGCAAUCAAUUGAGGGGAUAUGGAGGGAAAAAAGAAUUGCUUAUGGAUUAUUUUAGGAAAAGUCUAGUAGGUUUAGCUUCUGAAUGGUUUUUUGAUCAAGACAUUAUUAAGUAGAAUAGUUGGGAUGAUAUGGCUAAUGAAUUUGUGCACCGAUUUUAAUACAAUACUGACUUGGGCCUCGAUAAAAAUUCCUUAACCAACAUGACAAAUAAGAGUAUCAAAAGUUUCAAAAAAUAUGUCAUUUGAUGGCUUGAAUAAGCGACUGGGGUGGAACCACUAAUAAAAGAAAGCAAGAUGGUGGAGGUGUUUAUUCAAGUAUAGGAUGAAAUUUUUUUUCAACACCUGCUACCAGCAUUAGGAAAGCCAUUUAUUAAGGUCCUAGAAAUGGGGGAGAUGUUAAAGAAGAGGAUUAAUAUCAGCCGCAUUGUGAGUUUGUAGCACUAAAAGCAACUACUCAAGCAAUUCAAAAUGGUUCAGAAAAUAUUGGAGAGAAGAAGAAUAAGGAAGAUAUAGCUGUUGUUGUAGCUAGAAAAUAUGCACAUCUUACAAGACCACAUUGUGUUACCCUUAGUUUCAAGCCCAUGUUUAUUAUCAAGCUCCAUAUAAUCACUUCCAACAUUACUAUCCUCCCUAAAACCUAUUAUACUCUAUUCACCCACAUCCAUAUCCAGUAUAUACUGCACAACCAUAUGUUCAACCCCCUUCUUACCCAUAAUGGCAUGCACCAACUCCUCAGAGUCAUUCUCCAACUAUACAAAUAUUCCAAAUCCCUUCUAGGCUCAAUUUUCUAUCUAAAACAAACAAUGAAAAGAGCCAAAAUCCUAGGGAUAGUUUCAUACCAAUUGGAUAAUAAUAUACCAAUUUGUUCUAAAAACUAAGAUAUUAGGGCAUGAUCAUUCCUCUCCUUGGGUUUACCCUUGACCCACAUUAAAGAAAUUAUAAUCCUAAUGUAUGAUAUGCAUAUCAUUCUGAUGUUUAGGGUCAUAAUACUAAAGAUUAUCAUGCUUUGAAAAGAGAAAUAGAAAAUAUAAUUUAAGAUAAAUCAAUUAUAGUGCAGGAUAUUCACAGUGGUGAAAGAUCUAAUCAUGCUGAUAUGCAAACCAAUUGCUAAGAUGUUAGCCUCAGCAAUUGGAAAGUCACUUCUCUCCUUAAUAGGAAGUAUUUUUGGUAAUUUUUUUCUUUUCUUUUUUUUAUCCAAAUUAUUUCAGGAUUGUAGUUCGUGAUCUAUCUUGUUUUGUUUCUUUAUCUAUAUGUUCAAGCCCUUCUAUCUUUCUUUUCAAUAAAGUACAGUAUUUAUAUAUCAUUUUAUUUUAUGUUGUUUGUUUGCCUUCUUUACAUAGUAUAUUUUAUGUUGGUUCUAGUGAUAUGACAUACUUGCAGAAUUUCUAGUUAGAUCUUAAAAUUUAGUUUAAUCACAAAACAUUGAAUCAGAAUGUUAAAGUUAGAAAAAGAGCAUCUGAGAAAAUAGAUAGAGUAUUAAGACAUCUGGUGCCUAAGAUGAAGUCUUACUUGAAUAAAUUAAUGCAAUCACUUUGGGAAUCAUAAGAAUAACCUGGUCAUCAAUUGAAAUGUAUAUCUCAAUAAUUUUAAAUUGGAUCAAACAAUGGAUAUACGAUCUGCUAUCAACAAAAAUAAAAGGGAAAUCUGCUCUACUAAAAUAUGAGUUGUCCAAUGUGAAGUGUGUAUAACAAAGGUGGAUUUGUAUGUUUGACAAGUAUAGAAGAAGAAGUAACACACAUGCUCAGUUAUAGUUAAUGUUGUGGUAAGACGAUAUAUGUAAUCUUCAUCUUCCACUUUCAUAUUGCAUGGUUUGUACUUGCAUUUUUAAGGUUGAUAUAAUGAAGGCAUUUCAUUCUACUAUCCAAACAUUGUGUCAUCCUAUAUUUAUCCUAUAUUAACUUUGGUACUAUUAUUUCUUUCGUACCCCUCUUUUUGAAUCAAGAUGGAGUCAACAAAAGUUCAGAAAAAAAAGUGUUGAGUAAAAGAAUAGAGUCAGGAAAAAUUCAAAAAAUAAAAAGUGAGUAAGGAGUGGUAAAUUUACCACUCAUAUACAUUCAAAUCUAUGCACACUACUAUGUUUAAAAGGUGUUAUUGAGAAAAAGUUGUCAUUUGAAUACACUAAUUCCCAUAUUUUGUUGGCAUAUAGGUAAUGAGAAGAAAAAAAAUGAAAUGAGCUGAAAAGAGAUCAAAAAGGGAAGAGUUAGUGCAAAAGCUAGAAAAGAAGGAGUAAGAACUGACCCUCAGUUACCGAGAUAGCAGUCUAGAGGUCAAGAUUGCAACCAAUGCAACUCAGUCAAAGCUCAUGAUCGCGAUGGGUUCAUCAUGAUAGCGAAAUUUGUGAUCAUGGUCAAGCAUUGGUGUUCUCUAUUGAGCAACAAAUAGCCGAAGGGCAGUUUUGUCAUUUCCCACAGCUGGUUCCAAUUCUCUAUAGGAUGAAAACCCUUUCAUUUUAUUUGGAGAAUCAACUAGAAUUUAAGUCUGAGUUUUGUAAAAACCUACUAAAUUGGGCAAGUUUCUUGUAGUAAAUUUUCCAAGGAUUUUAGUUGUAAUUGAAGUUGGAUUUGAGAAUAUCCUCACCUUGUAUCUUCAGCGAAAACAUUGAAUGAUAAUUUUGGUAUAUUUCUUUUCUCAAACUUCAUAAGCAUCUAAACAUCUAUCUUGGGGUUAUGUUAGAAUAGGCUGCAAAUGUGUGGGUUUUGAUUAUUAGUGUAGAUUCUUGGUUAAUGAUAUUGGGUUUCACUAAUAUUUGUUUGUUGAAUUGGAAUAUAUGGGUGAAAAUCCCAAAUUCCCAAAAUCUCACAUCAUCCUUGAAAGAGGGAUGUGGGUAGGCUUUUAGAUCCUAUAUCAUCCUUGAAAGAGGAAUAUAGGUUACAAGGUAUUAGGGUACAAUAACUAUAUGUUAGAUUAUUUCUUUACAUUGUGUUAGAAAUAGGAAUUCCCAAUUGAGGCUUUGGGUGUCACACCCAUGAGGUAUUCGAAAAGGUCUAUGGGUGACAUUUUUGGUGUUUUAUUGAAAAACUAGCAUCAAAACCCCUAACUUAGCCUACCUAUAUAGUCAUUAACUAGAAUUUGCAUUUGAUUAUCAUGAACUCAUGCAUUAUUUUCCCCUAGAAAGACAUAAUCCCAAGACUCUUCUCCUAUUGAUAGUUUAUCUACAAUUGUUGCUCUAGUUUGGUAGUUCAAGUAUUUUUGUUUAAACAACCUUCCCAAAAUACCCUGGGUUUGGAACCUUAGAAAAUUUCCUGGAUUUCUUGAUCCUAGACAUCAUACAACUUAUGGAUACCAGUCGUAUGAUGGGGUAUGGUUGGUAUGCUCUUGGUUAUAUGCUAACCGGUGUUGGUUGGUGGGUUAGAUUAGUUUUUAGAGUGGAUACGACUUGCGUGGUUAAAGUCGUAUAGUUAGUGAUGGAUCGUAUAUUCUGGGUUUUUCCUUCACAUAAUCUAAGACUUAGUAACUUAACUUUGAUCUGAGUACGAGUGGCUCACAAUGAGCCAUAAGUUAGGGUACGAGUCGUACCAUUGACUCGUAUGGUAGAUAAUGUUCAAAAUUCCUUUAGUUUUAUUCUGCCAGGGAUAUGGUUUGGGGGUACUAUUUAUAUGGUUAGGUAUGAUUUAGUUUGGGUAAGUCAUAUACUGGACAGUGUUGGGUCCAAGAAUGAGGCCUAGGGUACGAGUGGUAGGUACCACUCAUAUGGAGGUGUAUGACUGGUAUGGGGGAGUCGUACCAUCUGACGAGAAUUUUAAGCAAUUUAAGUUGGGGGUAAUCUAGACAUUUCCCUACUAAACCUCUUAAGGCCCCACGACUUAUAGCACUAUUGGGACAUCAUUUACCCUAUUAUUCUAAUCUUAAACUCCUAGAAACUCUCUUUAAUUCUCUCUAAGGCUCUUGGGUAAAAGAAGUCUAGGGUUUCAUUUAGAGGAUCAAUUUGGGGCUUGUACGAGUGAUUUCUUUUCAUCAUUUUUGUAAUCUAAGACAUGUACUGCUACCUCAUUAUUUUUUAACUAAAGGUAUGUUUUAUACAAUGUUUACAUGGCAUGAUUAUUGUAUGAUUUUGGGGUUUUCAAAUAUAUGUUGGGGUUUUGGUAUUAAAUGUUCUGUUAUGAUUUUUCUAUUUAAUUAUGUAUUUACAUGAUUUAAUGAUGGUUUGGACAAUUUGUUACAUGGAAAUAGUAAAUUGGUAAUUGGAUUUUAUUUUGGAAACACUAUACCCCCAACAUGUUUGAUAAUGCUUUUACUAUAUUAUUGGACUUUUAAUGGAACUAUUGCAUGGUAUGGUUUGGUAAUGGAACCCUAAAUGGUUUAAAUGGUUUGUAAUGGUUAAAUGGUAAGGUUUUGUGGUCAUAGUUAUGGUUACUUAAACUUCCUUGUGGGGGACAAGGGAAUCCCCUAAGUAAACAUGUUAAUGAACAACUUGUGGGGCACAUGGGAUUCCCCCAAGCAAACUUAAUAAUGGAACACUUGUGGGGUACGCAGGAUUUCCCUAAGUUGACUUGAUAACGUAAUCUAUGGGUACAUGGGAAUCCUUUUACACAAAAAGGUUGGCUAAGGACAUUGCUUGAAAGAUGUAGUCGGUAUGGUGAUGCCACUACUUAUAGCCUUGGUUAAUAAUAAUGGAAUAAUAGUUUGGUUGGAUGGUAAUGGAUUUAAUUGGGAAAUAAUGGUAGGGUGUGAUAGCUAACCAUAAAGGUACACGUCCAAUGGAUGGAUAUUAAAAAAUUAUGUUUGUUGACUUAAGGAUUGGUCAUAGCGACCAUUUAUGAUACUAUGAGGUACAUGAGAAUCCCCUAAGUACAUUGUACAUAUAUAUCUUGAAGAGAAAAGGGUACUUGGGAAUAUCCUACUCUUAUGGUAUCUCCGAUUCGUGCGGCAACACAUAUCGAGGCCCAUUCAGGGGGUUACACUGGACCCAUAUAGCUUAUUGGUGGUUCUAGGAUGAUUAAGCUACAGAUACCCAGGUUAAUAGUUUUAAAGGUAUGCUAAACCUGGCUUUCCUGGCAUAUAUAUAUAUAUAUAUAUGUAUGGUUUGUAUGUAUAUGGUUAGUUUACUUAGUUUUUGUGGAUGGCAUUAUUUUAUCCUUAUCCUAAGUUCAUGCAAACGUUCACCCACUAACUUGUCUUCGGGCGGCUAUAUCCCCACACAAUAUAGGAAUCGGACAUUCUACUCCUCCUGCUUAGUGAUCGGAUUCAGGAUCAGCUAUUGGAUUAAAGUGGUGAGCUUCUAUAUUUUGGAAGGAUCCACUUUAUAUCAUGGAUGUCUUUACAUACUUUGGUUAUUUUAUGGAUAGUGGUUUUGGCUAUGGUUGGAGGCAUUCCCCAACAGAAUAUUGUUUUUCUUUUGGUUAGAGGAUUUGUGGAACUACUAUGGUUGGAAUGGGCGGUGCCGGUAUUGAUGUCAGCCUUAGUAUUGGCAUUGAUAUUAGGGCUGAUACCGAUUGAUGGUAUUGUUGGUUGUUCCAUAAUUUUAUGUUAUGUUAUGGACAGGAACUUGGUUUUUAUAUUUGUUUGGUUAUGGUUGUUGAUUGGUAUUGGAUGGUUGGACUUAUUUGGAUUGAUCAAGGUUAUAGACCUAUCCCAGAGUCUGGGAUCGUAAUAAAUGUUAUCUUGUUAUACGUUCAGAAUUCAUUCGACUCAGGUAUGCAUAUUUGGAGGUUGGGUUUGGUAACGGGGGUGUUCCCCGGUCCUAGUUGGACAUGGGAUGCCCACUACAACAAGACCCUGGUUCGGGUCGUGUCACUUCCAAACCAUAUCCACCCAAAUUAUUUGUAUCCCAUAUUUGAAUUUAGAAAGUUACUCAUUUCAAACAUACUCGAGCACCUCUCAUAUUAUUUUUUGUGGAUUCGAUCCCGACUCAAAGUGGAGUAAUUAUUUGACAAGGAUCAUUCUAUACCAAAAUAAUGGUAUAGGUGAGCGUGAACAGUGAGUCAAAAAAGGAAGAAAAAGGUGUGUCAAAUAGAAAACAGAUACAUAAGAGUGUCAAAGAGAAAAAGAGUCAAAUAAAAUAUAAAAGGACAAAAUAUAUCAAAAUCAAGCAAAAGAACAAGUGGUUUGAACUACGUUUGACCUGAUUCUUGCUACGACAAUAUACGUAUGCAGCCCUACUAUGGGGUUCGGUCCAACUAAAUAAAUAAUGUAGAAUUAUCUAGUUAAAAGAAACUGAGGCAAGAGUUAUUAUUUGUUGCUUGAAUUGAUUCCAAAAGUUGUAAAUCUCACCCAUUUCAAGUGUUAUUUGAGCCUCAACCCAUUCUUUCUUUCUCGUCAUAUCCAAAAGCCACAUUAAAACCAAAGAAAAACUUUCAGAUCAAUCUUUAAGAAUGUAAAGGCUAAGAUUGCAAUGGAUAUAUGGAAUUUUUGCAUACUACUUGUCUUCAUCAACAUAAGAAAUCAAGUGAAAAAAAUGAAAGAGUCUUAUUGGAGAAACUCUCAUGGGCACCAUGAGAAGGUUGUGAGCUAAGAGGAAUGAAAAUGAGAGUCUCAUUGUUGAAAACCCUCAUAAACAUUGUAAGGAGAUGGUGAGCUGAGGAAAAUGAAAAUGAGAGAUUCUUGUUGGUAAAAACCCUCACAGACACCAUAAGUGAUGGUGAGAUGCAAAAAAUAAAAAUGAGAAAGGCUUGUUGGCGAAAAUCCUUCAAGGCAUCACAAGCCGAAUGAAGUCUAUGAGUGCAAUAUAUUUAAAGAAGCAACUCAUUCCGGUUUAUUGACUCAAUAACAAUUGGUUAAAAUUUGGAUGGAAAGAUCAGACAACUUAAUCCAAAAUGUAUGUCAUAAGCCGACUGACGUAUUUUGGUAAGUUUUUCUUUUCUCUAUUUUCUAAAAGGGAACAUUCCUUGAUCCUUCUUUCUUCUCUAUAUUUCUAUUUUUGUUCUGUUGAGUCUAUAAUCCAAAUAAAAAGUCAUUAUCAUUUUCUUAUGUCUUUAACUCAAGUCUAUGUCAAAACAAGUGAGAAAGAAUUCCAAAACAUGCUACCAACUUCUCCAAUUUCACAAAGUAAGACAACAGGCUAGCACAUGAAAGAAACAUGAUUGUGAGUCAAAACAAGGCAUGUAGAAAGAUUUUAUCAAUAAAUGAGUUUUAGGAUUUAUGGAAUACCAAAGGUUUAAAGGGUUUAUAUGAGAGACAUAGUAAGACAAAGAUACUGUGUUUGUUUCAAAGUCAUUCUUAAUAGCUUGAGUUUGGGUAAUGGUGCAACAAGUCAUUGACACGUGUCAACAGUUUGAAGCUAGUCAAAUAUGACAAGUGCAAGCAUGAUUGCCUCAAAAACUAAAGCCGUCACCGUGUUUAUAAACUCACAAGUUUUCAUUUUUAUGGAAUAGGACACAUGUUACUUUCAAAUCAAGGGCUUCAAAGCCUAAAUUUCCAAAAAGGUAACUCCUCACUUCUACAAAUACAAGAAGUAGUAUUUCUACACAGGUUUGAUAAUCACAAUCAUGGUAAAAAUGCAUCAUCAUAUAUCCUUAGGAGAUUGACUUCCUUGUCUGAGUAUUUCAAUUUUAUUUUUUAGGUGACGCACCUCCUAACUCAAACCUUUGGUUCUAGAAGUCACACUUUCUAGUAUAGUUAUUCCAUUUAAAUGCUAGGAGAUGCAUUUUAUUAUCUGGGUAAUUCAAGUUCCAUUGGUUAGGUUACACUUUCUAACUUGAACCUUUGCUCUUAGAAGCCGCACUUUCUAGUCGAGUCCUUCCAUUUAACCCCUAGGAGAUGCACUUCGUUGUCUGGGUAAUUCAAUUUUCAUUUGUUAGGUGACACACUUCCUAACUUGAACCUUUGCUCCUAUAAGCUGUACUUUCUAGUUGAGUCUUUCCAUUUAAUCCUUAGAAGACGUACUUCCUUGUCUGGGUAAUUCAAUUUUCAUUUGUUAGGUGACACACUUCCUAACUUGACCCUUCACUCCUAGAAACCAUACUUUCUAGUAGAGUCAUUCCAUUUAACCCCUAGGAGACAUACUUCCUUGUCUAAGAAAUUUAAAUUUUAUUUAUUACAAGGUAUAAUUCUUUUCUGGGAAAUUCAGAUUUAACUUAUUAUGUGGCACACUUCCUAACUUGAACCUUUACUCCUAGAAGCCAUACUUUCUAGUAGAGUCAUUCCAUUUAACCCCUAGGAGACGCACUUCUUUAUCUGGAUAAUUCAAUUUUAAGGUGUUAAGUGACACACUUCCAAACUUGAACCUUUACUCCUAGAAGAUGCACUUUCUAGUUGAGUCAUUCCAUUUAACUCCUAGGGAUGCACUUCUUUGACUGGGCAUUUUAGUUUUCAUUUGUUAGGUGACACACUUUCUUACUUGAACCUUUUCUCCUAGAAGCCUAACUAUCUAGUCGAGUUUUUACAUUUAACCUCUAAGAGAUGUACUUCUUCAUCUGGGUGUUCCAAGUUUUAUUUGUUAGGUGGCACACUUUAUAACUUGAAACUUUACGCCUACAAGCCGUACUUUCUAGUCGACUCCUUCCAUUUAACCCCUAGGAGACACAUUUCCUUUUCUGGUUAAUUCAAGUUUUGUUUGUUAGGUGAUGCACUUCCUAACUUGAAUCUUUACUCUUAGAAGACAAACUUUCUAGAUAAGUCCUUUCAUUUUAACCCCUAGGAGACCCACUCGUUGUUUGAGUUUUCAUUUUUGAUUUGUUAGGUGACAUACUUUCUAACUUUAAUCUUUACUCCUCGAAGCUGCACUUUCUAGUAGAGUCCUUCCAUAUAACCCUUAGGAGAUUCACUUCCUUGUCUUGGUAAUUCAAGUUUCAUUUGUUAGGUGAUACACUUCCUAACUUGAACCUUUACUCCUAGAAGACAUACUUUCUAGAUGUGUUCUUUAAUUUUAACCCCUAGGAGAUGCACUUUGUUGCCUGAGUAUUUCAUUUUUGAUUUGUUAGCUGACGUACUUCCUAACUUAAACUUUACUCCUAGAAUCUGCAUUUUCUUAGCGAGUCAUUCCAUUUUAACCCCUAGGAGAUGCACUUCCUUGACUGGGGAUUUCAAUUUUGUUUGUUAGGUGACACACUUCCUAACUUGAACCUUUGCUCCUAGAAGCCGCACUUUCUAGUCGAGUCCUUGAUUUAACCCCUAGGAGAUACAUUUAUUUUUCUGGGUGUUUCAAGUUUUGUUUGUUAGGUGACAAACUUCCUAACUUGAAACUUUUCUCCUAGAAUCCACACUUUCUAGUCGAGUCCAUCCAUUUAACCCCUAGGACACACACUUCCUUGUCUGGGUAAUUCAAGUUUCAUUUAUUAGGUGGGGCACUUCCUAAAUUGAACCUUCACUCCUAGAAACUGCACUUUCUAGUUGAGUCCUUCUAUUUAGCCCCUAGUAGAUGCACUUCCUUGCUUGGGUAAUUCAAGUUUUGUUAGGUGACGCACUUUCUAACUUGAACCUUUACUCCAAGAAGAUACACAUUCUAGAUGAGUCCUUUCAUUUUAACUCAUAGGAGAUGCACUUCCAUGUCUAGAUAUUUCAAAGUUUCAAGUGUCAGGUGUCACACUCCUACUUAAUCCUUUAUUUCUAGAAGAUGCACGUUCUAGUUAAAGUCUCUUACCUUAAUUCUAAGAAGAUGCACUUCCUAGUCUUGGCUAAUCAAUUUUACUCUCAAAAGAUAUAUUAAUUAGUUAGAAUCUUGAUUCUCCUUUACAUUAUGCAUUUGCAAGUACUUAUGAUUUGGUUUGACAAUCACAAAAUUUAUCUAAUAGUAAAAUGGGGAAAAAAAUUUAUUUGUGAAAAUGAGAAUUUAUUUUCUGUUUAGGACCCUCCUGAAAAAUACAACUUUAUUUUUGGAAAAAAUGAAAUCUUCUUUAUCAUAACCCUUUAAGAUAAUUUUUGUUCUAGUUUGGCUUUAAUUUCAGGAGCUCGCCUGGAGAAUAGCGUGAGGAAAAUGUAAGUUAGGAGUCCGCCUAGAGAAUAAGGUAAAGAAAUUGCAAGUUAGGAGCCCUCCUGGAGAAUAUGGUGAACAGAUUGUAAGUUAGGAGUCUGCUUGGAGAAUAGGGUGAAGAAAUUGCAUGUUAGAAGUCUGCCUAGAGAAUAGGGUGAAGAAAUAGAAAGUGAGGAUUCCGCUUGAAGGAUAAGGUAAUGAAAUAGUGAGUCGGGAGUCCGCCUGAAGAAUAGGGUGAACAAAUUGCAAGUCAGGAUCCCUCCUAGAGAAUAGGGUGAAGAAAGAGUAGUCAGGAGCCCACAUGAAGAAUAGGGUAAAUAAAAUACAAGUCAGGAGCCCACCUGGAGAAUAGGGUGAAGAAAUAACAAGUAAAAAAUUGCCUGGUGAAUAGGGUGAAGAAUUUAAAAUUGCAAGUCAGGAGCCCGGCUAAAGAAUAGGGUGAAUAUUUUAAAGUGAAAGUCAGGAGCCUGCCUGGAGAAUAUGUUGAAGAUGUUCAAGAGAAGUCCCACCUGAAGAACAUGGUUGAUGUUCAAGUUCAUCUCCAAUACCAAAUUUUGAAUGGAGAAAGAAUCCUUUUUCAAGUUCAACCUAAAGAGAAUCAAAUAUUUUAUCAUUUGAGAAACCAUUAAAGACUCAAGUCAAGAAAUAAGAUAAGCUGAAUAGAUAGAAUUUUUGUAAUUUAAUUUAUCUUUUUAGCUUGUAAUUUUUAUUUUUAUUUUUGAUGUAAUGACAGAGCUGCGGAGUGGAACCUUGACAGGACCUCACUCGACUCUCCAACAUAGUAUAGUCCCUCUCCUUUUCAACCCUUUGAACACAAUAGGACCUAAUUUCCUAAUAACUCGGGAUAUAUAGGAUGUCAAAAACCAGGACUCAGUCACACUCUAUAUUUCUUUUUCAUUCUUUUGAAUAAUGGUCGGAUCAAAUUUUAUAUUAUUGUCUACUUCUUUGACUGUAAAUACUUUGUAUUUACAAUCAAAGAGGGUCAUGAUGUAGACACAUAAUUUUGACCCUCCCAAACCUCAUUUAUCAAAUUUUAUCACAUUCACCAGACCCUUACCACACACCCUCACCCUAUCUAAUCACUCCCCCCCACAAAGGAAAAAAACUAACCAACUUCUUAACAAUACCCACUCAAUAUUCUUCACCCCACUCUAACAUCCCUACCCAUGUGCUCCCCUCUCACUCUCAAGUCAUAUUUUCCAUAACUCACACACGCCAUAACAACAUAACAAAAUAAAGGGAGAAAUAGAGAAAUCCAUAUAUACUUACACACCUACAAUCAAAUAAAGAAAAAAAGACGAUAGAGGAAUAUAUGAACACAUAGUAGGAGAUUGCAAAAAGAAAUGGGGAGCUUGCAUCUUCUUCAACACAAAUCUUCCUCCUUGAACACACCUAUAUAGAUAUACACUGAUAACAAAUAGAAAAAAAGGCGAGAGAGAUAAGAAAAAUCCAAAAAAUUAAGGAAAAAGGAAGGAGAAUAGGGAAAACAUACAUGGAAGGGGAAAACACUGAGAGAAGAGGAGAAAUAAAUAGGUUCUAAUUAUUCCGGAAAAAUUCAUCGAAAAAUGCCUUUCCCAUCGCUCCACCGGAGAAGCCACUAACUCCAUCCCAUCCUAAAAAUGUUGAAACAGCAAUAACAACCCAGCCCACCAGUUUUUUCCUCGUCGAACCCACUGGAAAAUGCAUAAAAUUGAAAACCAAAUCCCUCACUAGAAAAUCCAUUAUCAUCGGCCCACUCACCAUAAAAAAUACACUAAAAUCAAUCAAAACAAAUCUGCCGCAUACUAAAUCAAUUAGAAAUUAAGGUUGUUCGAUAUCAGGAUCAUAUUUGAGGUUCUAAUAUUUGAGUUUUCUAAUGAGGUUCUAUUCUUAGCUGCAAUCAGUUGCUCAAUUUGAGUCCAAAAUUUUGAUCAAAUAAUACUCAUAAUUUGAAAGCACCAAUUUGAGGUUCAGUUCUUUCUCUCUUCUUACUAUUUCUACGAAUAUCUUUGAAUGGUGAUAAUAUUUCUAUGUUUUUGGUUGUGAAUUAUUUCUUUUAUUUUGGUUGAAGCAACUCCAAUUGUUGCAUACGCAAUAGCACCAAUAUGAGAAAUUCGCAUUAGAAUUUUUUUCAAUCAUAUGAAUAGGGUUUUAAUUUGGUUUAAGGUCUGAAUUGAUGAAUUGAGAAUCUUAAAUUUAAAUUGGUUGGUUUUGGAUCAGUCGUUAUUAUUAAUUUGGAUCAAUUUUCAUUCGAUAGCAUAGUAACAUGUUUAGGCCAAGUUUGGUAGGAAAAUCAUAGGAUUUUAGGGUAGGCAAAUUGUAGGAUUUCAUAUUGUUGAAUAUUUGAAUGAUUGUUGAAUGUUUUUUUUUUGUUUUUUCGCACUUGAAUCAAAUUAUAUUCAUUUGGUCGAGGAAUACCCCGAGGUUAUCUAUAUAUAUUUAUCUAGAGAAUGCCCCGAGAAAUUUUAUAAUUGAAGAUAGUUUGUGAUCAAGUCCCAAAAUAUCGGGUGGAGCUUAGCUUUGGACCAUUUUAGGAUAGAAUAGGUUUAUAUUUUUGUAUUUUUAUUUUCAUGAUUGUAUAAUCGAAAUGGACAUUAUUUUGUUUUGAAUUCUUAUUCUGUUUUGUUUGUUUUCUUGUUUAUGUGUUUUUGUUGGUUUAUUCACUUCAUAGUGUCAAAUUAGUCGAUAUAAUUCAAAGAAGCGACCAUUUAUAACCAUGGGAUAGAGGAGUGCCUAACACCUUCCCCUUGGUCAACAAAAUUCCUUGACCAAAAUCUCUAUUUGCAGAUCAAUAUUACAAGUUCAAACCAUUUUUGAAAAAAGAAUACCAAAGGUGACUUGGCACACCAGAUUUAUGCCGAGUGACGACUCUAAGUUUAAUCAUAAAAUCAUUUUUUCUAAGGACUUUUUCAUUUUAGUCAUUUUAAUAAAUAAACUUUUCGAACUUUAAAAUCAAUUUCUUUUUCAUUUUGGUUGUUUGGUGAUACGCUUCCUAACUUGAACUUUUACUCCUAGAAGCUGCACUUUUUAGUCAAGCCAUUCCAUUUAACCCCUAGAAGACGCACUUCCUUGUCUAGGUAAUUUAGGUUUCAUUUAUUAGGUGAUGCACUUCCUAACUAGAACCUUCACUCCUAGAAGCCGAACUUUCUAGUAGUGUCUUUCCAUUUAACCCUUUUAAUAAAUGAAACCUGAAUUACCAAGACAAGAAAGUCCAUCUCCUAGGGAUUAAAUGGAAGGACUCGACUAGAAACUGCAGCUUCUAGGAGCAAAGGUUCAAGUCAGGAAGUGUGCCACCUAACAACAAAAAUUGAAAUACCCAGAAAAGGAAGUUUAUCUCCUACGGGUUAAAAUGGAAUGAAUUGACUAGAAAAAGAAUCUUCUAGGAGUAAAGGUUAAAGUCAGGAAGUGCGCCACCUAACAAAUCAAAACUGAAAUUCUUAGACAACGAAGUGUGUCUCCUAAGGGUUAAAAUGAAAAGACGCAUCUAGAAGUAUGUCUUCUAGGAUUAAAAGGUUCAAGUUAGGAAGUGCAUCACCAAACAAACAAAACAUGAAUCACCCAGACAAAGAAGUGAGUCUCCUAGGAGUUAAACGGAAGGACUCUACUAGAAAGUGCUGUUUAUAGGAGUGAAGGUUCAAGUUAUGAAGUGCCUCACCUAAUAAAUGAAAUCGGAAUUACCCAGACAAGGAGGUACGUCUCCUAGGAGUUAAAUGGAACCACACCACCAAACGUUGUACAAGGGUAACAAAAAAUCCCGCGGACCUUACAUCAUGAAAUAAUGUAGAAUCUAGGGACGAUCAGUAGGGCGAGCAUUGGCAUGUAACUCAAGGUAAAGGGAUAAAAUAAUACCAUUGGCAAAAACUAGUCAUAACCACAUGCACAACAUUUAUAUAUAUACAUAUAUAGAAUGUCAAAAUAGGGACAAGGGUCAUGAAUAUGGGAGUUUAAACCAUUAGUUUAAAAUGUGUAUCUCGCUCUAUCCUAAAGGCACCAUGGGCUAUAUGGGUUCGAUUCCUCCUACUGGAAGGGCACGAAAGGCUAAAGACACCAAGGUGAUAGCCAUCCAAAAUAUAAUAUGUAUCCACACACAUGGUCAUAUAAAUUCCCAACGUCAGCAAAUAUUAUUUCCAGUGUUGGUCCCCCCCGGGACUACACCUUCACGGUGAGCUACACAUUCUCUUUAAAUCCAAAUUAAAAUAGUUUGCACAUAAACCCAAUAAUUAACCAAGGAUUCUUUAGUAAGGCACUUUCCAACAUGGUAUCAUUACACCAAUAUGCUUGCAAGUUAAUUCAAUUAUGCCAAAUCAGUCCAUUUAACCAUUAGACUCUCAAGUUCUUUUUAAAAUCCAAAUCAUGGCCACCAAUGGCAUUCCAAAACAAUUGUUAUCCAUUUAUCUUUUAAUGCAGUGCAAUAUUUUCAAAGGUCAAGUUAUACUAUGUAAAUAUCCAUAUUACAAAUCAAGUUUACAAGGUGGGUUGAGAUGUAUGCCAUUAUCAAGUCAAGUUUUUAUCAAUUUGGAGAAACCCAUGUUCCCCAUUCCAAUUCUCGUACAAUACAACCAUUCAGUAUAAAAAAAAUAAUUAAAGCUGAAAUACACAUUUAAAACAUGGGGAAACAAUUCAAGUAAAUAAACAAUCAAAAGCCCUCAACCCAUUUUCAAACCCAUCAAUUCAAAUCAUAUGAAUAUUGAUUAAAUAAAUGACACUAUGUAAAAUUCAAGUUAAGGAAUGAGAAACAUAUCUGAAAUAUAGAAGAAAUUGAAGAAAAAUCAAUGUUUCGAUCUUGAAUGGUGAAUUUUCUCUGACCCCUUAAAGUUUCUCAGUUGGGGAGUUAAAGAAGAAAAGUAUAGUUUUUUAUCCUUGAAAACUAAAGGGAACGGGUCCAUUGAAUGUUUAAAAGCCAUUUAAGGGGUAAAUAGACCAAAAUCCCCUUACCCAAAGUGAAAAAAAUAAAAACUGAAUGAAAAAUACAUAGCAGCAUGACAAAUCACUAUCACGGAGCUUAGCCUCCAUGCCAUGCCCUUAUCGCAGAAGUUUACUACCUCGGGGUCCAAAAAUGGCCUCGAACUCCUUCCAAAAUUUCAAAACUUUUCCAAAAUACCCUUUUAAUACCCGUAAUCAUAACUAAAGUCAAAAAUAAAUAUUAUGCACACGGGAGAGUCAACAAUAAAAUGAUCAAAAUUAUAUGGGGUCUUACAUUAUCCCCCCUCCUUUGGAUCAUUCAUUCCUGAAUGAGAAGUUAGGACAUUUUUAGCACAAUAAUAGAAAUAACAUAGUAGAAUCCAAUGAAAAAUUCAAAAUGCGAUAAAAGGGCAAAUGAAAAUCAUACCUUAAGCAUUUUUAUCUAAUGUUGGGAAUAAGAAUGGGUACUUGUCCUUCGUAUCUUUUUUAGCUUCCCAUGCAGCUUCUUCAACCUUUUGAUUUCUUUAAAGAACCUUCACCGAAGUUACAUCCUUUGUUCUCAAUCUAUGAACUUUCCUAUCGAAUAUGUCUACUGGUACGUCCUCAUAAGACAACAAAUUUGUAACAUCAACAUCCUUGAUAGACACUAUUAAAUAAGGGUCACUUUUUCAGCAUAGACACCUGGACAACAGGAUGAAUAGAAGCCAGCUCACUGGUAAAUCUAAUUCAUAAGCAACAUUUCCUAUUCUUCUCAUAAUCUGAUAUAGACCAAUAUAACAUGGACUGAGCUUCCUCUUCUUUCUAAAUCUCAAUGACUAUUUUCAUAGGAGAAACCUUCAAGAAUACCCAGUCACUUAUUUCAAAAUUCAACUCUCUUUGCCUCAAAUACACAUAAGAGUUUUGGUGACUUUGAGCAGUCUUAAGCCUUUUUCUAAUCACCUUCACCUUCUCUAUGUCUUGGUGAACCAAGUAAGGGCCAAACAACCUAGUCUCACCUACCUUAAAUCACCCAAUAGGAGACCUACACCAUCUACCAUAAAGAACCUCAAAAGGAUCCAUUUGUAUACUAGAAUGAUAACUACUAUUAUAAGAAAACUCAAAAAGAGAAAAAUGUUUAACCCAACUUCCCUUAAAAUCAACCACACAGGCCCUUAGCAUAUCUUUCAAAGUCUAAAUAGUAUGCUCCGCUUGUCAAACCGUUUGAGGGUGGAAAGCGGUGCUAAGGUUUACCUAAAUACCCAAACCUUCUAGAAUGAACACAAGAAGUAAGAAGAAAAGUGCGUACGACAAUCUGAAAUGAUGGACACCAGUGCUCCAUGCUACUUAACUAUCUCUUAGAUGAACAACUUAGCAUAAUCCUCUCCCGAGCAGUAAUUUGUCACUUGCAAGAAUUGAGUAGACUUAGUCAUUAUAUCCACGAUGACCCAAAUAAUAUCAUAUUGAUUGCAAGACCGCGGGACACUCAUAACAAAAUCCAUAUUGGUCAUCUCCAACUUCCAUCUCUUGAGGCAUGCCACCAGGCCUCAAAUGCUCAACUCGGACUUGCUGACAAACCAUACACUUAGCCACAAAGUUCGCCACAUAUCUCUUUAUAUUAUUCCACUAGUAAAUUUCCUUCAAGUCAUGAUAUAUCUUAGUUGAAUUAAGAUAAACUGUAUAUCUAGAUUCAUGAGCCUCAGUUAAAAUUAUUUCCCACAGCCCAUCACAUCAGGAACACACAACCUUCCUUGAUACCUUAAGACUCCAUCUCCCCCAAUCUCGAAAGCCAUGACCCUUUAUUGACCCACAUCAUCCUUAAUCUGCAUAAGUUUGGGAUCCAAAGCCUGUUUAUCCUUCACCUCUGCACCAAGAGAUGAUUUAACAACUUCCUGAACAAUACUCAUCCAUCCUUAGAGUUUCAGAGAUGAACUCUCAAGUUAGCUAGCCAAAGAAUAUCCUUCACCAACCCUUUUUUCUCCUCAUAAACAUGAUAUAAUCUUUCCAUAGACAACCUGCUAAGAGCAUCAAAUACCAUAUUAACUUUACCUAGAUAGUACUGAAGGCUCAUGUCAUAAUUCUUAAGAAAUUUGAACCACCGCUUCUGCCUAAGAUUUAAUUCCUUUUGCGUAAACUCAUAAUACAAGCUCUAAUGGUCUGAAUAAAUAUCCGCAUGCAAUAAUAUAAAUAAUGGGGCCAUAUCUUUAAAGAAAAAAUCACAGCCACCAACUUUAGAUCGUGAUUCGUGUAAUUCGUCUUGUGAAUCUUAAGCUGCCUGGAAGUAUAUGCCACAACCUUACCAUUCUACAUCAAAACACAACCCAGUCCCACAUGGAAUGCAUCAUAAUAUAUAACAAACCCAUCAGUACCCACGGGCAGGGUCAAAACUGGUGCAGAAGUUAACUUAUAAUUCAACUUCUCAAAACUACCCUCACAAGUAUCGAACCACAAAAACUUAAUCUUUUUCUAAGUCAACCUUGUCAGCAGAGCAGAAAUAGAUGAGAAACUCUUUAAAAACUGCUAUAAUACCCAACCAUGCACAAGAAACUCUUAAUGUUGAUUAGAGUUAUCGGUUUAGGCCACUUUUUAACUGCCUUAAAUUUUUGUGGAUCUACCUUGAUCUCCUUACUAGAAACAACAUGCCCAAGAAAGGUCACAACACUUAGCCAAAUUCACACAUAGAAAAUUUUGCAUACAAAUUCUGGUCCUUAAGAGUCUACAACACAAUUCGAAGAUGAUUGACAUGAUCCUCCUCACUUUUGGAGUACAUCAAGAUGUCAUCAAUGGAGACUAUAACAAAUAAAUUAAGAAAUUUCCUAAACAAUCAAUUCAUAAGAUCCAUAAAAGCAUUCAAAGCAUUAGUUAACCCAAAUAACAUAAUCAAAAACUCAUAAUGGCCAUACCAGGUCUGAAAAGCAGUCUUGGGAAUAUCAACCUCUCUAAUUUUCAAUUAGUGAUAACUUGAACGGAGAUCAAGCUUAGAGAAACACCUAGCACCCUGAAGCUGGUCGAAAAGAUCAUCAAUUCUAGAGAGAGGAUACUUAUUUUUCACUGUAACCUUAUUCAACUGACGAUAAUCUGCACACAUUCAAACAGACCCAUCGUUCUUUCGCACGCAAAGCACAGGAGCACCUUACGGAGAAAUACUAGGAAAAAUAAAACCCUUAUCAAGAAGAUCUUUUAACUGCUCAUUUAUCUUCUUUAGACUUUAGUUCAGAAAGAGCCAUCUUAUAAGGAGGAAUAAAUUUGGGAUGGGUAUCCAGUAGAAGAUCAAUCUCGAAAUCUAUUUCCCUAUCGGUAGAAAUUCCAAAAAUAUCAUUGAGGAAAACUUCAGGAAACUCAUUAACCUCAAGGAUAGAUUACAAAGAGGGACUCUCAGAGUUAGAAUCCUUAACUCGAAUUAGAUGAUACAACCACCUUUUGGAUAUCAUUUUAGCGUUAUAACAUAGAUAAUAAACCUCCCUUUGUCUACUAAGGAACUUUUCACCCAUUCGAUCAUUGGAUCAUUAGGAAAAUGAAAAUUAACCUUUUGGAUUCUACAAUCCAGAGAAGCAUAGCACAAAUGGAGUUCAUCCAUUCUCUAGAUUACAUCAAAAUCCAUCAUAUCAAGUUUUAUCAAAUGCACCAACAUCUCUCUAUGAAUAAUAGACAUCACACAACCCUAAAGAUUUUUCUAGAAAUAAUAGACUCACCCACAAGAGUAGAACUAGAAAAGGGGUCAAAAAUACUGUCAGGUCCAAAAACAAAAUGUACAACCAUAUAAGGGGUCAUAUAAGAAAGGGUAUAUCCCAGAUCAAAUAAGCAGUAAACAUCAGGAGAAAAAAGAUGUAACAUACCAGUUACAACAUCUGGAGAUACCUCAUAUUCCCGAUGAGUAGUAACAGUAGUGGCAAUUUCGGCCAUCGUCGGUACCUGAAGUAGCACCCUUUGGUGUAGGAACCAAACAAGUCGCGAUUGAGAACUUAUUAGCUCUAAUGGAAAAUUUAGUUAUAGGAUAAUUCCGAUGUAGAUGACCAGGUAAACCAAAAUUAAAAUACAAGUUCCUCCCCUCCUUAUAAUAACCACGGUAAAGUUGUCCAUAAAAUUGAUAAGGACAAUAAGGUGGGGCUCACUGAGCUCCACUGACCUAAGAUUGGGCACCCUAUUCCUUAGGAAAACUAGUAGCCUAAAAACAAAAAUCACCUAAAGGCUUAGGAUAAGGAUCACUCGAAUAAGAAUUUGCCCAAUUCUUUUUCUUAGUCUACUUUCUACCAUCUCUCCCAUUGUUCUACUAAUUUGCACCCUUCUCUGAAUAUCUAAACUUCUUGGUUUGCCUCUCUCCCAUCUUUACGUGCUUCUUUUUUUAAUUAUCUACCUAUUUUAUAUAAACCACCAGUCGGGAUAUGUCUAUAUCAUUAUUUAGCAUAGCAUCCUUAUACUCCAACACCAAAUCACAGGACAAACCAGAAGUAAACUUUCUCAUUUUAGACCUCAUAUUAGACACCAACUCCAGAUCAUAACGGGACAACUUCUGGAAUUUUAGAGCAUACUACUUAAUAGUCAUCUUACCCUGCUUCAAGUUCACAAACUUUUUGACCUUAGCCUCCAUCAACUAAUGAGGAAAGAAGUGAUCAAGAAAAGCACCUGAAAACUCAUCCCACACUGUUGGUUCAGCACCAUCACCCCUUAUCACUUUUCACUCCUCAUACCACUGAUAAGCCACACCUUUCAACUGAUAGGAAGCAAGCUCUACACCCUCUGAAUCAGUAGCGUACAUAACCUUAAAAAUCUUCUCUAUCUCAUUAAUAAACCCCUGAAGAUCCUCCUCAACCUUAGAGCCUAUAAAGGUUGAGGGAUUUAACCUCAUAAACUGGCCAACUCAAGUGACCUAAGAUGAACUAAUAGUAGGACGAACAUAAUCAGAACGACGGGACUGUGAUGCCACCAUUUUAGCAAGCAUAUAAAUAGACUGAUGGAACUUCAUAUUAGAGAUAUAUCCUUGAGGUAACUGAGCAAAAUUAUCACCAGCCCGAGAAGCCCGAGGAGGACUAGUAGGUAUCGUUGGAAUCCCACGUAGAGUGGUACAACAGGGACCCUAUACCAGGUCUAAACUCCAUAAACAAGGUGAGUUCCCUCCAUAUUUUCCUUAUGUGGGACAAAGGUUCCAGUAGAGUUUCUAUGAUUGUAAAAUCUUUGAAGAGGCAUGACCUAAAAUACGAGUAAUCCAUGAGUUAGAUUAGUUUCAUAACAACUAGAUUUUAAAGCCUGAAAUAGAACACAAGAAAGGAAAAUAUUCCUAAAUGCCUUUUAGGCUCCCCCUUAUAAGUAUGGUAUGCUACACACCCAUAAAAGGGAAUCUAGUCAACACGAUAUUGUGGACACCAACGACCCUGAACUAUGCUCAGAUACCAAGUUUGUCACAACCCAAACACGGGCUUAGUUGCGACGGGCAUCUCAAGCGCACAAUGGGUCGGAUACAAAGAGCACUAUAUAAUAAACAAUGGAAGCCAACCAAAAUAGUAAUAAGAAAGAUAGAUACGCCAAAUGGAAAUUCUAAAAAUCUAAAACAAACCACCAACAAUCCCAAUAAUUGUCUACAAAAGCCUCUAAAAUAAGAAAUACUAACUAAGCUGGGACAUGCCCCCGACUAUGACCAAAAGAAUUCAACAUAAAAUACUAAGACAAUAAUGAAACCAAAGAAAUGACCGGACCUUUCAAAAGAUGGACACUCACCACUUUAUAGCAAAUCAACAGAUGAACCACACCAUAUAACGUUGUACAAGGGUAAUAGAAAAUCCCUCGAAUCCUACAUCAUGAAAUGAUGAACUAUCCAAGGACAGUCAAUAAUGAGAGAAUUGGCAUGUAACUCAAACUUAAGGGAUAAAAUAAUGUCAUUGCUAAAAACUAGUCAAAAUCACAUACACAAUAUAUAUACUCCCGCCGUUUAAAAAAUAAUGACCUACUUUGACUUGGCACAAAGUUUAAGAAAAUAAAGAAACUUUGAAUUUUGUGGUAUUAAAUUAAAGUUGUGUCAAAUGUACCAAAACGCCCUUUAAUCUUAUGGUUCUAAACAUGCCAUGUGGAAAGUUGAAAUUAAAGUAUUACAAAAAAAGAAAAGGGAUCAUUCCUUUUUAAACGGACUCAAAAGGAAAGAAUGACAUUCUUUUUGAAACGAAUGGAGUAUAUAUAUAUANNNNNNNNNNNAUGAGAGUUUAAACCAUUAGCCUGAACUGUGUAUCUCGCUCCAUCCUAAAGGCAUCCACGGGCUAUAUGGGUCCAACUCCCCCUUUCGAAAGGGCCCCAAUGUGUGUUAGUCACAUAUACCGAGGAAAGGAUAAAGACACAAAGGUGAUAAUCAUCCAAAAUAUAAUGUGUAUCUAACACAUUCCCCAACGUCAGAAAAUUUUGUUUUCGGUGUUGGUUUCUCUCGAGAAUACGCUUUCACGGUGUGCUACACAAUUCACUUUAAGCUCAAAUUAAAAUAACAUACACAUAAACCCAACCAUCAACCAUGGAGUCUUUAGUAAGGCCCUUUCCAACAUGGUAUCGUCAUACCAAUAUAUUUGCAAGGUAAUUCAAUUAUGCCAAACAAGUUCAUUUAACCAUUAGACUCCUAAGUUUCAUUUAAAAUCCAAAACCAUGGCUAUGAAAGGCAUUUCAAAACCAUUGUUAUCCAUUUAUCUUUUAAUGCAAUGCAAUAUUUUCGAAGGACAAGUUAAACUAUGCAAAUAUCCAUAUUUCAAAUCAAGUUUACAAGGUGGGUUGAGGUUAAUGUCCUUAUAAAACCAAGUUUUUAUCUAUUUGGGGAAACCCAUGUUCCCCAUUCUAAUUCUCAUAACAAUGCACCCAUUCAAUCCCAGAAACCAUCAAUUAAAGUGUGAAAGACACAUUUUAAAUAUGGGGACACAAUUCAAGUAAUAAUCAAUCAAAAGUUCUCAACCUAAUUUCAAACCCAUCAAUUCAAAUCACAUGAAUAAUGAUUAAAUAAAUGAAAAAAUAUAAAAUUCAAGUUAGGGAAUGAGAAACAUGUUUGAAAUAUAGAAGAAAUUGAAGAGAAAUCAAAGUUUGGAGCUUGAAUGGUGAAUUCUUUGUGAAACCCUUAAAGUUUCUUGGUUGGUAAAGAAGAAAAGUAUAGUGUUUGAUCCUUAAAAAUUGAAGGAAAAGGGUCUGUUGGAUGUUUAAAAGUCGUUUAGGGGUAAAAGGAUCAAAAACCUCUCACCUCAAGUGAAAAAAAUAAAAACUUGACGAAAAAUACAUAGCAGUGUGGCAUCGCGUUAGCUCCAUGCCACGCCCUUAUCAUGGAGGCUAAAUGGGGUGGCACACCACUAUCGCGGAGGCUAAGUGGUGUGGCACGCCACUAUCGGAGGUUUACUAUCUCGAGGUCCAAAAAUGGCCUCGAAACUCCUUUCAAAAAUUUCAAAACUUUUCCAAAAUACCCUUGUAACACCCCUAAUCAUAAUUCAAGUCAAAAAUUAACGUUGCACACAUGGAAGGAUCAAAAAUAAAAUGAUUGAAAUUUUAUGAGGUCUUAAAAAAAAGAACCAAAAAGUAACGAGAGAGGGAGAGAGAAUGAUGGUGAAUACAAACACAAUGAGCGGCUAUGAUGUAUCUGUCAUCAUCCAUGACUUGUACUCGAUGUAACCAUAUUUUUUAAAAAUACAAAUAAAUGUAAAAUAUAAAAUACAGCCAAAAAAGAAAAAAAAAACAAAAGAAAUAAAAGAAAAAAAGAAAAAACGAAAAAGAAGAAAGAAAAGUUAUAAAUUAUAAUUUUGAAAGUUAGGCUACGAACGCUGUCAUUUUGCUGAAAGCUAGGCUAUUUUUAUAAGUCCCUAAAAUACAACUAUUAGUAUUGAAUCUCAAUUCAAAAUCUUUCUUUAAAGAAUAUUUUUUGGAAUUAUUUAUUUCUUAGGAGGGUGAAAUUUAGGUGUGUGCUGGCAACGUAGAUGAAUCAAAAUUUGAUUGAAAUUUUUGUUUAGAUCCUAUGAAAACUCCCUUGUGGUUGAGACUUUGCCAGAUCUUUUAAGGAUAAUGACAAUUUGAAGAAGAAGAAGAAAUGAGCAUAUCAUUGAGAAUUCACAAGACACAUGUGUAUUAAGUGAAAAAGUUAUAUUUUUAGUCAUUAUCAAAUUUAAAUAUCUGUUUAAUCUUUAUAGACAAUUUAAAGAGGUCAUGUAAAGUACGUCUUUACAAAUUAAAGUAUGCAAAAUUAAAGUACGAAGAGAAAAUUAUUAAAAAUGUGCAAAAUUGAAGUACUUGAGAAAAUUAUCAAAAAUGGUCGUUGAUGAAUAUUACCUUUGAAAUGUUUUAGCCCCUAAUACAUACACUGAUUGUCCUUGGUGUAUUUAAACGAUUGAUGAUUUUGGUCCUACAACGUAAAACUAAUUAAAUAAAAUAAAAAUGCUAUUAAAAAUUAUAAUUUCUACCUCCUCAUCUCUCUUUCUCCAAAUUCUAAUUUGUGCAGAAAGCAAAUGACAGUCAUUUCAUUUGCUUAAUAUCCCAAUUUCAUGAUUUCUUACACCUUUUUUACUUAUUAUAGAAGUUUAGUUAUUAUUCUCAUCUUAUAAUAAAUUAACACUGCAGUCAUUUUAAUUUAUGUGAAUAUAUUUAAUUGGAUAUGGAGUUUAAAAAUAAAAUAAGGAUUUGUGAAAUUUGUGGUCUAAAUAAGCCACAAAUAAUUGGUGACUCUAAAUCAUCCCAUUAAUCGUAAGAUAGAGAGUCAAGUUAAAUUUGUUAGUCUCUUUGUUCAUUUUUAUUUGUCAAUUUUGAACUUUAUAUGCCUCUUAAGAAACAAUGAUUGACAUGAAAAUUUUACUAUAAUGUCAAUAUUAGUUGAUAGUUAGAUCUUGAAAAACGUUUUGGGGAACAAGUAAUUAAUGUUAAGGGUAAAAUAUAAAAAGAGUAGUAAUUGUCUUUUGUUGAUAUGUUAAAAGUGACAAGCUAGUAAGAUUGAAAAUAUAUCUUUUGAAAUAGUGAACAAGUAAAAGUGAAUGGAAGAAGCACUAAUUUAAAAAUGUAUUAUUCUCUUGAAGACUAAUAAGUUAAAAGAAAAAAUUGUCGCUUAACUGAAACGAAUGGAGUAAUAUUACAGUACCAAAGUAUAUAAAAAAUGAAUGAUUCAAAACAAGAAAAGUGAAAAGGAUAUAUAUAUAUAUACAAUGUUAAAAUUGAAGUACACUUCUAAUUAAGUAAAAAAAUCAAGUUUCCCCUUGAAUGAUACCCUAUGGUUCAUGUAUCGUCCAAAUUCUUUGUCCUGUCGAAAGCAAACAACAGUUAUUUCAAUGGUAUUUGGACUUCGAAUAUAAGUUCUAACUUCUAAGCAUUGAUGUUAUAAAAAUAAUUGUACAUUAUCAGAUUAUUUUAAAACUAAUUAAUUAGUCGCGGGUGAUUCUCUAUAUAAACAUUAAUUGGUAUUCUUAAAAAUAGGAAAGUAAUCUUUUAUGAAAUAAAAUAAGGAUAAAAUUACAUAAAUUUUCAAAUUUGAGGUCGUUAUUACAUAAAAUUUCAAACCUUUAAAAGAACUACAUGAAAUCCUAGAUAUGUAAAAUUAUACUUGAUACAUAUCAAUCGUCUCCCACAAAUGUAUACAUCUAAUACAUAUACAUAUCAGUCACCUCCGAUAGCUGCAAAUUACUCCACCUUGGUGCGACACAAAAUUAUAAAAUUUCUCAAUAUCUUUGGUGUUUCUCACUAUCUCAAAUUCCAAAUAAUUCAAUUUUUUCAUCUUUUUUCUUUCCCCCAAAAAUGUGAAUUGAUGUAAAAAUAGAAAGAAAAACGAAAUGCGUUUGAGAUAAUGAGAAAUGGAGAGUUUACAGAGGAGGAGGUAAGUCUGAUUGAUAGUUUAACCAAAAAAAAAAAAAAUGUGCGUACUAAUGGUGUUGUCGGCCAAAGUUGAUGGUUAUUUUGCAAUUUUUUAAUGGAGAUGAGUAUGGUGGCCGAUUUUGUGUGUUCGGAGGUGGUGCGACAGUGGAAGUAAAGCAAUGCUGGGACAGAGGUAAUGUUUCUAGUGACUCGAGUUCGUCGGAGAUGGAAUUCACGAAGGGACGACAGUGAAGAUUGGAGGAGUUGUUGGUGUAUCUGGUUGUUUUUCGAUGGAGGUUCGGUAGUGGUGUUACUGAAGAAUUUGAAAAAUGAAAAUGUGAAGAUGAAGAAGAAAAUCAGUUUAUUAAAAAAUAAAUUCAUGAUGCAUAAAAUAACUGUACUAAUAUAAAAGUAUCGCAAAUAUGUAUCUCCUAAAUCAACACAUAACAUUGUACUGAAAUAAAAGUAUUACAAAUAUGUAUCUCCAUAUUUACUAGUUUAUUAUGUAUCGUGCACGAUAUAUAUCUCCACAUUUACUAAUUUUUUUUAUUACACAUGAUAUGUAUCUCCACAUUUACUAAAUUAAUAUGUAUCACACACAACAUGUAUCAAGACUUAGAAUAAGUAUUACAAAACGAAUUUUUUGGACCUUAUAUAAUUGGACAAAGUUAGAGUAAAAAAAUUAUUAACUCCUUAACUCAUAGUAUAAUAUUUAUUUACACUGACGAUACAUAUAAAGUUCUUUGGGGUAACAUCAAUACAAAAGCCUACAAAAAAUAGGUUGAUUUGAGCGAUGCUGAUCACCCCUAAACCCUCCUUUUAUAAAAACAAAAGCCCAUAUUUGCGCAAAAAACAUAACACGUUACGUUUCACAAAUUUUCAACAAUUACGACUUUUCGAAAAUAUCUUGCAUGACUUUUGUAUGCUUUCAUGACCAUUUAUGACUUUUACAUGAUUCCACUCGCAUAAUAUAACUUUUCAUAUUUGUUGAAUUAUUUUACAAGCAUACUCGCUUUUACAUUUGUAAUAUUUUGUUGAAGAUUGAAGAUGAAGUUCAGGAUUUCAGUUAUUAAUUGUUUCAUUCUAUUUUUUUUAACUUAGUUACUAUAGCUGCUGGUAAUAAAAUAAUAUUUUAAUUAUCAAAAGAAAAUUACUGUAGCUAUUGAUUUUUACUGCAUUCCUAGAGUUAGUUGGACAGUUAGUUAGAUGAUGAGCUGGUUAGUUAGUUGGUCGAGCAGUUAGCUUAGUGAUGAGCUUUGUAAUACGCUUCUACAAGUCCACUAGAUAUUUUAGAAUCGAAAUCUAUAAAAGACUACCAUUUGUACAGUUUUUGCUCAUAGCUAUCUAUAAAAUUCUCCAUUUCUUCAUUUCUUCAUUUCCGAGUGUUGUGAUGGAGCUUGUGAGUGAGUGUUGAAUGAGUUCUUCACCUUUAGCUGCAAUUUUCAUCGAUAAUUAAUUAAGUAUAUGUUGUGACUUCCACUUUCAUGAUUAAAUCAUAUUGCACCUUCGAUGGCAAAAAAACUUAUCAAAUGACGUAUGUAAUUUGUUAAAAUCUACUAGAUCGAUUGAUAGGAAUAGAGAAUUCUAUGAGAAAUUAGCUACAUUGAAGAAGAAAAUUGUAUUCAGUUUAUUGUGUUGGAGGAAAAAGCAGUUACAAUGAGUGUCGAUCAUGUAUUUAUAAAAUAACACAUCAUAUUCUAGAAGCUUCCUAUUCUAGAAGCUUCCUAUUCUCCUUACUAACUAACUCUGCCAGCUGUGACCAAUUGCUAAUAUAAUAGUAACCAAGCUGCAGUCACAGACUCAAUGUAAUAGUACAAUAGCUGACUAAUUAUGUACAACAACUAACUAACUAUAUUCAUUCAACACUCCCCCUCAAGCUUGAUUUUCCACAGCCUUGAGGCUUGUUUAAGUCCAUAUAAUGACUUGAUCAAUCUACAUACUUUAUGAGGUCCUUCUUUAAUGAAACCAUCUGAUAUCUCUAUAUAUACUUCUUCAUCAAGAUCUCCUUGUAAAAAUGCAUUAUACAUAUCCAUUUGUACAUACGCCAUCCUUUUGAUACUGCUAAAGCAAUCACACACCUUAUAGUUACCAUUUUUGCUACUGGAGAAAAGAUGUCAUAGUAGUCGAACCCUUCUUGUUGGCUAUAAAAUUUGGCUACCAAUCUUGCUUUAAACCUCUCAACAUCUCUAUUAGACUUAUAUUUAAUUUUGUACACCCAUUUGGAACCAAUGACAUUCUUACCUUGUGGUAGGUCAACAACUUCCUAACUAUUAUUAUCCUCUAGCGCUUUGAUUUCCAACUUCAUAGCUUCAAUCCACUUCUCAUCCUCAACAUCUUGACUAUAAAAUUGAGGUUCCACCAGUGCAGAGAAGUUAGACAAAUAGCACUAAUAGUUGGUAGAGAUAUUCUAAUAAGAUAAGUAAUUAGCAAGAGAAUAUCUUGUCCCUUUUCCCUUCCCAGGUGUAGCAUAAUCUUUCAUCUAGGCUGGUUGUUUAGGAACUCUAGUUGUUCUUCUUAGGACAAUAUUCAAAGGUGGACAACAGUGUCCUUAUAUAAAUCAGAUUCAUCAAUUGAAUCACCUAAGGAUAACACAUCUGCAAAUGAUAUAUCAGGAAUUGCAUCUGGUAUAUCAGGUGUGGAGGAGGGAACUUCUAUAUAAGAAUCUGCAUCAACAUAGUCAUCAAGUCUUGAUGGUUGUUAAAUAAUAUCUGCAGCAUUUUUAUCAGUGAAUAUAUUUACAAAGGGAAAUAAAUGUUCCUGGAAUAUAACAUCUCUGGACACAAAUAGUUUGUUAGUGGACAAAUCCAAUAGCAAAUAUCCCUUUUAUGUAGAGUAUCCUAUCAAUACUGCAGGCUUAGCUCUCUCUGAUAACUUGUCAGCUCUUGGUAGUACAGAUGUAAAACAUAGACAACCAAUAACAUUUAGAUGUGUCAAGGAUGGAGAUUUAGAGAACAUCACUUAAUGAGGACUUUUUCCCUCUAUAGAAGAAGAAGGUAACAUGUUUAGAAGAUAAGCUUCAGUUUGAACAUUUAAACUCCAAAACCUGAUAGGCAUCUUCGAUUUAAACUUGAUAGCUCUAGAUAUAUUCAAUACUUGUUUGUGUUUUCUCUCAACUACACUAUUAUGUUGAGGUGUAUGGGGAUAAAUACUAUGAUGAAUAAUACCUAGAGAUCUAAACAGGUCACUGCAUUGUGAGUUAAAGAACUCUAUGCCACAUUAUCAGAUCUCAUAAUCUUUAUAUCUUUGCUAAAUUAUGUUUGAAUCAUACAAACAAAAGUUUUAAGAGAAAUAAUAGUUUUAGACUUCAACUAUAGCAGGUGAAUCCAGGUAUAUCUACUAUGAUCAUUAAUAAUUGUCAAGAAGUUAUACUUCUUAUCAUUGGUAGGUGUUUUAUAAGGUCCCCACAAAUCCAUAUGUACAAUAUCAAAGCAUUGAGCAACUCUAGUCUUACUUAUAGGGAAAUUUAGUCUAGCCUGCUUAGCUAAAGGGCAGACAUGACAAUUAUUCAAACCUUCUACAUCCUUAUCAUGCUUCAAGAUGUUAAUCAACCUUUAAGACUUGUGAUGAUGGAUGUACAAGCCUCCUAUGCUAAAGAUUACAAUCCUGCAUAGCAACUUAUACUACAACUUUGUGACCUUGAACCUGUGUGUGUUGUGCUUUAUGAUCUUUACAUAUUCCUUUAAAAACAUAAAAGACACUAGUUUCCUUACCAAUCCCCUUCACCCUGCCACUAUGAAGGUCCUGAAAGACACAGAAGUUUGGGUUGAAAGACAUAAAACAUGAAAGUUGCCUAGUCAUUUUGGACACUAAUAGUAGGUUAAGCUUAAAAGCAGGCACAUAUAGUACAUCUCUCGCAGAUCCUUCUUUGAAAUAUGUGCUUCUCUAAAAUGUGAUAUAUCAACCUAGGAACCAUUUGGAAGGUGCACCUUAUCCUACUCUGAAAUAUCUACUUUGCAGUAUUUUGACAUGACCUCCCUAUUUGCUACAACAUGAUGUGUUGCACCAGAAUCCACUAUCCAACCUUAUGACAUCUGAUGAAAUAAUUAACAAAUAGUUUUACUUGUCAUAUUAACUUCUGACAUGUUGACUUGUUUGUUCUCAGAUGUAACGCCCCUGGUUUUGGUCCUUGAAAAUUUCUUAGAAUUUUGUACUCGAUACCCUGGUUACGACUGGACCCUAUGAGUUGUAUGGUGUCUUGAUGAGUCGUUGGGAUGAGUCGUAACCAAAUCAGUAAGUUGUUGCUAGAUUCUACUCUGAGGAUGAAUGACUCACUGAAGCCGUAAAGAUAUGUUAUAAGUCGUUAGGUGUAAUUGUAGGGUGUCCAAUAUAAGUCCCAAUUUGGGUUUGUCUUGAAAGAUAAGAGUACUCUUAAGGGUAAGGAAUGUGUAGUCUUGGAAAGGAAAAACCAAUUAGGUGAUGAAUGCUUUGAUUUCUUGAAUAUUUAAGAAACCCAAUAGGCUGUUUUUCCUUGAAAAAUGAUUGCGGAUGUGAUUCUUUGUAUGACACCCUACCUUUGUUUGAUAAUUAUGAGAAUGAAUUGCUUACUUUUUGUAAAAACUUAAGCAAUAAUCCCUUUGAUUUUUGUGGUGGUGUGUGUCUACUUGAGGGAUCUUCCAUAAGAGGAGAAAGUGUCCAUUGCUUGGAAAUUACUUUUUCUUCUACUAUGUGUGACCUUAUUGUUGAGAGUACUUAUGGCGAUGAUGUUGAAAAUAGUGGUGAGUACAUACAUGAAGACACCUUAGUAGAGGUUGACUUGAGUGAUACCUUUUUCUACUCUCUACUUGCUUUUGAUGAUAUGGAUGUUAUUCUAGAGAGUACGACGUAUAGUUUGGGUGAAGCCUAUGGGAAAUAGGAGUGUUGUCUAGACCAGUCUCUAUGACCACUCUUCCCGUUUGACCCCGAUGAUAAAUAUAGAAUUGAUGAUGUUGGUGCACCCAACUUGUUGCUUGGUCUACAUGAAAAUCAAAGUAUCACUUUUGGUGAAUCCCAUAACCAAAUCCUUUGUGCAUCUUUCAUUGAGCUCUUAAUAUUUGAUUCAAAGGAUCCUUGGUUAUAUUGUAAAUAUUUGUAACCUUGGCAUGUUGAGAUGAUUUGUUGUGCUAAUUCUAACCCUCAUGCCAUGAGAAUUUUGUAUAUGUUUGUCCUCUCUUCAGUUUUGCAAGGUUUGGAUUCGAGGCUGAAUCUUUUUCAAGAAGGGGAGGAUGAUACAAGUCAAAUGGCCGCCUUAGCUUCUGAAGAUUUCUUUGGAGGCCAACAGCUAAAGGGCCAAGACUUGGUCACCCGCGAGGCAUAAGAAUAUGCAAGGAAGGCUCGUUUUGAGCAAGACAUAAAACAAUCCCGUAUAUGGAAGGUUGCUUGGAUGCUUUACUUGAUACUAACCCAAGGACUAUAAGCCUUGAAGAAUGAACCAUCCUCAGUGUUGAAAGUAUAAAAGAGGAUCCAUUCAUCAAGUCCAAACACACAAGGCGCCAUUUAUAAAGAUGGAAGCUAGUGAGAGUACGUUGCUUUCAUCCAAGGAAGUGUACUUGCUAAUAAAUAAAGAGGGACCUUGAAUAUACUCCAAGGAAGCCUUGGAAACACUCCAAGGGCUCCUUAAAUUAGGGGUAUUAUUGUCUUUUGAUAGUCCUCUUUUACACUUCAAAGGAGCACCCUUCAUAAAGGGUAUUUUAAUCUUUGUUUGUAAUAAGUAUAAAUAGACAAUUAGGCUUCUAUUUUCCUUAGUUUUUGAAGAAUUGAUUGAGUGAAACUCAAAUUGUAUUUUCUUUCCUUAGUGUAGGGAUUGGAAAAGCCAUUGUAGUGUAGGUCUUGAAAAAGACAUUGAAACUAGGGUUAUCUUUGAGUGCGGAUUCACUUGAGUUGACAUUUUGACAAGAAAGGUGAGUGCUUGAGGAGUUGAUCCCUUUGUGUCCACCUAAAAGUGUGGUGUUAUUCUCCAUUGGUGUUGUGUGUCUUGGUGUUUGAUACACACCUUGGUGCUAUUUAUUGGUGUAGGUGUAUGUCUCACUAUCUAUCUCACUAUCUAUCCUUUACAUUUAUGCAAUUUUCUCUUCUUUUGGUUGAAUCUGUGUGUUCUCUUCUUCAUUUACUCUUCUCUAGUUGCUGAUUUCUGGUUUCUUAGGAGUAAUCUCGUGUUUAGUAGUUUGUUUUCUUAUUAUUUGGGUAGAAUGGCACUGUGUAUUUCUUUAUUGCUUUUAUGACUAUUUGAAACAACUUUUGAAACUCUUACCGGCUAUGUUAUUUACUGAGUGUUGAGCACUUGUCUCUCCACCAAACGGAUUUCCAUGGUUACCAUAUCCAUCAGGCUUUCCAUGUGACUGACAAUUGAACCCUGCAGAACCAAAAUCUUGGUAUGCCCCUCUUGAGCUACCACUUAACCUUCUCUUCUUCUUAUUUUUCCAAUCAUUAGGAUACCCUAUCAAUUUAUAGCAAGUUUCUCUAGUAUGACCAGUGAAGUGAUAGUAAUCAUACUUCUUUCCCCUAUUUUUUUAUGUUCCAUAGUAGCUUGCUGAGUUUUUACUUACUUGCAUUGCAAUUGGAUCAGUCUUUUAACUUAAUAUAUUUCCACAAGACAAUUGAUGCAUUUCAUCUUCAGUUAUCGUUGCAUAAGCCUAAUUCAUUGUAGUUGUAACUCCCUUUAACAAGAUUUGUCUUCUAGCGUGAUCAUAGGAAUUAUUCAAACCACUCAGAAACUGUAUUAGUCUUAGCUCAGAAAGAUGAUUUGCAUAAUCCUUGGACUUUGUACAUGCACACGAUGGUGUAGGAAUUACUGCAUCAUAUUUACUCCAUAAACCUUUCAAUUUUGUAAAAUAAGCUUCUACUGAGAUUGUUCCCUAUGAUAGAUUAUUGAUCUCUCUUUUCAAUUGAUAAAGUCUCAUUCGAUUCACCUUAUCAAACCUCUCUUUCAGAUCUUCCCAUACUUCUGAUGCAUUUGUUGAAUACACUAUUCCACUGAGUAACUUUACACUAACAAAACUCAUUAGCCAUGACAACACAAUGGCAUUACAGGUUUCCCAUUAUUUAUGUAAGUCCUCUCUGUAUGUAUCCUUACUACAUGCUCCAGUUACAAUUCAUAUUUUUUCUUCGCCAAAAGUGCAAUUCACAUUGAUCGACUCCACACUCCAUAGUUUUCUAAUCCUACAAGCUUAAUUAGUAUUAAGGAUGCACCAGAUACAUCUGAUGCACCUAUGAAGAAUGGAUCGCUAGGAUCAAUUUUUGGUGUCAUUUUCAGCUUUAACAAUUAACUAUCGAAAUAUAGAAAUCACAAAAAUCACUGAAACCGAAAUCUACUACGACAGAUUAGACUUCAAAUUAACAACUGCAAAUCAAAACUUGAUCUAAGAACAAAGAAAAAGAAACUACCAUAAUGGAGAUCCAAACUCCAUGAAUAUAUUCUCAACCUUCACGAUCGAGCUCUAGCUCUGAUAAUAUGUAAAAAUCUACUAGAUCGACUGAUAGGAAUAGAGAAUUCUAUGAGAGAUUAGCUACAUUGAAGAAGAAAAUUGUAUUCAGUUUAUUGAGUUGAAGGAAAAAACAGUUACAGUGAGUGUUGAUCAUGUAUUUAUAGAAUACCAUAUCAUAUUCUAGAAGCUUCCUAUUCUCCUUACUAACUAACUCUGCCAGUUUUGGCCAAUUGCUAAUGUAAUAGUAACCAAGCUACAGUCCAAACUCAAUGUAACAGUACAACAACUGACUAACUAUAUACAAUAGCAAACUAUUCAUUUUAAAAUAGUUUAAUAAUACUAGAUCAAAUAUGGCUCAUAAAAAAUAAUAAGAUUAAAGUACAAUAGCAGUUCAUAUACAUAUGUAAAGUUAAUUAUUACAAUCCAAAACAAUGCCAUGACCAACAACCAACGCUUUAUCAUCUCAUAUGAUAUGAGCCAAUCAUAUGUAUUCAAGAUCAACAUUUGAGUUUUAUUUAAAAAUCAUGCAUGAAACAAUUAUUAACAUUUAAAUGACCAACCUUUAAUAUAAAAGUAAAACACAUAAUGAAAUUAAAGUUUCAGUUAUGCAUCAUGCAUAUCUUAUUUAUGAAUAAUCAUAAAUAUAACCCAUACCAUAGUCUAUGAAACCCCUAUAACAUGAUAUGAAAUAGUAUAUCGAGACAAACGUUGGUGACUCAAAAGAAUGGACAUACAUUUGUAGUAUUCCACAGGAACAAAGUGGAGUCUCAAUCACCAAAAUAUCAACUGAAGAAGAAGUUUCCCUGGUCGCGCUACUCAUCUUGAGAAACGUCAGUCCAUGAAACAAAAAAAAAAUGGGCAGUUUGUUGUACUACUCUAGUUUUUGGGGAGAGAUCUUUGCUAAAUUCUAUACUAUAAGCAUGAGCUCAAAGCAAGUUUACAACGGUGAAAUGCAAUAUUGAAGAAGAAGAGAAGAUAUUUUGAUUUGGGGAAUUUUCUCUGUAUAUGUUCUCAAAUAGGAAAUCUACAUUACAUAUAUAGACAAUUGCAACUGGCUUCACUAACUUACAUGCCAGCUGGACUCCAGCUAAACUAACUACCUAAAUAUUAUGUUAUCUAACUAAUGGAGUAUAAUUAAUAACUACUAAUUAGCUAAUCAAUAUGGAAAAUUACAUGACUGCCAUAUGCUCAUCAUAUGUUUCAAUACUCCCCCUCAAGUUGGAGGGUGUAGAACAUUGAACACGCCUAACUUUCUCAAUAAAUAAGAAUGUUGAACGUUUUUAACCCCUUGGUCAGUAAGUCUUCUUGUUGGUCUUCAGUACCUAAAAAUAUUGUCGAGAUAAUUCCUUCCUUAAUCCUAUCUCGAAUGAAGUGACAAUUUAUUUUGAUAUGUUUCGUUCAUUCAUUAGAUAUAGGAUUAGAUACAAUCUGCAUUGCAGCCUUACUGUCACUCAAGAUUAUUACUAGUUUUACCACCUUUACUCUUAGCUCUUAAAGUAAUUCCAACAAAUAUAUAUUCUCAGUCAAUACUGAAGCCAUGCUCUUAUACUCUGACUCUGCAGAACUUAUUGAAAUUAUUUGUUGUUUCCUUGAUUUCUAAGACACUAAAGAACAUUCAAACUUAAUUAUGUACUAAGUCACAAAUAUUUUAGUAUUUGAGCAUGCUCCAGUAUGCAUCACACCAACAUGUAAGCUCUUGACUAGGAGAUGACCUCAUAAGAAUGCCUUGUCCAGGUGCAAGUUUUAGAUACCUUACCACUCUGAUAACAGCAUCCUAGAGAGACUAUUUUAGAGACUAUAUGAAUUGGCUCAAUGUUUCCACUGUGUAGCUGAUAUUUGGUCUAGUUAUACUGACAUAUAUCAAUUUUCCCAUCAACCUUUGGUAAGCUCCAAUGUCUAUCAAUGUUUGAUCUUCUUGGUAACCAGUCGCCUUGUCAAAUUCUAUAGUUGUUAACCUUGUAUUGGUUUUUAUGGGUAUUGGAGCAGGUUUUACCCCACCAAGUUCCAAUUCUGAGAUUAAUUCCAGAACAUACUUCCUUUUAUUUAAAAGAAUACCUGAUUUGGGUCUUAAUACUUCUACACCCAAGAAAUACUUAAGAUCUCCCAAAUCAUUAGCCUAGAACAAUUUGCGAAAAGCUUCCUUGGCUUCUUUAAUCAAUGUACUACUACUUCCAGUGAUAAGAAGGUUAUCCACAUAUACUAGGAUGAUGACAAUGUUAGUUCCCACCUUCUCAGUGAACAAAGAAUAGUCAUGAUUACUCUAGAUAAAACCAUCACUCAAUAUACAUCAGUUAACUUUAUAUUCCAUUAUCUUGAGGUUUUUUUGAGACUAUAUAAUGACUACAACAACUUACAUACCCUUCUCUCCCCUUGGAUUUUGAAAACUUCAAGAAACUCUAUGUAUACUUCUUUAUUUAAAUCACCUUGAAUGAAUGCAUUGAAAAUAUGCAUUUGAUGUAAAUUCCAUUCUUUAGAAGCUGCAACAGCAAUCACAGACCUAACUAUAACCAUUUUUGCCACAGGUGAGUAGGUCUCAUGAUAGUUCAGACCUUUUUUAUUAUACCCUUUGGCUACUAGUCUAACCUUAAACCUUUUUAUCUUUCCAUCAGCUUGAAAUUUGAUUUCAUACACCUAUUUUAAGCCCACGGUACUCUUUCUAGGAUGUAGGUCCAUAAUUUCCCAAGUUUUGUUGUCUUCUAAUGCCUGGGUUUCCAUAUUCAUAUCAUCAAUACACCCAUAAUCCUUAAUUGCCUCUCUGAAAUAUUGUGGUUCAACUAGGGAAAAAAUGUGAUAGGCAACAUUGAUAUUGAUCAGAUGUUCUAUCUAUAAAAAAAAUAGUUUCAUAGAGGAUAGAUUUUGGUAUUCUUGUAGUUAACAUACUUGGAAACAUAAUCCUUCAUCCAUAUGGGGUACUAGGAACAUGUUGCUGAUCUUCUACAGAUAUUUGGACAAGUGGAAAUAGAUGGUGCAUCUAUAGAAUCUUGCACAACAUUUGAUCUUCUUGCUCUGCAACAUCCAAUCACUAGGUAAAGAAGAUGGAUCAUUUUAUACUGGAGGUUAUGAAGGUGGGGAAGUCACAUUAUCUUCAAAAAAAAAAAUAAGAUGCAUAUCAUGGAAAUAAUCACUUGACUUGUAACUUAAUGAAAAGUGUUUCUCUCCUUUUCUUUUGAAAGGAAAGAUUAUUUCUCUGAAGGUAACAUCAUUACUGACAAACAAUAUGUCUAACUCUAUAUCAAGAAAUAUGUAUCCUUUCUGAACUCCUAAGAACCCCAAACGAAUUGUUGGCUUAGUUCUAGGUCCUAACUUGUCUCCUUUCACCAAGUUUGUUGCAUAACAUAAGCAACCUAAAACUCUCAAGUAACCAAAAGAUGGACUUUUAUUAUUUGACAUUGUAAAUGGAAUAGUUGCCCUUAUAGCUUUAGAAGGUAACCUAUUUAUCAGAUACACAAUAUCCUAAAUACAUAGACCCCAGUACUUUAAAGGUAUCAUAGAAUGAAACCUUAAUGCUCUUGCUAUAUUCAAGAUUUGUCUAUGCUUUCUUUCUACAGUCCCAUUUUGUUGUGUUAUAUAAGGGCAACUGAUCUGGUGUAUUAUCACCAAUGAAAACAGUAAAUCUUUGCAUUGAGAGUUAAUAAAUUCACUUUCAUUAUUUGUUCUUAACACCUUGGCCAUUUUUCAAAACUAAUUUUGUAGCAUAAGCAUAAAUUAUUUCAACACAACAAUCACCUCAAACUUUAAUUGGAGAAGAUAGACCCAAGUAAAUCUAGAGUAGUCAUCCACAAUUGUUAAAAAUUAGUAUUUCUUAUCAUGAGUAGGCACUUUGUAAGGUCCCCACAAAUCUGAGUGUAUAAAUUGAAAUAGGCAACUAGUUUUAGAACUGCUCAAAGGAAAUUAUGCUCUAGUCUGCUUUGCUAAAGGACAGAUAUGGAAAUUAUUUUCUACGACAAUACCUAUAUAUUUUUCUAUUUUAGGGAUAUAUUGCAUAACAGUGAAAGAAGGGUGUCCUACCUCAUGUUCCAUAGUUUUUGCUCUUUAUUACUACUUAUUAUACGAAUUGCUUUUACUUUUGUUAACAGUUUCCCAUCAUCUGUUGUUCCUUUAAUGAAUUACAUACCUUCCUAUUUGUAACAAUACCCUUCACCUUGCCAUUGAAGAGACCUAAAACACACAAAAACCAGGGAAAAUGUGACAAAGUAAGAAAGCUCUUUAGUCACUUUUGACACUGAUAAAAUAUUGAAUCUAAAUUAAGGAACAUAUAACACACCCUUCAAAGUAAUAAACCAGUAUUUUUAGUGUAGGAAACAUACCACAAGUGGUAUGUUGUAAUAAUCUCAGGUUUGUAGCUUUGUGAUGUGUAAUAUCUGCAUAGAAUAUUACUGCCUUAUAUCUGCCUUAUACCCUAUAGGCAAAAGUGACUUUGUCAAAUGAAAUUAGUAAUAAUUCCCUUAUACCCUAUAGGCAAAUGGACUUUGUCCACUUUAGAAUCUCUUACACUAGUGGCAUGUUGUAAUAAUCUCAGGUUUGUAGAUUUGUGAUGUAUGGCCUUUGAGUCCACAAUCCAUUAAUCCUUAGGAUAAUGAGACAUCAAACAAGUUACAAUACCUGACAUGUUAACAUGGUGCUCCCCAGUCUCUUUGUUCAACAUGCUCAAAAUUUACCUAUAUUGUUCAUCAGAGAAUGGAUUAAAGUAUUGCUUUUCAGCAUACCCUGCACCAGAAGCUUUGGAAUUUAAUGUAGAUACAGUAUAUGCAUUGUUUAUCACUGGUCAUCCACUUCUCUAGCUAUCCUAUGUACCUGUAUGACUUGUAUUUCUCCAACCAUAAUGGUACCUAUAUGAUUAGUAUUUCUCUUCCAUCCAUCAUUAUAUCUUCUCCCAUGAGUUAUAGUGUUUCCAUAAAAUCAGCUGGAUUGAUAAUCUGGAGGAUAUCCUACAAGUUUGUAGAAUUCUUUCUUUGAGUAUCCCUAUAUUCUACAAUAUUCACAUUGCUCAAACUAAUUUCUUCCUCUUUAACCUCUAUCUCAACUUACACUUGCUUGUAUGGCCAUUGUUUCCAAUUUCUCAGUAGUUUUGGUUGCCAAAUUAGUUGGAACUACAUGUUGACUUUCAUCCUAAAUAAUCAUAGCAUACGUUUUCCCUAAAGUUGGUGCAACUGAUUUCAUUAGUAUUUGUCAUCGGCCUGAUCAUAUGAGUCAUUGAGACCACUUAAAAACUGAAGUAACCUCUAUUAAUUCAAAUGCUCGAUGUAGUCUUUUGACUUUGGACAUUCACAGCUUGCUGAUGGGACUAGUACAUCAUAUCCAUGCCAUAACUCCUUCAAGUUUGAAAAAUAACUAGAGACAAAGUUUGUACCCUACUGUAAAGCCGUAAUUUCUUUUUGUAAAUGCCAUAUGCAAACUCGAUUAACCUUGUCAAAAAUCUCCUUAAGAUAUUCCCAAAUAAGAUGUGCAUCAGAUGCAUAAGUGAUUCCAUUGAGAAGCUCUUCAAAAACUGUGAUCAUGAUCUAUGAGAGAGCAAUUGCCUUGCAAGUUUCCCAUUGCUCAAGAAAACCAUCCUUAUAUAAACUCUUUGCACAUGUGCCAGUGACAAAACCCAGCUUCCCUUUACCUAGCAGUGUGAUCUGCAUUGAUUUGCUCCAUAAGCCAUAGUUCUCAGAUCCAGUGAGUUUUACUGGAAUUAAAAUGGAACCCAGUGUAUCCUCUGGAUCUAAGUAUGGUGGAUAACUAGCAUCAAAUCUAGUUUCCACCAUUCAUUCCCUAAAGAAUCAACGAAUAUGUACAAAAAUUGGAAUUUGAUCUUAUCCCUAUCUACAUAGAUUAAUAGAACUCAAAUCCUAAUGAUAAGAUAUCUACAUAGAGCUCAAAGCAAGUUUACAAUGGUGACAUGCAAUAUUGAAGAAGAAGAAGAAGAAGAAGAAGAAGAGAAGAUAUUUUGAUUUGGGGAAUUUUCUCCGUAUAUGUUCUCAAAUGGGAAAUCAACAAUGCAUAUAAAGAUCAUUCCAACCGAUUCCACUAACUGACAUGUGAGCUAGACCCCAACUAAACUAACUGCCUAAACGUUGUGCUAACUAACUAAUAGAGUAUAAUUAAUAAUUACUAACUAGCUAAUCCAUAUGGCUAAUUACAUGACUGCCGUUUGCCCAUCACAUGACUCAAUAAUCUUCAGAAUCUUGACUAAUAUCUAAUAUUUUGAUAUUAAAAAGAGCAUUAAAUAGCUAAAAUCAACUAAAAAGAAAAAGAGAAAAAGAGAAAACCCAACCCCUUCAUACUCUCAUUUGGAGUGCCUUGAAUGCUUGGUCGAGUCUUUAAUUCCAAUCUAAAGGCUCUCAACAUUGUAACAGACUUUGAAAUAGUAGUACUCCCUUCGUCUUAACUUAUGAUGUAGUAUAAUUGAGCAUGAAUUUUAAGAAAUAUGGUAAGACUUUUCAAUGUUCCAAAAUAUCUUUAAAAUAAAUAAAUUUUUAAAUAAAAGAAUAUACAUGUGGACUUUUUGCAAAAUAAUUGAGCAAAGUGAGUAAAAUAUUGAUAGUGUCAUUACAUAUUUGUUGAAUAAGGAAAUAUGUCAUUCUUUUUUGAAACUUACUAAAAAAAGAAAGUGUUUCAUAUAAAUUUAAACGAAGGAAAUUUUUCUCUCCCUCUAUCUAAAUAUAUUAAUACAUUUCCACCAUAGUAUUAUUUUGUGUGCGGGUUAUGUUUGAAAGUAAUUCGAGAUGAUUAAUAGGGUACUUGUUAUACAUCUACACGGUCUGUUGUUUUAUGUAUAUUAACUAUGUAUAUAAGGAAAUGAUACCAACAUUUGCAAAUGGGACAAUAUCCAAUUGUCUAUUCAUUAGUUAGUUUAAAGCAUACAAUGUUUGUAAUCCUCUAUAAUUCUUCCAAACUACUGGUCUCGAAUUUCAUCCAUAGAUCUAUUAGCAAAAUUUCACUUUCUAACUAGUUUCCAGAGCACUUCAUCAUUUUUUGGCGACUGACAUUAAUAUAACUAAGCACAUGUGACCUUUAAUACUUUGAGACCGAUAUGUGACAUUGUGACUUGGCGUUUGAAAGAGCCGGUUGAACUAUUUAAUUUUUUAUGGAAUAGUUUUCAUAACCAUCGAGAUUCAAUACUAUAGUCUAUAACAAGAACUAGUAAUAGUCCUAACAUAUAUUUGGGGUAUGGAAUAAAUAUCUGUAACAUAUCCUAUUUACUUCUAAAGGAGAUAGAGGACCAAUGUAACAUUCUUAUGAGAUCGACAAAAGCAUUUUCAUCUUUGAUUUUAAUUUCUAUAUAAAAAUGGUGUAACAUAUCUUCUUUUAGUAGAAAAAGAGAUUAUAUAGUACCAUUGUUAAAAGUUACAAUACAUCCCGAAUUGUUAGUCUGGGGUAAUAGCAAAUGAAGUAUAACCCAUAUGGUAAAGUUCUAUAUGGCUAUUGUGAUUAAUCCUAAUAGAUCUUUCAAAUAUAGUUCCUAGCAUUUUUUUCUAUAGUAUCUGACGAUCAUACACCAGAGGAACUACCAAAAUUUCCAUUUGUUAAAAAUUUGCAGAGUUGCCCCUUGCUUAGAGAGCACAUCUUCUAUACCAUUCUGAUCCCUGAAGCUAUGUUGCACCACUGGGUAUCCCAGCCUUUUUAACAUGUCCCUGCAAUCAUCAAUAAUUCCAUUAUAAAGUUUUUUUCUCUCUUUGAGCAUCUUUAUAAUUUUUAUGGAAUUAGUGUUAAUCUCUAGGGGAAUGUAGUUAUACUCUUUGUUGAUUCUUAGUCCCUCAUUCGGAGUAAUCAAUUCCAUUAGGUUAUUCGGGCACUAAGAAAGCUUUUAGUGAAGCCAAGGAUCUAAUCACCAUUUUGGUUCCUGAUAACCCCACCCAUUCCACCCUUUCCAGGGUUGCCCAAGUAGGAGCUAUCUAUAUUCAGCUUAAAACUACCUCUUUGUGUCGGCUACCACUUUACAUUAAUGGAGGAGACUUUUCUACUAUUGGUUUUAUUAUGAGUUAGGUUACUAUACUUAAUUGCCUCAGCAUAAUCCUGGGAGAAAGAGUCUUUGAGGUUUUUUUGUUGAAGACAUUAUUAUUGUUAUUCCUCCAAAGUGUCCAAAGGCAGAAAGAAAAAAUCCCAUCCCAGAAGAGGAGAUUGUCAAAAGAUUUAGAUUUGAUGGUUUUCCAUGUUGUUCCCUAAUUAGGAGAAUAGAGUCCCGUAAGGGUAACAACAGGGGGGGAUAUCUUUUCCUAGAAUCUCUAACCAUAACUUGCUCUUAACCUGGUAAUUAUAAAUAUGGCAAUUGUGAUUGAGACUAAGCCCCAUCUUGUAGAGAUUGUAAUUAGAGGAAAGUCUGUCAUGGUGGAGGAUCCAAAGAAAGUUCUUUACCUUUUUUGGAAUGGACAGUCUCAUAGCCAGCUAAAGUCCAUACCAUUAAUGUAGGAGUCCUUUCUUAAUUUCAUGGCCAGAUAGAGGUAAAUAGUAGUACUAAAAAACAUGACAUUCCCUUUAAGGCUUUAAAGGGGGUUAUAUUCUUGGAUUUUAGUGUUGGGAAGAAAGGAUUUAGUAAUGUGGUGACAGAUAUUUUGAGGGAUUUGGAGAUAUAGAGUCUCAAAGUUCCAGGAGUAGUUGAUCAAGAUAUCAGAAAGCUUUCUUCCUUUCUCCUCUUCUGAAAAGGAUCCAUGGAUGAGAUACCUCAAGGCUUGGUUAUUAUGGAGUCAUCUAUCCAUCCAUAAUUUAACCUCUUUCCUAUAUUUGACACUCUAAAUACUAGCCUCAAUAUAAGAUUGCCAGCCCUUAAAGAAGCUUUUCCAAAUUCUGAAGGCUGAGGUAGAGCAAGUCCAAUCACAAUUACUGUACUUGGCUUUGAGAACUCUAACCCACAGAUUAUAAGGAAUUUUCAUAAACCUCCAGGUAAGGAUCAUGAGCAUAGAGUCAUUCUUGAUACUUGCCUUUUCGAUGCCAAGGCGGCCCUUUUUUUUAUUUUGAAAAAAUGACUGUAUUCUAAGAGAUAAGGUACACCCUUCUCUUUUUUUUGGUAGAACCCCAAAUGAAGUUCCUCUAAGUUCUAUCAAUGAGCUAUUGGAUUUUGUAGGGAAUGGAAAUUUACUACCUAAUAUGAUUUGGAAUGCUUUUGAGUGAGGCCUUGGAAAGAGGGAUCCUGCCUGCCAUGCUGAGAAAUCAAGUUUUCCAUUCCCCCAACUUAGCAUUCUUGUUAUCCAGAAUGAAUUAGAAAUGUAUAGCCUGGGGUUUUUGAUGAAAGAUUAGAAAUUCUAGGUAUUUGUCAAAAACCUCAAUGUCCUUAAUGUUAAGUCAUUGGGCCAGAGAAAUUCUAUCUUCAGUUGAACAGAUAUGGGAGAAGAUGACUUUAGACUUGGAGGGAUUGAUCCUUUGCCCAGAGUGAUGGAAAAAUCUUUUUAGGGUAUUAAUGAUCGUUUGUCAAUUCUUAGUGUAAGCCUUAGCAAAUAGAGUUAGGUCAUCGGCAAGUAAUAGGUGGGAAAUUUUUUUCCCCUUUCUACUAAUAGAAAUAGAGGUCCAGUUGAGAAGGUCAACCUCAUGGUCUAUUCUUCUGGACAAUAACUCCAUACACAUUAUGAAAAUGUAAGGAGAGAUAGGAUCACCUUUUCUAAUCCCUUUCGUAGGUUUAAAGGCCUCAGUAUUACUUUCAUUAAUUAGGAUAGAGAUGCUAGCAGUGAAAAUGCAAGACAUGACCAGGUUGGCCAGUUUAAUGGGAAAUUGAAAAAGUGGAGAGCCUAUCUAAUAAAUAACCAUUCUAAUCUGUCAAAAGCCUUUUAUAGAACAAUUUUGAGAGUCAUUUUGGCUUCCAUACCUCUCAUUAUAGAGAAGUGCUUAAUAUAUUAUUGGACUAUGAUAGCAUUAUCAGGGGCCCUUCUAUUGGUUAAGAAACUAGACUGACUAGGGCUAAUAAUGGUGGCCAGGUGAGGGUUCAUUAAAUUGGCAAUAAUCUUGGAGAUGAUCUUAUAUUAAGUGUUGCAAAGGCCUAUAGCUCUAAAGUUCUACAAGUUAGUGGUAUUAGAGCAUUUAAGAAUCAAGUACAUGUAGAAGGAAUUGACUUUUUCCUCCAUCCUUCCAGUAUAGAAAGUAUCUUGGCAAAAUAUGAUUAUAGAGUGGCCUAAUAUAUCCCAAUAUUUCUGAUACAUAAAAGGGUGUAUCCUAUCAGGUUCAGGAGCCUUGGUGGAUUUUAAGGAAAACAUAGACCUUUUAAUCUUAUUUAGCUCAGGGAUGGAUUCUAACUCAUGGUGAUCAGAGGGGUUAAUAGACCCUUUAGAGGAAGGAUUCCUUUGACAAUACAGGGGGGAUGAAGAAUGAUCAGAGGUAUAAAGAGUUGAAUAAAACUUAGUGAUGCUAUCUCUAAUUCCCUCUUGGGCAUAGAUCCAAUUACAUAUAUCAUCUUUAAGAGAGUUAAUAUUAUUCCUCCUUCUCCUAUUGAGGGUAGAGGUAUGGAAGAACUGGGUAUUAUAGUCCCCUUCAGUGAACCAAUAGAUUCUAGAUUUUAGUUUCCAGAAAUCCUACUCAUGCUUGAGGAUCUCACUAUAGUCCCUAGUGAUAUUUUAUUCCAGUUCUUACAAGAAGGGAUUGUGAGGGUAAGCUGGGGAAGUUUGAAUUCUAGCUAGCCUGGCUAAAAGCUGUUUCUUUUUUUGAAAGAUAUUCCCAAAGGUUUGCUUAUUCCAGGUGGUGAUAUGUGUCCCAAAGUGGGUAAUAUCUUUGGUGAGGUCCUGUAUGGACUUAAGGAAAUUCUUGACCAUUUGGAGAAAUGUGGGGUGGGUGUACCACAUGGUUUCUAUUCUAAAAGGUUUAGAAGAAAUCAUGUGUUACUUGGAGAGAUGAAUCAAAAGAGGAGAGUGGUCAGAGUGAGUCCUACAGAGGUGAGUGACAGAGUUUUCAGGAAAAAGACUAAUCUAGGAAUUAUUAGCAAGGAAUUUAUCUAGCAUCUCCAAAAUUAGGGCAUGCCUUUUCCUAAAUCUCUUAUUAGACCAGGUAAACUGGCUAUCCUUAUAGCCAAGGUCAAUCAAGGAACCUUGGUUUAUGCAGUCCCAGAAAUGACUAGCUCUAUAGUAAUUAAUGCAAUUACCCCUAAAUUUCUCAGAAGAUCUGAGAACUUCAUUCUAGCCAGACAUUGUUAGGAGAGUCUUUAAUAAAUUUAGCAAAAGUGGUAAGCUGACUCCAUAGACUCUUUCUUUCCUUAAAGUAACUGCUAGCAUAGAUAGCACUAAAAAACAAUAAGAAGGGGGAAUACUGUCAUGACUCAAAUCAGGGCCUAGUCGUGAUGGGUAUCUCAAGUCCCACAUGGACCAGAGACCACCCCUAGACCUAACAAAAUAGCACAACAUCCCCAAUGUCAGAUGAAUUCCGAACAUAUAACAAAAAUUACUUAUGGAUAAGCUUAAAGAUAUUUAAAUCAUGUUUGUAAUCCGUCUGCCAAAAGCUGCCAAAAUAACUUACCAAUAUCACCCAAGUCCACAAUAUUCCACAAAGCCUUCUAGACAUGAACCAAAACAUGAAAUGUAGUCUUUCGUUGUAUGAAAGUUCACCACUUAAAUGUCAACUCACGAGAUAAUCUUGGAUCCUAACUACUAAGAAGGAUAAGUAGAAGUAUGGUCAGUUCCUGCAUCACGUGAGGAUACAGCGUUUGAAGACAAUUAGCGGUUAGAGCGCUAAUAUGUAACUCAGGGAUACGGGAUAACAUAAUGUCAUGAUCAACAGUUCAAAAUCAUUCGAGAUUCGAUGCACAUCAUCUAAAGCAUACACAUACAUAUAUAUAUAUAUAUCACAUAUCGCAAUAGGGAACGAGGCUUAACAUGCAUUUUAAAACCUUAGGUUGGGUUGUGUAGCUCAACCAUUAUAUCUUGCACCCACCGGCCAUAUGGGCCCUAACUCUCACCCCCUGGUCGGACCCCAGUUCAUGUAGCCACAUGAACCAGCGAAUAAUCUUAUAUAUAUGUACAGGGGACUCGAAUCUCCCAAUCAUAUAGUAAGGUGACUUAAGCACCCGAUCAUAUAAUAAUGUAUGGGGGAUUGGAACCUCCCUAAUCAUAUAAUAAUAAUGAGAGGGACUCGAACCUCCCUAGUCACUUUGACCCUUGAAUUGGCAAACACAGUUUCUAGUAUCAGUCACUCGGACCUCCACUUUCAUGAGUGAGCUACACAACCCCCAUUACAGCCCAAUUAAAAUAUUCAUCACAUAUUCUCAUUCAUUGAACUAUAUUUAACAUUAAGGAAUACAUUGUGGUAUCGUCAUACAACUACACUUGCAAGGUUACAACAACAUGUCAAAACAAUUGCAUCACUUAGGGGAGCUCACAACCCCCUUGGCUCAAUUAUGCAAUAACUUAUGAAAACACGAACCUAUACGAUUCAAUUAAAAAUCAAAAUGCAAUAGUUAAAGAAUAGUUCAAUUUUACCAACUCCCACAUUUCUCAUAAUUAAAAACCAAUUUCACAAUAUAGGGUUGGGGUCAUAACCACUUCAAAAGUCAUAACUUUGGGGAAAAUCAUAAUUUCCAAGUUCAUUCACCAUAACCAUGCACCCACAAGUUCAAAACCAUUAUUAAAGCAUGAAAAAUCAUAUGUAAACCAUGAGAAACCUUAUUCAAUCCAUAAACAUUCAGAAUCCUCAACCCCUGUUUCAAACCAAUCAUCAAUAUCUCAUGAAAGUUACUUUAAAACAUAUUUUUUAACAUAUUAACAAUGAGGGAAAAGUAACAUGCCUGAAAUAAAAUAUUUUACGGAAGUUGAGCCCUUGGAUGACCUACUUCAUGGAAACCCUAAGUAUGGCUGCUUCAGAUAAUUUGAAAGAGAGAAAAGUAUAAUUAUGUUGAGUCAUGGUUGAAAAUAGGGUCCCAAAUAAGAUUAUAAGUCGUUGGUUUGUGAGAAAGUAUGGAAAUGUCUAAAAUACCCUCUUUAAAAGUUGGAAAAAUAACUCGUCUGUCACAACGGGUGACCUUUCGACUAUAGGGUCACCCUAAGACUUGGACCAUCCAAUCGUAGCCAAACCAGAACCCCUUUAGGAUCUUCACAAUGAACCCUACAACUAGCACCCUACGUCUCAUAAUGAUACACUAUGACUCAUAGGGAUAAGUCGUAGUCUCAAUAUAUUCAAUAGAGGAACUAUACUGGACACCUUACGAAAUACCCUCCUUACGACUCGUUAGGAGUCUAUACGACUUGACAAGUCUAGUUUUUAUCAAGUCAAUGACGUCGUAAAAUCCUUCUGGUCUCAUUAUGAUUUGGUCCUAUGACCCGUAAAGACACAUUAUGAUUCGAUAGGUGAGUCAUUUCUAGGGCAGAAAGAUUAGAACUCAAAAAAUUUCAAAGGACCAUGACCUGGGGCGUUACGUACUCCCCCCUUAGGAUCAUUCAUCCUCGAAUGAUAGGACAAGGCAUUUAUUAGCAUGAUUAGACUCUAAACACAACCUCUCUUACCUUUAAGGCAGAAAACAAAGACACCAAGGAAUUUACAAUUUCCUUUAGAAAAGACAGAAAAUAAAAUAUUAAGGAAUACACAUUCCUUAUGCACGAUUAUUCAGAGCGGGGAACAAGAACGAGUAUUUGGAUUUUAUGUCCUCUCUAGCUUCCUUCAUAGCUCCUUCCUCCCAAAAAAUACAUCUAAUAACCCUUAAAUAUGACCACACUCUCCACUAAGAUUUCAAAAAUGAAUACAAAACUAUACCAUUUCAAACUCCUAACUCUCCCACGAAACACAUAACUACAAGACUUGGGCAUUUACUGCAUCUCCCUCUCCUAUUAAAGACUAACUCAGAGUUAAAGGUGCUAGUGUAAGCCAUGGGCCCUAUACUUUACACCACUCCAAUAGUACUACUCGAUCCUAUCACAGCAAUCAAGUAACCUCAUGUCUAAAUCAAAGAGUACUAACUACAUAAAAUAAUGGUUUGUGUAUCUAUCAAUCACAACAUUCAAGAAUGCCUUUCUACCCCCACUUUACAGAUCACCCAUCCAGAGCUAGAAACUUCAAUCACUAUUGUGAUGGAUUUCACCACAUCUCUUCUUCUUAACUACUUCACUUAACAAAAGUUCAUCUUACUCUUCCAUCUUUAUCUAUAACUUUAGCCUAAGUAGUCACCCUAAAAAAAUUUCAAUAAAAAUAUUUAUUCCCUCAUCAAAAACAUUACUACGCUUCUAUGGCCACUAUCAUCCUAAUAUAAGAAGGGUCACUAAGGAACUAGAGUACAAGCAUCAAUAAUGAGGGGGUUACUUCUCAAUUACUACUUUUAUUUGUCGUACUACUCAAGGUGAGACCUACAAAAUGAGACACGGUAUAAUAGGCAUGAAGUACUUCAUAAUAACCACCUAGGUUAUAAAUAGAGGGUCGUUUCAACAUAAAUAUACCAUAACACGAGUCUUUAUAACUGGGCAUAGGGAGAAACACGGCUGUAUAUAUCAUGUGUAAUAUAACAUAAAGUCGAGAUUUAUAUUCAGGGAAUAAAAUAAGGAUUUUUUCUUGAAACCAUUAUUUUUUGGAAUUAGGCAUAACUUGAGACAUGAAUGCAUGGAUCAAAAGCAUCAUGACAUAGAGCUUGAACACAUGGAAGCUUGAAUUUUGGAGGACCAUUAUUGCCUUUGGUUUAGGGGAUGAAGUAUAGACAUAUGCGGCAUGUAGAAUAUGGGCCUUAGGAAUAAGAACUAUUAGAAUGCGUACGAUACUAGUAGAGUUCCCUCUUAACCGAAAUAGGAGGGAAUCACUAGAAUAGGAGUAAAUUCAUCUUGACUCUCACUUGAAGCCCACCACUAGGAGAAAAUUUAAAAUUAUCCCUCGAUCUCUUUCUUACUAUACCUAUAAGCACAACACUCCACUCUAAAGGGUAUUACCAAGGACAUGUGCUAGGGACACUUGGCUCUCUUAUACUUAAAACCUCAUCUAUACAUAUGCUACUUGGGGUUUAACAUAUUCUGACAAACUGUAUGCCCUAAUCCAUCCAAUGACUUAGCCCCUUAAUUCAUCAGUUCAACUUGGACCUCCAACCUAUAUAUCAUAACUUUCCCACUCCAGUAUUCCCUAAGUCAUCUACCUCAUCUCUUCCAUACACCCCAUCAAGCCUACCAAUUUACUCCUACAAAUCUCUAAUCUCUAUCCUCAAGUUAACAUACUCCUUUCACCAAAAUCAACAUCUAAGGUUCAAACUUUGUGUCUUACCAUCAUGCACCAUUUAACAGCGUACCCCCACAUAAUAUAUAUAUAUAUAUAUAUAUAUAUAUUCCACCCCAUAAAGAGGUCACCCUAAAUUCCUUAUUAGCCUAUCAAUAACCUAUACAUAUCCAGAGGAAACCAUUCUUCUUAUGCAUAAAAGAAUGGAAGCAGUCCACGGAGAAAUGCUAGGGCGGACAAACCCUUAUCAAGAAGAUCUUUCAACUGAUCCUUAAGUUAUUUAAACUCAAUCAGAGCCAUUCCACAAGAAGUGAUUGAGAUAAGAUGUGUGAUCAGAAGGAGAUCAUUCCCAAAAAUCAAUUUUUCUAUGGGGGAAACACCAUGAAGAUCAUCAGGGAAUACCCCAAAAAAUUCACAGAAGGUAGGGACAUAUUGCAAAGAAGGACCUUUAGAUCUAGAAUCCUUAGAAUUCACUAAAUGGUAGAGGCACCCUUUUGGAAAUCAAUUUUUGGGAUCUAAGAUAUAAAAUGAACCUUCCCUUAGUCACUAAGGAGCUAGCUUCCUAUUAAGCUACCGAAUUAUUUGAAGAAUUUAAAACUGACCCUUCGGGUCCAACAAUUAAGAGACACAUAGCACUAAUGCAACUAAUCCAUCCUUAAGAUUACACCAAAAUCAACCAUAUCCACUCUAUCAAAUCAACCAAAGUCUCCCUACUACAGAUAGACACCAUGCAACCCCUAUAGACCCUUCUGAACACAACAAAGUCACCACCAAGGUAGAGAUAGAAAAAAGGGAUCAAAAAUACACUCAGAACCAAAACCAAAUUGAAUAGCCAUAUAAGAGGUCACAUAAGAAGGAGUAAACCCCAGAUUAAGAAAGUAAUACACAUCACGGGGAAAGAUUCGUAAUAUAUCAGUAACAACAUCUGGUGAUUCCUUGAACUCCUGAUAGGUCGCAAGAGUAUAAAGCCAAUUUUGGCCAGUAUAGGUAUCAGAAGUAGAACUCGUGGUGUGGAAACCAAAGAGCUAAAAAUCAGAAACUUAUUAGAUUUAGUAGCAACACUGACUAAAGGAUAAUGCUGCUGCAAAUAAUUGGGUUGAACAUAUUUGAAGCAUCAAUUCUUCCUGUUUUGACAAAAUCCUUGAUAACACUAACCACUGAACCAGCAAAAAUGGUAGAAAGGUAUAAUCGGGCUCUACUAGACUAAUAUGCCCUAGGACCAAUACUAUUUUGAAAAAUAACAAUCACCAGACGGCUUUGGGUACGGAGAUCUAACUAAUGAGUAUGAACCAAAAUUUCCCCUACUUCUUUCUUUAUAUACUAUCUCCUAUGUCUACCGUUAUUGUGAUGACCCCUACUCCACUCUAAUUAUUUGAACUUCUUGUUCUACCUAUCCCCUAUCUUAUCUUAAUUCCUUCUCCCACCAAUAAGACCAGACUAGUAUGAUAGAGAGACUACUAUCUGGGUCAACAAAUGAAUAGAAUGGUGGAACUCAACAUUGGAUACUUCACCCUGAGGUUUUCGAUGAGGAGUAGGGGAACUGGUGGAAAUACACUAGGGUAAUCAGAAGAAGCGACCCUAGAUUAGGUCUGUACCCCAAGGGUAGGAUGAGUUCCAUCCAUAUUAUCUUCAGAUGAGGUAAAGAAGUUUCCAUGAGCAUCAGAUUUUCUAGAAGGCAUGAUCUAAAAAGUGAACAUACGGGAAUUAGAGAAGAUUUCAUAACCUUAGACACUAUAGACCAAAGAAUAGAUCACAAGAAAUAAAAAUAUUCCAAAUGACUCAUUGCCUCUCCCUUAGAAGUUUGGCGUGCUACACACCCAUAAAAAAGACUAUACUUGACACAGCUUUAUUGGACACCCAAUUACACCAAACCUAGGCUCUAAUACUACUUUGUCACAAAUUGAACCAAGGCCUAGCUAUGACAGGUAUCUCAAGUCCCACAAGGACUGGAGACUACCCUCUAGACCUAACUAAAUAACACAACAUCCCCAAUAUCGGAUGAAUUCUAAAUAUAUAACAAGAUAACAUAAGGAUAAGCUUAUAGAUAUUUAAAUUAUAUUGAUAAUUUAUCUACCAAAAAUUGGACAAAUAACCUAGCAACAUCACUCAAUUCCAUAAUAAUCCAACAAAGUCUUCUAGACAUGAACCAAAAUUAUAAAUCAAUAAAGUGUUGGGACAUGCCCCCGACUAUAGCAAAAAAUAUAUCUAAACAAUCUAAAGCAUAAGAGACCAAAACAUGAAAUAUAGUCUUUUAAUGAAUGGAAGAUAACCAUUUCAAUGCCAACUCACAAGAUAAUUCUGAAUCCUAAUCACUAAGCAGGUGAAGUAGAAGUAUGGUCAGUUCUUACAUCGCAUGGGGAUACAACAUCUGAAGAUGGUUAGCAGUUGGAGUACUAGCAUGUAACUCAGGGAUAUGGGAUAACAUAAUUCCAUGAUCAAUAAUUCAAAAUCAUUCAAGAUUCCAUGCAUAUCAUCCAAUGUAUAUACAUACAUAUAUCUAUCAUAUGUCAGGAUAAGGAAUGAGGCUUAACAUGUAUUUUAAAACCAGCCUAGGUUGUGUAGAUCAACCAUCAUAACAUGCACCUACGGGCUAUGUAGGUGAAAAACCCUGGGUUUUAUCCCUUGGAAAUUUAUUGAGCUUUGAGCUCACUAGUCUUGUAAUGACUGAUCAUACGAGUCGUAUGAUAUAUGUAAGAGUUAGAUAACCUAACUCAUAAGGUGUCCAGUGAUUAGUGGUUAGGUUUCUAUUGGGGUUACUACUUAGUAGGUACGGGUCAUAUGGUUUAGUGAUGGGUCGUUAGGUUGAUCCUUCACUUAAUCCAAACUUAGUGACUUGACUUGGAUCUGAGUAUGAGUGGCUCACUAAAAGCUGUGAGGAUAGGGUACAUUGUACAGUAGAGUCGUACGUUGUCCAGUGUCGAUCUCUUUGGUUUUUGUCUAGGGUAUAACUAGACUAUACGAGUCAUAUGGUCUUAUCACGUAUUAGGGAAAUCAAGUCGUAUAGUGGACAAUGUGUGGGUGUCCAACCUUAUAUUUUGGUUAUAACUAAUGGUACCAGUCGUAUGUUAUGGUGACGAGUUGGAGGGUCAACUCAUAACCACCUACAGUGAUUUUACAGUUUUAAGUUGGGGGUAUUUUGGAUAUUUUCCCUUCUUAACUCCUUUUGACCCCAUGACAUAAAACACCUUUUAGGACUUUAUUAACCUAUUAUUAUCAAUCAAACACUCUUAAGAUCUUAGUUCAAGAAAGGUUAGUGUUUCUUCAAGGCAAUUAAUUAAGGCUCUAAAUGGUGGUUUUUCUCCAACUUCCUAGGUGUCUAAGGCAUGUUACUCCUCCCUCAUUGUUAGUUCAACUAAAAACAUUUUUUAAUGUAUGGUUUUCAUGGUAUUAUUAUGUAUAUAUUUUGGUUUUGAAAUAGAUGUUGGGGGUUUUGGUUGUUCAUGGUUGGAUAAUGUUUUCCUAUGGUUUACUUAUGAUUUUUCAUGUUAAAGUUAUGGUUUGAACAUGUGGUUGCAUGGGAAUGGUAAAUUGAUACUUGGUUUGGUUUUGGAAUUUAUAUGCCCUCAACAAGUUUGUUAAAAUGCCAAUGAGAAUGCUUUUGUCAGAUAGAUUGAUUAUUAUUGAAAUCCUUGUAUUUCAUAAAAGGUAAUGGAACCUAAACUGGUUUGGUUAGUUUUAAGUGGUUUCGAAAGGCCUUGGUAGCCAUGGUAAUGGUUUAAUUGGAAACUUUGGAGUAAAAUUGGAAUAACGACUUUUAUGGCAUAAAUGGAUAUACUUGCAAGCUAUAAUUUUCGUAUGAAUAUACCAAUAGUUAACCCCUAAUAAAAGAAUCCUGGGUAAAUGGUUGGAAUAUAUAAAUAGUUUUAAUAUGGACUUAAAUGGGGGGAAGUGUAGCAAAGUUGUGAAAGGUGGAGGUCCCUGAAGGACCAAUACUGGAAACUUAUGUUUGCCGAUGUGAGGUUUGGUUAUGGUGACCGUGUGUAUGAUGUCACACUUUAUAUUUUGGGAGAUGUACUAGUCAUCUUAGGUUCUUUUCUCUGGUCGUGUGGGUAACAUGUACUGGGACCCUUGGGAGAUAAACCGAUAUAGCUUGUGGCUAGUUUUAGGACUGAAAAACUACACGACCCAAGUAAAGGUUUUAAAUAAAUGCUAAACCCGAUUUCCUAUCCCAACAUGGUAUAUAUAUGUAUGUAUUUAAUUGUUUAUGGUUAUUUACCUUAGUUCUGAAUAAGGACAUUAUUUUAUCCUUAUUCCUGAGUACAUGCUAGCAUUCAUUCCACUAACCAUCUUCGGGUGUUGUAUGUCCACGUGAUGCAGUAACUAGCCAUACCAAUAUUCCUUCUACUCAUUGACUUGGAUUUGGGGACAACUUUGUGUCAAACUAAAGUGGUGAGCUUCCAUAGUCCGGAAGACUCCAUUUCAUGUUAUGGACUUUUUCAUUUAUCUUUGUUUCUUAGAUUUUAGCUUUGGCUAUGGCAAGGAAAUGUCUCGAUCGGAUGUUCUUUGUUCUCGGUUAGAGGCUUUGUGGGAAUACUAUGGGCAUGAGUGGUAUUAAUAUUGGUGUCAUCCUUGGUAUUGGUAUUGGUAAUAGCAUUGGAGUUGACACAGAUUGGAUAUUUGGUUUGAUAUUUAUCUGGCUAUGAUUAUAAACUCCUUUAAAUAUAUUUAAAUUAUAUUUGCUUACCUUAUCAUAUAUUUAGAAUUCAUCUAACAUAGGUUGCAGGGUGGUUAUUGGGUAUUAAGGGUGGUCCUUGAUCUGGGUCAGACUUGAGAUGCCCAACCCGACUAAGCCCUGGAUUGGGUCAUGUCAGAUUGGUAUCAGAGUCCUAAGUUCAUGGUCAAUUAAGACUCGACAAAUCCAUAUCGAGUAGAGUCUAUUUUAAGGAUGUGUAGCGCGUCACACUCAUAAGAAAGAGGAUAUGAGGUAUUUAUGAAUGUUUCUAUAUCUUUUGUUCUAUUUUUGAAUGGUAGAGUCUACGGUCCUGAAUUCUCUAAUUCCUGUUCAUUUGCUUUUUAGAUAAUGUCAGCUUGACGAUCUGAAGCUCACGAAAAAUCUUUUGUCCUAUAUGAGGACAAUGUUGAUGGGACUCAUUCUACUUAUGGGGUCCAGACUCAAUCUAGGGUUCCUAUUCCUGAUUUCCCUCCUGGAGUUCCACCAAUUCCCUCCAGUCCUUCUUGAGCCCCUCAGGCUAACGUGACGAAUGCUGAGUUUUGUCAAUCUAUUCAUAUGUUGGCACAGUUGGUAGUUUCUUUGGCUGAGUGUGGUACUUCUAUUACUUUAUAUUCUGAGGCCAUAAGGGUUGGCCAGUUUAUGAGGUUGACCCUCUUACCUUUAAUUGUGUUAAGGUUUGGGAAGAUCCUCAAGGAAUUUUAGAUAAGAUGGAAAGGAUCUUCAGUGUUUGCAUGCCAAGAAUGUAGAGGGCAUAGAGUUUCCUGCCUACCAUCUAAAAGAUGUGGCGUACCUUUGGUAUAAAGAAUAGGAUCAAUCAAGGGGUGAUAAUGUUGAGUCAACCCUAUGGAAGGAUUUUUCUAAUGCUUUUCUAGACCGCUUCCUUCCUUAAGAGUUGAAGGAAGCGAAGGCAGAAAAGUUUGUUAAUUUGAAGCAAGGUAAGAUGUCAGUCAAGGAGUAUGCCUUGAAUUUUCACUAGUUAUCUCGGUAUGCUCUGGACUUAGUUUCUAGCAUGAGUGCUAGAAUGAGAAAGUUUGCUUUUGAGUUGUGUCGAGACUUUAUUUUUUAGAGUAAUACUGACUUGUUGAACAAGGACAUAGAUAUGUACAGGUUGGUUGUGUACAUUCAGCAGGUAGAUAAAAAGAAGAAAAAGCAGGUUGAGAUAGCAGAAAGGCAGAGCAAAAAGUUUAAAAUUUCUGAGUAGGGUGGUGGCCAACAGUAGAGUGGCAGGGAUGGUGGGAAGUAGACAAAGAAGAAGUGGGGAAAUUCGAGGUCUUACUCGAUGGUUGGUGCUCUCUACCUGAAGUCGUCGGGUGACAGGCGAUUCCAAGAUAGCAACAACUUUAGGGCACAAGCUACCCAUAGUCAGGCUAGUAGGGAAUAGUCAGCUCCAUCAUAUCCUCACUGUUGAUUUUAUGGUCAAUUGCAUUGGGGUUAUUGUGAUGAAGGAAAGGACAAGUGCUUCAAUUAUGGUCAUCCAGGGCACAUGACUAGAAAUUAUCAAGUGGCCAAGGUUACUUCGGGGGAAAACAAGGUUCUAUUUUUCUCUUCAUCAGCUCCAACACCAAAAGGUGCACCAUCUAGUUCACGUACUGGUCGAAACUGCCUAUAUGCUCUCACUACCUGCUAGGAGUCCGAGUCAUCAACUGAUAUCAUGACUGGUAUAUUGAAACUCUUUUCCUGUGAUGUGUAUUGUUUACUUGAUCCAGGGUACACUAUCUCUUAUGUGACCCUAUUUAUGGUUGUGCAUUUUAGUUUUAGUUCAGAGUGUAUUUCAGACCUUUUUUCUAUUUCUACUAAGGUGGGUGACUCCAUGGUGGAUAGAAGAGUCUAUAGGGCUUGUAUGUUAUUUGUGGGUAUUCGGGAUACUUUGGUGGAUCUGUAUGAAUUAGAUAUGGUUGAUUUUGAUGUUAUAUUAGGGAUGGAUUGGUUUCACUCAUGUUAUGCUUCUCUAUACUGUCGAACCCGUGAGGUCAUCUUUAAAUUCCCUAAUAAUCUGGUUAUUGAGUAGGAGGUGGUUCCCUAUCUCCUAAGGGGAAGUUUAUGUCAUAUCUUAGAGAUCGGAGAUUAAUCUCCAAAGCGUGUCUCUAUUAGUUGGUUUAGGUUAAAGAUUCUAACUCAGAGGGUCCUUCCUUGCACUUUAUCCUGGUGGUGAAUGAAUUCCUAAGGUCUUCCCUAAUGACCUGCCUAUUGUUCUCCUUAUAGGGAGAUUGAGUUCGAGAUUGAUCUUGUUUCGGACACUUAUUCAAUUUCUAGUCCUCUAUAUAGAAUGGGUCCAACUAAGUUGAAAAAGCUUAAGGAACAACAAAAGCAUCUUUUAGACAAUUUUUCAUCCAUCCUAGUGUGUCCCCAUGAGGUGCACCAAUAUUAUUCAUGCGUAAUAAGGAUAGUUCUCUUUAAAUGUGUAUUGAUUACCGACAGUUGAAUAAGGUGACGAUAAAGAAUAAGUACCCUCUUCUAAGGAUAGAUGAUUUAUUUGAUCAGUUGCAGGGUGCUAAGUUUUUCUCCAAAGUUGAUCUUUGAUCCGGGUAUCAUCAGUUAAAGAUUAGGGAGGCAUAUAUCCCUAAGACUGCCUUCUAUACCCAGUAUUGGCAUUUUGAGUUUCUGGUUAUGUUUUUCAGAUUGACCAAUGCCCCAACAACAUUCAUGGAUUUAAUGAAUAAGGUCUUUUAUCAGUUUUUAGACUUAUUCAUCAUUGUAUUCAUAGAUGGUAAUUUGGUAUACUCUAAGAUCGAGGUGAUUAUGCCAAUCACCUCCGCAUUAUGUUGCAGACCUUAAAAGAGCAAUAGUUGUAUGUCAAAUCUUUCAAAUGUGACUUCUGGUUGAACACUGUCACUUUUUUGGUUCAUGUCAUUUCGAGUAAAAGGAUUAUUGUGGAUUCGUAGAAAGUUACAGUGGUUAAGAAUUGGCCUAGACCCGCAACUCCAACCGAUAUUCGGAGCUUCUUGGGUUUAGCUAGUUACUACAAAAGUUUUGUGAAAAGAUUUUCUUCUAUAGCUUCCCUAUUAACUAAAUUGACUUAAAAUAAGGUAAAGUUCUUGUGUUCGAAUUCUUAUGAGGAUAGUUUUAAGAAGUUGAAGGAUAAGCUAACUUUGGCUUUAGUUUUGAUAUUGUUAAAAGGUACAGAUGGGUUUGUUUUCUACUGUGAUGUGUCCCUUAUGGGGCUUGGUUAAAUCUUGAUGGAGCAUGGCAAGGUGAUAGCUUAGGCCUAUAGAUAGUUGAAGGUGUAUGAGAAGAAUUAUUCGACUUAUGACUUGGAGCUAUUGGUUGUAGUGUUCUCAUUGAAAAUCUGGCGUCACUAUUUGUAUGAAGUGCAUGUGGAUAUCUUUUUUGAUCAUAUAAGUUUACAGUAUGUGUUUACUCAAAAAGAGCUUAACCUCAGGCAAAAGAGAUGGCUUGAGCUUCUCAAGGACGAUGACAUGAGUCUUUACUACCACCUAGGUAAAGUUAAUAUGAUUUUUGAUGCUCUUAGCAGGUUAUCCAUGGGGAGUAUGGCUCAUGUAGAUAAGGAGAAGCAAAAGUUGGUGAAAGAUAUUCACCAUUUUUCUAACCUUGGAGUUCGUCUCUUAAACUAUGAGGAUGUGGGAGUGUUUGUGCAAGAGGUGGUACGGUCGUCUCUUGGUGUUAAAAUCAAGGAGAAGCAGGUGUUAGAUCCUAUCUUAAUAAGGAUCAAGGGUGAUGUAGGUGGGCAAAAGGUGAUGGCCUUUGAUAUUAGUGGUGACAGUACCUUGUGGUACCAAAGAAGGUUAUAUGUUCUCGAUAUUAAUGGUUUGCGAGAGAGGAUCUUGGCUGAGGCGUAUGAGUCAUGUUACGUGAUUCAUUUUGGUUCAAUGAAAAUGUAUCAUGACCUUAAGGAGAUUAUUAGUGGAACAAUAUGAAGUGUGAUGUGGCUAGUUUUUAGGCUAAGUGCAUAGUGUGCUAAUAAGUGAAAGUUGAGCACAUAAGGCCCGGGGGAUUAUAUCAAUAGAUUGAGUUGCCUAUCUGGAAGUAGGAAUGAUCAAUAUGGAUUUUAUUACCGGUCUUCCUCAGUCUCAGAAUCAAUUUGAUUCAGUUUGUGUCAUCAUGGAUAAGAUGACAAAGUCUGCUAAUUUUUGCCAAUAAGGACUAACUUCUCACCUGAUGACUAUGCAAAGUUGUACCUCCAAGAGAUUGUAAAGUUGCAUGGGGUGCCUGUUUCUAUCAUCUUGAAUCGUGGUACAUAGUUCUUAUCUCACUUUUGGUGGUUGUUUUAGAAAGGGUUGGGUACUAAGGUGAGUCUGAGUACUACUUUCCAUCUACAAUCAAAUGGGCAAGAAGAAAGGACUAUCUAGAUGUUAGAAGAUAUGCUUCAUACUUGCGUGAUUGACUAUGGUGGUAGUUAUGUUGACAACUUACCUCUUAUAGAGUUUUCGUAUAAUAAUAGCUACCACUCUAGUGUUGGGAUGGCUCCGUUUAAAGCCUUGUAUGGUAAGAAGUGCAGGUCUUCGAUUGGGUGGUUCGAGGUUGGUGAGGUGGAUAUGUUUAGCCCAGAUUUGGUUCACAAGCUAUGGAAAAGGUGAUGGCAGUUCAAAAUAAACUUAAGGCUGCCCAAAGAUGCCCAAAGACCUAUGAGUAUGUGAUGAGUAGGAAGCUGGAGUUUGAAGUUAGGGAUAGGGUGUUCUUGAAGAUAUUUCUCAUUAUGGGAGUAAUCCAAUUUGGGAAAAGCAUAAGCUUAGUACCCGAUAUGUUGGUCCGUACUUGGUUUUGAGAAUAGUUGUAAUGUUGUGUAUGAGUUGGAUAUGCCUUCUAGUUUGAGCUCCAUUCACCCGGUAUUCCAUGUUUCGAUAUUGAGAAAGUGUAUGGGUGAUCCGUCACAAAUUAUACCUAUCAAGGAUAUUGGUAUUUUAGUUUUCUAUCUUAUAAGGAGAUCCCAAUAGAGAUCUUAGAUUGACAGGUUUAGUGGUUGCGGACCAAGGAUGUGGCCCCGAUAAAGGUCCUAUAGAGGACCAUAAGGUUGAAGAGCCUACUUGGGAAUCAGAAGAGGACAUGAAGUCCAAGUAUCUAUUCAUAUUUUUCGCUUCGAAAAAUCAUGCAUAAGGUAUGUGCUGUUCUUACCAUCUUUAUUUUCUAACUUAGUUAAAGGUAAGAGUAGAGGCAUGUGGAGUCCAAAUCAGGCUUGUACUAUUUGUUUCCACCAUUCGAGGAUGAAUGAUCCAAGUGGGGGGAAAUUGAAACACCCUAGGUUUUUCCCCUUGGAAAUAUCCUGAGCUUUGAGCUUACUAGUCUUAUAAUUAAUCAUCAUACGAGUCGUAUGAUGUGAGUAUGGGUUAGGUGACCCAACUCAUAAGGUAUCCAGUGAUUGGUGGGUAGGUUUUUAUAGUAGUUACGACUUGGUGGGUAUGGAUUAUUUGAUUUGGUAACAAGUCAUUAGGUUGAUCCUUCACUUGAUCUAAAACUUAUUGACUUGGCUUUGAGUAUGAGUGGCUCACUAAGAGCUGUAAGGAUAGGGUAUGAGUGCUAUACAUUGUCCACUGUUGAUCCUUUUAGUUUCUGUCUUGGGUACGACUGAACAAUACGAGUCGUAUGAUCUGGUCAGGAGUUAGGGAAAUUGUGUCGUAUGGUGGAUAGUGUGUAGGUGUCCAACCUUCUAUUCUGGUUACGGUUGGAUGGUACAAGUCGUAUGUUGUGGUGACGAGUUGGAGGGUCAACUCAUAACCACCUACAGUGAUUUUAUAGUUUUAAGUUGGGGGUAUUCUGGAUAUUUCUCCUUCUUAACUCCUCUUGACCCCACGACAUAAAACACCUUUUAGGACUUUAUUAACCUAUUAUUCUCAAUCAAACACUCUUAAAAUCUCUCUCAAGCUCUUUGUUUAAGAAAAGGCUAGGGUUUCUUCAAGGCAAUCAAUUAAGACUCAAAGGGUGGUUUCUCUCCAUCUUCCUUGGUGUCUAAGGCAUGUUACUCCUCCCUCAUUGUUAGUUGAACUAAAAUUAUGUUUUAAUGUAUGGUUUCCAUGGUAUUAUAAGGAUUUAUUUUGGUUUUGAAAUAGAUGUUGGGUGUUUUGGUUGUUCAUGGUUGGAUAAUGUUUUCUUAUGUUUUACUUAUGGUUUUUCAUGUUAUAAUUAUGGUUUGAAUAUGUGGUUUCAUCGUAAUGGUCGAUUGAUACUUGGCCUUGGUUUGGGAAAUUAUAUGCCCUAAGCAUGUUUAUUAAAAUGCCAAUGAGAAUGCUUUUGUCACAUAGUUUGACUAUUCUUGAAAUCCAUAUAUAGUAUAAAAGGUAAUGGAACCUAAACUAGUUUGGUUGGUUUUAAAUGGUUUGGAAAGGCCUUGGUGGCCAUGAUAUUGGUUAAAUUGGAAACUUUGGAAUGGCUUUGGUAUGUCAUAAAUGGAUAGACUUGCAAGAUAUAAUUUGUGUAUGACGAUACCAAUGGUUAAUUCCUAAUAAAAGACUUCUUGGUAAAUAGUUGGGAUGUGUAAAUGGUUUAAAUAUAGGCUUAAAGGGGGGUGUAGCAAAGCCGUGGAAGGUGGAGGUCCCGGGGGGACCAAUACUGGAAACUUAUGUUUGAAUGUGUGAGGUUUGGUCAUGGUGACUGUGUGCAUGAUGUCACACUUCAUAUUUUGGGAGAUGUACUAGUAAUCUCAUGUUCUUUUCUCCGGUCGUGCGGCUAACAUGCACUGGGUCCCUUUCAACAGGGGGAGAUAAACCUAUAUAGCCUAUGGGUAGUUUUAGGACAGCAAGCUACACAACUCAGGUAAAGGUUUAAAUGCAUGUUAAACUCGGUUCCCUAUCCCGGCAUGGUAUAUAUAUAUAUAUGUGUGUGUGUGUGUGAUUUCAUAUAUUUAUUUACCUUGGUUUUGAAUAAUGGCAUUAAUUUAUCCUUAUUCCUAAGUACAUGUUAGCGUUCAUUCCGUUAAUCGUCUUUUAAGCGUUAUAUCCCCAUGUGAUGCAGGAACCGGUCAUACUACUAUUUCUCCUACUCAAUGACUUAGUUUCGGAGACAGCUUUGUGUCAGAUUGAAGUGGUGAGAUUCCAUACUCUGGAAGACUCUAUUUCAUGCUAUGGACUUCUUUCAUUUAUCUUAGUUUCUUGGAUUUUGGUUUUGGCUAUGGCCGGGGGCAUGUCCCGACUGUAUAUUCUUUAUUUUUGGUUAGAGGCUUUUUGGGAUUACUAUGGGCAUGGGCGGUUUCGGUAUUGGUGUCAGCCUUGGUAUUGGUAUUGGCAUUGGGGUUGACCCCGAUUGGAUAUUUUGUUGGAUAUUUAGUUGGUUAUGGUUAUGAACUCUUUUAAAUGUCUUUGAAUUAUAUUUGUUUAUCUUGUUAUAUAUUUGAAAUUCAUCUGACAUAGGGUACAGGAAAGUUAUGGUUGGGUAUUGGGGGCGGUCUCUAGUCUGGGUCAGACUUAAGAUGCCCGAUACGACUAGGCCUUGGAUCAGGUCAUGUCAGUAGGCCCCAACUCUCACCCUCUGGUUGGGCCCCAGUGAGUGUAGCCGCACAAACUGAAGAAUAAUCUCAUAUAUAUUCAUGGUGAACUCGCACCGCCAGAUCAUAUACAAACGUGACUUAAGCACCCGAUUAUAUAGUGAUGUGCAGGAGAAUCGAACCACCUUAAUCAUGUAAUAAUAAUUAGGGGAACUCAAAUCUCCCUGGUCACUUUGACCCCCGCGUCAGCAAAAGUAAUUUUCAAUAACGGUCACUUGGACCUCCACUUUCACGAGUUAGCUACACAAUCCCAUUAAAGCCCAAUUAAAAGAUUCAUUACAUAUUCCCAUUCACUGAACCAUAUUUAACAUUAAGGUAUACAUUGUUGGUAUGUCAUACCAACUACACUUGCAAGGUGACAACCCCCUUGGUUCAAUUAUGCAAUAACUUAUGAAAACAUAAACCCACAAAGUUCAAUUAAAAAUCAUAAUGCAAUAGUUCAAGAAUAGUUCAAUUUUACAAAUUUCCAUAUUUCUCAUAAUUAAAAAUCAAUUUCACAAUAUGGGGUUGGGGUCAUAACUACUUCAAAAAUCAUAAGUUUGGGGAAAAUCACAAUUUCCAAGUUCAUUCAUGAUACUCAUGCACCCACAAGUUCAAAAUUAUUAUUAAAGCAUGAAAAAUCAUAUGUAAACCAUAAGAAACAUUGUUCAAUCCAUAAACAUUCAAAACCCUAAACCUUUAUUUCAAAUUAAUCAUCAAUAACUCAUGAACAAUACUUUAAAACAUAUACUUUUAAAAAAUUAAUAAUGAGGAAGAGUAACAUGCCAGAAAUAUCAAGCUUUAUGAAAAGAAUCCAACCCUUGAACCCUUGGAUGAUCAACUUCUUGGAAACCCUAAGUAUAGCUGCUUGAGAGAAUUUGAAAGAGAGAAGUGUGUAAUUGUAUUGAGUUAUAGUUUAAAAUAGGGUCCCAAAUAUAUUAUAAGUCAUGGGUUAUCAGUGGAUAAGAUGGAAAUAUCUAAAAUACCUUCUUUAAAAGUUGGAAAAAUAGCGCGCCAGUCGUAAUGUGUGACCUUACAACUUGUAGGGUUACCCUAUGACUUAGACUAUCUAGUCAUAUCCAAACCAAACCCCCUUGGACUUUUCAAUGUAAACCCUACGAUUAGCACCCUACGUCUUGUAAUGAGACGCUAUGACUCAUAGGGUCAACUCAUAGUCUCAACAGUUUUAAUAAAGGCACUUUACUGGACGUCAUACGAAAUACCCUUCUUACAACUUGGUAGAAGUCUAUACGACUAUUAAGUCUAGUCAUUAUCAAGGUUUUGACUUAGGUAAAUCCUUCUAGGCUUAUUACGACUGGGAUCUAUGACCCAUAAAGACACAUUACAACUCGUCAGAUGAGUCGUCGCUAGGGCAGAAAGCUCAGAACUCAAAAAAUUUCUAAGGACCAAAACUCGAUGCGUUAUAUCUACUAACCUAAAUAGUCACAUGUAUCCCUUGAGGGAUGUAUUAAUCUUAUUUAAUGUUGAGAUUAUCCUCAUUCCACAUGAUAACUAGGCCACCAGAGCUUCUGAUAGAAGGAUAGUGGAUUUUUUGUAAAGCCUAACUCUUCUAUAAGGUGGUUUUGAUCACUCAUCCUUGUAUUAAGGAGAACAAGGAUAGUAGGUUUGUGGAUCCCUACCAUGGACUUGCAACAUCUUUUAAACUCUGUAUUUUUUGCCUUAUAGUAUUCUAUAUGAUGUAAUUCAUCAUUGUUAUUGAUGAGAGGAUGAUCUCCUGCUUGAUAUUCUUGCCCUUCCCCACUAUGUUGGGCUGUGUCAUUUCUUCAUUCUCUUUCUCUUAUUGGAAAAGAGGGACAUCUUAUUUUUGUAGAAAUUGCCUGUAACUUGACUUGGAGGAACUAUUUACAGGUCAAACAGAGCUAAAUCAUAUGGAAUAAGGACUACAACCAUCUCACUUAUUACAUCCUCGAAUGUGAGGUGUAUUGGCCUUCCUAAAGUUAUUGUUUCUGUUCUUGGAACUUUAGUGAAGCUAGGAUUCUCUCCAGUUCCAGAUUAUUUUCUUUUAUAGCUUCUAGUGUUUUUCUCUCUCUUGAAUUUCUAGGUUUGGAUAAGAGUUGAAGGAUGAUGAGGGGCUUGCUUUCUGUUAAAGGGGAGCCCCAUAGGUUAGUACAAAAAGAGGCCCCUCCUCCAGCAGGCCUAUUAUUUUUAGAGAAAAGAAUGGUAAUGAUUGGCUUGCUAGGUUCAUUUCUAUAUUCAAGAUUUCCAGGGUCUGGGGGGAUGUGGAAUCCUGGUUGGUUUUCGUAAGGGCAAUCAUCCAUGUGCUCUGCUCAAAGUUUUGUAUCUCCUAACUCAAUCCCUCUAUUACCACUUGGGAUAUGUAUUAGGGGUUGUGGAGUAUGGCUUUUAUUUUUAUUCCCUCUAUUCUAUUUGUAGAUGAACCAUAUGCUCCAGCAAUCCCAUCUCCAACCAAGAGAUUUGUUGGUGAUCCACUAGUAGUGAAGCAGUAUUGAAAAUUAUGGGGGGGAAGACGCAGGGAUUGGUUUGAGAAGGGACUAGGAUUUGACUAUAAUAUUCUUUGGUCUACUUUAUAGAAGCUUGCAUUUUAGUGAGAAGAGUGGAGGAGUCGGUAGAAGAAGACUUCGUACUAAUAUUUUCAAAAAUAGUACAUUGAAAUGAAAUAUUGCUCCCAUCAGUUGUGUCUUCCUCUACAGUCAUUUGAAAGGCUUUGAUUUGACGGAAAAAGUCUUUUAAGAUCAUAGAAUAUGGAGCCAUCAACAUAUUACUGGCGGGUUGGAAUGGUUCUAAAUUUUGAGGGACAAUAUCAGUCUUUCCAUUGAAAUGACAAGUUGGUAGGAAUAGGAUUUCCCUUUAUUUUUUUGGCUAGUCAGAUUCCUAUAAUCACUUAUUUUAGUUUCAAUAUUAGUGUGUUGAGAGUGAGGGGGGAAAGAAAAAUUUGCCUUAAAAAAUCCCACUGGUUAGUCUUAGAGGAAUUAUUAGACCUAUAAUUGGGCCUCAAGGAAAUGGGCCUUUUGCUUGAGGAAUCUUUUUCAAUGGUAUGCAGUCCAACACUCUGUUUAGCAUUGUUGGUCUGGCCCAAGGCUUGAGAGGGAAUGGACGCAGCAGCCUUGCCUUUCUCGCUACCCUCCAAUAUUGAGAUGGUGGUGGAGCUCCUGCCUUGAGUUUUUUGAGAAGUAGAUAACUUACCUGAACGAGGUUCCUCUAAGUUUAGUUGUCCCUCUGUCGUUUUCUUACCUUUGAAUUUUUUAAAGGAAAUUGUCUGUCAUUCUUUAUUGUUCUCUGCUUGAUUAGGAAUUUCUUCUAAUAUCGCCUCUUUGUGGGGGUGGCCAUAGGCAAAUUCCUAGAGCAAUUAAACACUGUGUGUCCAAGGUGACCACAAUUCUUGUAAAAAAACCUUCCCCUUCAUAAUGAAUUUCUUGCUUAUGACUCCCUAUGACUACAAAGGUUUUGACCUUGGUUUCAAAGGGUAUCUGCACACACAUAUAAGUGUAUAACGCCCUCCCAGUGUGGAGGAUGUGAAUGUAUCAAUCUUUAACAACUCCCCUAAAUUUUUCCCCACCUUUUCUAGGAUUCCCACAUCGUAGAAUUCCAUAGGAAGGUGUGGUAGUCGGAUCCAGAUGGUCAUGCUCAGAAUCUUUGAUUCUGUAGGCACAAAAUUUGGUUUCCAUCUUUGUACUGAUAGGUAUGCGCCAGCAAUAAACCAAGGACCCUAUUGCAAACUCUCCUUUGCUACUCUUCACAUUUAAAUUUAACCUUAGAAAAGUCGAGCCCUAGAUCUAUGAUAGCAGUUUCGUCUUGCAUUUUCCAUAGAUCUGAGAAAUUUAGUUCUCAAAUACUGGUGGCUGAACUUCCUCCCUACAGGCUUAACUAUGACCAAGUGGUGCUUCUCUUCUUUUGUGAGUGCAAUCGAAUCAUCAGAAUCGAUCGACCCAUCUGAGGCAUCCUCAAUUUGGAAGAAUUCAUUGAAAUUUGCAGAAAGCAAGUUGUUCUCCUUGAUAAUGUCGUUGUAACAAAUUCCAUUUUCCUUAUCAAUUGUCAUUUGGAAAUCUUCUUUGUCCGGUGGCUCCGAUGGGGUGAGGGAGUGAGAAGUUGGGAUAUUCGUGGCGCGUGGUAACACUUGUUGGUGGAUUCUUUUCGAGAGAAGGAGGACCCCCUCUCUACUUACUAGUACUACAAAACUGUAACAUAUCUUUUACCUCAUGAGCUAAGUAACUUGGAACAACAUAAUUUGUCUAUAGCAAUACAUACAUACAUACAUACGUACAUACAUACAUACAUACAUACAUAUAUAUAUAUAUAUACAUACAUACAUAUAUAUAUAUAUAUAUAAAGACGGAGCGAAAUUUAAAAUCUAUUGAAAUUUUUAAUAGUCUCAAGUUAAUGUAUAAUAAUAACGAAGUUUAUAUUCAAAAUAAUAUUUAUAGAUAUUUUGGUGUAACUUCUUUUAAUAUAUAUAUGCAGGGACUAGCAAAAAGUCACAAAAAUCAUAUUGGUAAUUUAGAAAAUAAAACAAAUAACUAGCUUUUUCUUGUAAAUAUCAUACAGAUCUCAAUAUUUCGAGAUGUACAUAGAAUAUAUAUGAAAAAUUACUAAAAAAAAUUAAAAAUUACUAAUAUAAUUUUUAACUAGGGGUGUAAAUAGGUCAGAUUUGGUUUGAUUUUUCAUUAAAAAAAAAAGUACUAAAUCAAUUAUGUCGGUCUAUUAAAUAAUUUAUAAACCAAAUCAAACUAACAUAAAAUCAGUUUUUCAGUUUCAUUUAGUAGGUUCUAUAGAUUUUUUUUUUUGGGGGGGGGGGUUCAUUUCUCUCGAUUUUUACAAUGACACUAACUAAAAAUGUAAUUGGAUUAUACAGGCUUAAAAAAAUUAGAACAUUUACAAAAUCAAGAAACUACUGACACAUUAGAAAGCAAUAUACUAACAAAUUCAAUGCAUAAAAAGCAUCAUUAGUAUAUUAACAACUAGAUCGACAAACAUUCCAGGAAGAAUACCAAAUAAAAGCUUCCCGAUUGAUGUUAUGUUUUGUACUGCAGUGACUAAGUUAUAUAGAUUCCCAAAUGUACUGGCAGAAAAUUUAAUAUUUGCAUUUGAGGCAAGAGCUAGUAAAAAAAACUUCGGGUGGGAGAUUUUGUUGCCUAAUUAUUUUCAAUGCAAACUCAAUUAAAACAACACUAGCACAUAGUGAAAUAAAUGAGGAGAGGAUACUUUAAAUUUGACAUUCUCUCAAAGGCAAUGAAGUUUCUUCUCUUCUUAAAUUUUUAUUUGGCCUUUAGAUUUUAAUUUUGAAUCAUGUGCUUAAUUACUAAACAAUGAAUUUUUACAAAUUCAAAUUUGAAAUAAUAUAUCUAAUCAUUAUAAAAGUAUAAACUAAUUUAAAAAUAUUUAGGAAGUAGAUUAUAAUUAAUAUUUUUAUGUGUUAAAAUAUUAAAAUUUCAUAUGCAUUAUUUUGAUUUGAUUUGGAUUUGAUUUGAUUUUUUUCUGUUAAUACCAAACCAAAUCAAGAAAGUUCGAUUUUUUCUAAUGUCAGACCAAUCAAAUCAAAUAACAAGUCAUUUCUUUUUCGAUUCGAUUUGAUUUAUCAAUUCUAUUUAAUUUGGCGAUUUAAUUUAUACACCUCUACUUUUAACUAACUACUUCAACAAUAAGUUAAAUGUUUUCAAUUUUAAAUUGUAAAUCCUCUUCAAUAAAGUAAGUUAAUGAUACAAAGAUUCAUCGCACCUACAAUGUAUGUAGGUUAAAUCAUUUUAUCCAUCCAUUAUGAAAUCAUUCCCGUAUUAUUCGCGCAAACCAACGUUGGUGGCCUGUGCAACACUUAAUUUAGGAAAUUGUUCUUCAAAUUUAUAGGACCCGUUCAUUUUUGUCCCCACAAAGUAUAAUUACUUCCUUGUAUGUUUUAAUUUAUUCAGUAUAUUAAAAAUUAUUAUUUAAUUUUAUUCUUUUAAUUUGAAAAUUAAAAAGUAAUUUAUCAUUUUGUAUUUAUUUUCUCCUUGUUACUAAAUGAUAUUUCUUUCCAAUAUUUAGAUAACCUAUAAUAAAUAGGAGUAAUAUAUAAAAUUACCUUUUUAUUUGUUAUUUAUUAAAAGAAUGUAUCAAAUCAAAUAUUGAGAAUACAAUAAACCAAAAUUUCAUAAUCGAAAAUUCAACCUUACAUAUCGAAUCUAUUCCAAUUAAGUGGAAUCUUCUACUUAGUAGAGUGGUUCACUUCCACCCUUGUCAACUCAACAGCUAGUCAUCACCCCCUAUAAAGAAAGCUAGUUUUCUGUGGUGGUACUAAAUCUUAAGUGCAUACCCAAUGAUCAUAACAAAAAUGGAAUUUGAAAUCUUGAAAAAACAACCUUUUAGGACAUAUAAGGUGACAAUAUAUGGAUAUGUCACAUCCUAAACUAUCGUUAGAUGUGAUUGGCUCCUAACAAGUAUCAUCCGCUGGAUGAACGUGAUUUCGUACAUUUAGGAGUCGUUUGGUAUAGUGUCUUGGAAAAAUUAAUGCAUGAAUUAGUUAAUGAGCAUUAGUAAUAGCUUGUUUGGUACCAUUAUUUUACUAUGCAUAAAUAAUACUUAUACUAAUUAUCCACUGUAUUGUUUAUUAAGGUAUGUAUUAAUAAUACACACUAUUUUCUAUGUAUUAGUAAUGCAAGACUUUUAACACAUGUAUUAAUUUAUUAAAUGACAUUAUUACCCCUUAUUAUAUUGGAUCUGUUGGCUUCUUGUCUAGUGUUCAUUGGUCUAAUGUCGCAUUGACCAGGGCUCGGUACGGAUCAACUUGUUACUUAGCUUCUUCACCGUUUGGAUCAUUUUGUUUUGCCUAAAACUUUUGUUCUUCCUAGGCAUUGUCUCUGGAUAUUGGGCAACGAGAAAACAUUACUGAAUAGCAACUCAUCUGGAAGGCACUAGUUCUUGAUGCCAAGGAUCAUCAAUGCUUCAUUCGUGCAGAUGAAGAUUCGAACGUGAGGAAAAUAAUUUUUGAUGUCAAGAAGGAAAUCAAUCAACAGAGAAGAAGUAAAUAUAAAUGUUGCGUUCCAUCUAUUCCUAGAAAACACUGUACAAGAAAGGGUUUAAGGAAAGGGUAAUUUGGUAAACAAAUAUUUUUUUUACAAAAAUUAUAUAAGUAUAUAUUACCUUUAAUACAUCAAACCAAACAAUGUGUAAAAAAUAGUGGAUGUAUAACUAAUACCAGCAUUACUAAUACUUUUAUUAAUAAUACAAGUAUUAGAGUACGAGCCCUACUAUUUGCCUAUCUGUGGAACAAGUAAGUAAACAUGGUUCACAAAAAUAAAUACUGAACACGGUGUUUUUAUGUGGAAAACACCCAGCUCAAGAAAAUUGUAAAAACCACGACCUGUACCUCUACAGGAUUUAACCCCAACUUCACUAUAAUACUUGAGCCUCAACAAUUAACAGAAUUACAAGACUUCUUGUAAACUAGGAAUUAAAACUUCUAACUCUUAUCACUACAAAAACACAAAUCAUUCCAAGAUAAGUGUUCCCAAGUCUUCGAGUUCCCUAACUUGAAGACACAAUUCCUAACUCAGUUUAUAGAUCACUGAGACUAGAACAAUGACUCAUUACAACUCAAAGAACCUACCUACUACACAUAGUCUACGACUUGCUAAGUAAGAGACCAGGUUCUUCUUCAAGUAUGUAAACUAAUAUGUUGAUUGUUGAUUUCCUUUUCAGUUCUUGAGCGCUCAGCCUUUUAAUUCCUUUUAUUGUAUUUAAGCCCUCCUCUGAUAAAGUCUUUUUUGACAUCUACUUCUCUUUCAAGUAGGACUUUUAUCAAGUGACUCUUCUACUUGUUGCUGCCACCUCUUUCUCUCUUAGAUUUAAUAGGACUCUUUCUUCUCUUAUUGCUGAACUCCUUGAUCAACCCAACUUCUACACUAUUUCAUGUUUUUCUUCAUCUUGACUAGGACCCUUUUGCAGUACUUCUCAUUCCACUCAACUUCUGAUGUGAUAGAUAUUAUCUAUUUCUAUUUGUACGCAGAAAUAUCUUAUCAAUGCCUUGUCUGCAGCUUAGUUUUGUUCACUUGGAUGGACCAGCUUUUACAACAUGUUUGAUUCACAUAUCUAUCAUCAAAACUCCACAUGUCCUAACAAAUUCCCUUUUUUUAUGAUGACAAACAUAGCAGCAUAACACAACACAAUACCACCUGACAUAAACUUACUAAGAAAUUUAAGUAAGAGAAGCAGAAUGAAACACAAGUUAGUCCAAUUGAGUUAUAAGCAUUGCAUAGCCUCUCUUCUCCCUUUUGACAUCAUCGAAAAGUUGUCUUAACAAGUGAAAACAUUUAAUAAUUCAUGGCCAUUGAGGCUAUCACUAAGAUAAUCAAAAUUCAGAAUAAUAUAACAUGAAUGCAGUAUGAGGGAACAGAAGCAGAAAAUGGUAUAACAAUCAAGUCCAUUUCAUUAAGUAGAAGAUAUAACUACAUAUACCAAAAGUAACUAAAGAGAAAACAAGUUACUCAGAGAAGCAACAAAAAGAGACAGUUCUAAGAGGUCAUAAAAGACUAAGUAGAAGAGCUAAGUAGAUGAAGAAGAGGCAAGAAGGGAGAUGAGUCUCCUAACGACAUCAACAUUCUCAACUCUUUCUUUUUUCAAUAGUGAAGUAAGCGAAGCAAUCUAAGCUUGAAGAAUCCCCAUUUCUUCUUCAUGAGCAGCCUGUGCAGCCUCCAAAGCUGCCUGAGCAACUUUCACCUCAGCUUGUUUAUCAGCCAGUGCAUUUCUCAACCUUUGCGUUGGAGUAUCAGCACUCCUCAUGGAAAUAGGUAGCAUCAUGUGGUUCACAGGCCCUAUGAUAUCCUUGGUAGUCAGUGAAGACCACACUUGGACAGAAAUACCAAACUCUUCAAAUAUAGGGGUGAGCCAGAACUGAUAAGGUAGGGCAUAUCCAUUAAUUUCCUUAAGGAGAACCCUUUACAUGUGCUUCAGGAUUAGGCGAGGCAAAUCAAUUCUCACCUCAGUGUCCAACCGUUCCAUGAGUGUAAGAUCAAGAAAACUAGCCACACACCGUCUCUCCUUCUUAGGAGUAAUUAUUUUGUGGACCAAAUAAAAAUAGAGCUGAUGUAUUAGGGACAUCUCCCUUUUAAGGACUCUUCUAUGGUGGAGCAAGUUAGGAUUUCCAUAAAACUUUCUACAUAUCUCGAAGGCAGAGGAAGGAUUAUCCACAGGUGUUCAACCACCCUUAACAUAGUGACCCUAUCCCCCAGAGGGAAUACAUAAAAUCCUAGCAAUGUCAGCAACAUAAAGGUUCAUGGUAACCUUUCGACAGUAGUGGAGAACAGAUCACCAAUUCCUACCCCAUUCGUAUAAAAGUAAUAUACUUCAGGUUUAACAAAUCUACGUUGAAGAUAACCCUAAAGAAAUAAAUAGGACCAACCUUGAAACUCUAAUUUUUCUAGUAACAUUUGUAUAGCAGGCCUCCCAAAACCACUAACUACCCUCCCUAUAGCUAAUUUUCGCUUUUAAAAGUAAAGAUGAUGAGCCUUAGGAGUAUCCUGAUGAGAAGAUGGGUGGAAAACUUCAAACUCAGGUCCCAACUUAUUAGUAGAAUUUAUUUUAAAGUCAGAGUCAGAUGAGUCAGAAGGAACAGGUGUGGUGACCUAUUUCUUGGGAUGACUAAAAGGCUUGGGAGGGAAAACUUUUGAGAAGGUGGAUCCUUUGAUAGUGGAAGGGAAUUUUAAGGAGGAGAAGGCUUUUUGAGUAGAUUUAGAGAGGGUUUCAUGGGCAAUGAGGGUUUUGGAACUUUGGCCAUGAUAGUUUUUAUCUUUCUGAUAGAUCAAAGUAGAAGAUCAGGAGAAGAUGCACGAGGAGGGGUGGGAUCAGAUGUAGCCACACAUUUCUUUUUGCUGUCUCUAAGAGCCUCAGCAAAGGAUACAUCUUCUCAUUUUUUUCUUCCUCGAGUGUAAGGAGUAUGAGGAAUAGAGAUAUUUAGAGAAAGUUCUGGAGGGGUAGUGUUGUCAACAGUGACGAGAAUGGAAGGGGGUUUUCUUGGAAGCUUAGACCUGGACCUUCUUUGAAUUAACUCUGUGAUAGAAAGGUCAUCUAUAUCACUAGGAUUAUCAUCAUCUUCAAUAAUUUAGAGUGGGAUAGGAGGAGAAAGGAGAGGUUUUGAGAAGGAUAGAGAAAGUGAAGAAAUUUGGGCAAAAGGGUUUGGGAAAUUUCUGAAAAUAGUAAAAUUGGUGAAUCUUUAGGACAUUUGAGGAGGGAUUAAAGAAGGUAAAGUAAUGUAUGGAUGAAUUAUAAGUAUGGUGUAGGGAUUUUUGGUAGAACUAGGGAAAGAAAGAUGAUGAAGAAAAUGAAGAGAGGCCAUUGAUAAACUGAUAAUUUUUCUUGAUUGAAGAGAAGAGUAUGAAACACGAAAUAGGAGAGAGAGUAUUUAAAAGAGAAAUGGAAGAAGUUUAAGAGAUGAGAAGAUGUACCUGUAGAAGGAACGUAAUUAUGAGGAAUUCUAGACUGAUGGGAAAGCGAGUAGGAACUUUUUGAGUAAAUAUGACUCUUUAAAUUUGGCGGUUUAAAUGGACCAAAAAGGAACCAGGUAACCAACUUGUUUCUCUUUAGCUACUGUUAGCAAUAAUAAUCAUACCUAAAUGAAAAGAUAGACAAAAUUUUUGUUGUAAUCAAGACUCUCUACAAAAUCAACACAUAUAUUAGUCAAUAUAUUCUAAGAUCUUUGACUUAGGAUACACAACUAAAUGUGUGAGACUGAAUUAACCAACACACAUUUUUUAAUAACAACUUUAUUAUAAUCAAGAAUUGAGGGAGACUUAUGCAAUUUUAAUCAUCCUUAAUGCUAACCUAUUUUUCUUAAAGUGUUCUCUACUUAAAGUCUUAAUAAAAAUGUCAGCAAUCUGAUCCUCGGUAGAGCAAAACAUAAUUGAUAUAUGACCUUUUUCAACAUUAUCUCUGAUAAAGUGAUGUCUAAUAUCAAUAUGUUUGAUUCUUUUAUGUUGAACAAGAUUUUUAGCUAUGUUAAUAGCACUUGUAUUAUCACAAAAAAUAGGAACACAACCAACAUCUAUACCAAAGUCCAUGAUUUAUUGCUUAACCCAUAACAAUUGAGCACAAUAGGAACCUGCAGCAACAUAUUCAGCUUUAGCAGUAGACAAAGCUACUGAAUUUUGUUUCUUUGUAGACCAGGUAAUCAAAUAUGAUCCAAGGAAGUGUGCUAUUCCUGUAGUGCUUUUCCUGUCCACCAAGUAUCCUACAUAGUCAGCACUGAACACAAUGUCAGGCCUACUUGCUGUAAGGUAUAAUAAUUCUCUUCACAGAUAUUAGAUGUAACUCUUUGGGUUUUGCUUGAAACCUGGAACAUAGCCCAACACUGAACACAAUGUCAGGCCUACUUGCUGUAAGGUAUAAUAAUGAUCCUAUCAUACCUCUAUAUAUUUUUUGCUCUACAUCUGAACCUAUUUCAUCCAAAUCUAUCUUUGUAGCAGUGGCAAUGGGAAUACUGAUCUCCUUUACUUCUUCCAUGUAGAAUCUUUUGAGAAGCUCUUUGACAUACUUCUGUUGGUAGAUCAUUGUCCCUGAUGCUGACUAUUUUAUUUGCAACCCCAAAAAAUAAUUCAGCUCUCCUAUCAUGCUCAUCUCAAAUUCACUACUCAUGAGUUUGGCAAAUUCAUGAGUCAUAUUCAUGUUGGUUGAUCCAAAAAUAAUUUCAUAUACAUAUACCUGUACAGCUAACCAAUUCUUCCCAUUAGUUUUUCAGAAUAGGGUAUUAUCAAUUUUACCUCUAAAAUGACCAUUCUCCAGUAGAAACUUUGACAACCUCUCAUACCAAGCUCUAGGUGUUUGUUUCAUCCCAUACAAGGAUUUAUUUAGUUUAUACACAGGAUCAGGAAACUCCUUGCUUUCGAAUCCUGGAGGUUGCUUGACAUACACCUCCUCUUUGAGAAAGCCAUUCAGAAAUGCACUCUUCAUAUCCAUCUGAUAGAGUGUAAACUCCUUGUAGGCAGCAAAGGUAACAAGUAAUCUUAUAGCUUCCAGUCUUGCUACAGAGCAAAAGUCUCAUCAAAGUCGAUUCCUUCCUCUUAGUUAUAUCCUUGGACCACCCACCUGUUCUUGUUUCUUGUGACUGUUCCAUGCUCAUUAACUUUAUUCUUGUACACCCACUUAGUUUCAAUUACCGAUCUGUCUUUUGGAAGAGGAACUAAGUGUCAUACUUUACUUCUUUCAAACUGAUUCAGCUUUUCCUCCAUAGCUAUGAUCCAAUCAGCAGCAAGCAAUGCUUCAGUUAUCUUCUUUGGCUCUAUUUUUGAUAGGAAUGCCUUGAAAGCACACAUACUUCUCAGUCUAAAUCUUGUAUUAAUCCCAGAGGUGAUUUCAGUGAGAAUAUUUUCUAUAGGAUGUGUUCCUUGAUACUUGUACCCUUUUUGAACCAAGCCUACUGAGCUGUUGGGAUCACUGAUAACAUUUUGAUCUGGGUAGUUGGUGACUCAGUUCCUCCUGUCACUGUACCUUCAGCUUUAGUUCCCCCUGUUGAAGUGCCUCCAAGUUUGGUAGCUUCAGUCAAUGAAAUAGGUUGUGUAACCUGUUCCUCAGUAUUAUUCUCUUACUACAGGUAAGUCCUAACACAGGAUUCAUCAAAGAUCACAUGCAUGCUUUCUUCAACACAGUUUGUUCUGUUGUUUAAGAUCCUGUGUGCUUUACUAUGAAGUGAAUAUCCUAAUAAGAUUCCCUCAUCACUUUUAGCAUCAAAUUUUUCCAAAUUAUCUUUCCAUUAUUAUGUAUGAAAUAUUUACAUCCAAAGAUACUAAAGUGAGAGAUGUUAGGCUUUCUUCCUGUUAGUAAUUCAUAGGGAGUCUUCUCUAACAAAGGUCUGAUCAUGCAUCUAUUUAUGAUAUAAGCUGCAGUACUUAUUACUUCAGCCCAAAGGCUUUUAGGAACAUUUGUUGCAAGCACAUUAUUCUAGCCAUAUCUUCCAAAGAUCUGUUUUUCCUCUCUACCACUCUAUUUUGUUAUGGUGUUCUAGGAGUUGAGAAAUUAUGAUCUAUACCAUUUGUUGAACAGUAUUUCAAGAAUUUUACAUUCUCAAAUUCUGAACCAUGGUCAGACCUUAUGGAAACUAAUGAAGUGCCUAGAUUUUUUUGAAUUUUCUUAAUGAAGAUUUCAAAGACAUCAAAGGCAUCUUCUUUAGAGGCUAGACACAAAGUCCAAGUAAACCUAGAAUAGUCAUCAACAAUUACAAAUGCAUAACUUUUUCCACCUCUGCUUUGAAGUCUCAUGGGUCCACAUAAGUCUAUAUGAACCAGGUCAAGAAACUUGGUAGUGCUAACAUGGUUCUUUGACUUAAAAGAGGAUCUUAUCUGCUUCCCCCUUACACAUGCACUACAUAGUUUUUCUUCCUUGAACUUGGUCUUGGGUAAUCCCGAUACCAUGUCUUUGGACGAAAGUAUAUUUAGUUGUUUCAGACUUGCAUGACCAAGUCUUUUGUGCCAAAGGAGGGGAUCAUUUUCUAUAGCACUCAAACAAGUCAGAUCAGGUUCUAAUAGUGCAAUGAUGUUAGCUUUGUUUAUAUUUUUGUAUCUCCUUGCAGUGAGCACAACCUCUUUAGUAUCCAUUCUUUUUACUUUGACUCCUGCAAUAGUAAAAAUAACUUUAUUAACUUUAUCACACAGCUGUGAGAUGCUCAGCAGAAUAUGCUUUAAUCCUUCGACAAGGUAGACAUCCUCCAAUGUUUUUGACUCAGACGAGCCAAUCUUUCCAAUUCCAGUUAUGAUUCCCUUUUUUCCAUCACCUAAAAAAAUUCCUCCUCUAUUUAUUUUGGAGAGUGAAAGGAACUUUUUCUUAUCACUAGUCAUGUGUCUUGAGCAAGCACUGUCUAAAUACCAGUGCCUUUUGUUUCCUUUCACCUUCUCCUGCAAAAGAAUUCAGAGGUUAGCCUUAGGAACCCAGACAAGGUUGAGUCCUAUUUUAUGAGUGAAAGGAUGAAUUAAAUUUCUCUUAGUCCAUGUAGGCUACAUAUAGUGCAACCUGUUUCUCUUACCGAAACUGGUUUCGUUCCUUUUGGUUUAAGAAGAUCUGUUAGCGAGGUUUUGACUGUUUGAUCUACUUUUUGCAGUUACUAGACAUUCAGUGGUGGGAUGUCCAAGGUUUCCACAAAUGUAACAUAAAUCUUUUGGAUUAUCAAAAAUUUUAUGGAAUCCCAAACCUACCUUUUCAUUGAAAUUUUUCUCACUUAAUUUGUGAACAAUUCUAGAGGAGUUUGUCCACUUGUUUGCCCUUUCAAGAUCCAAUUUUAGUUUAGAGAUUUCCUGAUUCAACUUAUUCAUUUUUUCAGUUAAAUCAUGGCAUUCUUGUUUGUAUUUAACAAGCUCAAUUUUAGCAUUUUCUUGUUCUUUACUCAUGGCCUUCUUCCCAUUUUCAGUGAGUUAAUUUGAGAACUUCAGACCUAAGAUUGUUGUUUGAAAUCUCAAGUUCUACAACCUGUUUCUUGAGAAUGCAAUUUUCCUUUUCAAUUGUAUCUGAGCAAGCCUUUAAAUCAAUGAGAUCAAAUUUAAGACUUGCUAGACUAUUGAACAAUUCAUCCCUAUCAGAGGUUAACUCUUGGAAAUCAUUAAUCAAUGCACUCAUCAAGAAAACAAGUUUUGGCUUUGAGAACAAUUUCAAUUUUUCUUUGAGUUCAAGUAUACUUACCUCAGAGUCCUCAUCUUCUUCAUCUAUAUCUGAAUCCCCAAGGGCCAUGAAUGUAGUUUCAUCAACUUCAUCUUCAUCUGAAUCAGAUCCCCAGGCUGUUAUCAUUGCAUGCUCCUCUUUUCUUUUUGCCUUCAGUUCCUUUUUGGUUUUUUCCUUCUUCUAUUCUAUUUCUCAGACUGGACAGUCUCUAAUCUGAUGAUCAGUUUUGCCAUAUUUUUAGCACCCAUUUAGAUUGUCAUUGGAAUGUUUCUUAGUACCUGUUCCCUUCUUCUUCUUGAAGAAUUUGUUGAAGUUCUUAGUUAUGAAGGCAAAUUGCUCCUUAUCAAGUUCAAAUUCCUCAUCACUAUCAGAAGGUUUCAAUGCUAAGAUUUUCUCAGGAGCUGCUUGUUCUUUGACUCCAUCAACUUCUAUUUCAUAAGUCCUUAAGUUACCUACUAGUUCAUCAAGAGUCAUGCCUUCAAGAUCCUUAUUCGCCUCCCUGAUUGCAGUCAGCUUGACAUUUCAUUUUGAUUUAGGUAAUACCCUUAGUACCUUUUUAACUUGUUCUUCCUCAGAGAUGACUUUUCCUAAGGAAGUUAGCUCAUUUGUUAAAGUGUUAAGCCUUGUUAUCAUUUCAUGCAAGGUUUCAUUUUCCUUCAUUUUGAAUGCCUCAAACUCUGUGAAAAGGAGAGAGAUCCUGAAUUUUCUUACUUGAGAAGUGCCUUCAUGAGAAUUUACCAGUGCAUCCCAAAUUUUCUUAGCAAUAAUGCAGGUGGAUACCCUGUUGUAUUCAGCAGGUCCUAGAUCAUAGACCAAGAUGCUCUUGGCCUUUGUAUUUUUCUUCAAAGCCAACAAGUCAUCAGGAGUAAAUUCACUCCUUACUUUCUUGAAUUGUUCACUAUUAACCGUCUUCAUUGGAAUAGUGGGACCAUCAGUAAUCCUGUCCCAUAAUUCAUAAUCUUUACCUUGAAAGGACAUCUCCAUCCUUGCAUUCCACCAAAUAAAAUGAGAGUUAUCAAAAAUUAGAGGUCUAGUAGUUGACUAACCUUCACUGUGACCAGUAGGAGGUGCGGAAUUCAUCAUAUUGAUCUUUUCUUAGGUACUACCUUUAUUUAAGACAACCUCGCUCUGAUACCACUUGUUAGAGUACGAGCCCUACUAAUUGCCUAUCUGUGGAAUAAGUAAGUAAAUACUGAACACAGUAUUUUUAUGUGGAAAACACCCGGCUCCAGAAAGGUGUAAAAAACCAUGACCUGUACCUCUACAGGAUUUAACCCCAACUUCACUAUAAUACUUGAGCCUCAACAAUUAACAGAAUUAUAAGACUUCUUGUAAACUAGGAAUUAAAACUUCUAACUCCUAUCACUACAAAAACAUAAAUCUUUCUAAGAUAAGUGUUCCCAAGUCUUCAAGUUUCCAAAAUUGAAGACACAAUUCCUAACUUAGUUGAUAGAUCACUGAAACUAGAAAAAUGACUCAUUACAACUCAAAGAACCUACCUACUACAUACAGUCUACGAUUUGCUAAGUAAGAGACCGGGUUCUUCUUCAAGUAUGUGAACUAAUAUGCUGAUUGUUGAUUUCCUUUUCAGUUCUUGAGCGCUCAGCCUUUUAAUUCCUUUUGUUGUAUUUAAGCCAUCCUCUGAUAAAGUCUUUUUUGACAUCUACUUCUCUUUACAGUAGGACUCUUAUCAAGUGACUCUUCUACUUAUUGAUGCCGCCUCUUUCUCUCUUAGAUUUAAUAGGACUCUUUCUUCUCUUAUUGCUGAACUCCUUAGUCAACCCAACUUCUACACUAUUUUAUGUUUCUCUUCAUCUUGACUAGGACUCUUUUACAGGACUUCUUAUUUCACUCAACUUAUGAUUUGAUAGAUAUUAUCCAUUUCUGUUUGUACGCAGAAAUAUCUUAUCAAUGCCUUGUCUGCAGCUUAGCUUUGUUCACUUAGAUGGACCAGCUUUUACAACAUGUUUCAUUCAUAUGUCUAUCAUCAAAACUCCACAUGUCCUAACAACAAGCAUUAUUCUUAUACACUCUACCAAAAGACCCCUUAACAUUCUCUCAAGAACUCAUUAGCAUAGGUAAAAUAAGAAAGAUGUAUUUAUAAAUAAAUACAAAAAUUGUUAUAAAAUAUAAAGAAAUAAAAAGAAGAAUAGAGAAAAGAGAGUAAUUCUUAUUUCUCUCAAGGGAUUCUCUUGAUGGGUGAAUUACAAUGAAGGAAAACCUCUUUAUUUAUAGGAAAAAACUAACCUUGGAGUUUCUAACUUUUUCAUAAAUAGACAUUCACUAUAUAUGGUAAAGUAGACAUUCACUAUAUAUGGAAAAAAUAAGCUCACACUCCCCCUUGGAUGGCUAGUUGAUAGAUAAUGUGCCUCAUUAAAGCCUUACUAGAAAAAACUCAGUGGGAAAAAUGUAGUGAAGCAAAAAGAGUGCACAUCUAUAACAAUACACAUAUAGGCUGCCUCAUUAAAAACCUUACAAGAAAAAUCCAGAAGGACAAAACCUCGUAAGAAAAAAAGAGUAUAGUGAGUAUUAACUCCCCCUAAUGAGAUCAUUAUUGAACCUUUGCAUCUCGAUCUUGUGCACUAUAUUCUUGAAGGUUGUAGUUGGAGGAGACUUGUUGAAUAAAUCAUCCACAUUGUCACUUGAACUAAUUUGUUGCACGUUAAUAUCACCAUCCUUUUGUAGCUCGUGCGUAUAGAAAAGCUUUGGCCAAAAUGUGUUUCAUUCUAUCUCCUUGAGUCCUUCCUUAAGUUGUGUUAUGUAUGAUGCAUUAUCCUCAUAAAAAAACAUGGGUACUUUGUAACAUUUCAAACCACAUUUUUCACGAAUGAGAUGUAUCAUGGACCCCAACCACACACACUCUUCGCUUGCUUCAUGAAUAGCUAUUAUCUCAGCAUGAUUCGAUAAAGUGACUAUGAUAGACUAUUUUUUAUAUCUCCAAGAUAUGGUAGUACCCCCAUAUAUGAACACAUAGCUUAUUUGAGAUUGAGAUUUAUACGGAUCGGAUAAGUAGCUAGCAUCAGCAUAACCAACAAGAUCGGGACUAUAAUCUUUAGAAUAAAAUAAGCUCAUAUGUUUGAUCUUAUUUCGAUGUCUCCUAGUAGGAGCAAAACUAUACCUUGCUAAUAAAUUAAUCGAAAGGCUAUAUUGGGUCCUCUAGUAGUUACAAGAUACAUUAGUACACCAAUUGCACUAAGAUGUAUAAUCAUUCCAAUUCGGUAUAUUUCUUAUUCAAGUGAAUAAUCUAUUGUUUUUGAAAAUUCUCAAAGAGUUUCAAUAAUUUUCAACUAUAAGCUUAUACAAUAUAAGGAUUAUAAAUAAGUUUACCAAAAACUUUUAUAUUCUUGAAACAUUUCUACUCCUUAAAAAGUUUCCAUAUAAAUUUUGUCAACUGACAAUAUUCAACAUUUCAUGUGCGACAUCUUCAAGUGCCUGGACUGCAAAUCAAAUAAUUUUUAUGCUUACCAAGAUGCAUCCUUUUAUAUCAUUUAAUAAAUAUUUCUAUGUUAGGAUGCUUAAAUAAACAUAGAAUUUAGAUUCUCGUAAUCUUUUACAAUAUUGAGCCAAUAUUGUAUCAAAAAAAUUAUUGAUGAUAUAUCAUUUUAUAUCAGUUCACAAUGUGACAUAACAUUUUGAGAUCGCAUUACUUUAUUAUUUUCAGGUACCCGAACCUCUCAUAAGAUUUUAUAAAGUGUUAUGUCAUAGGCUCUUCAAGAGCUCAUUGCUUUCUUAUUAUGAUUAUUUUCUACUAAUCCUUUUCAAUUAUUUUUUAUUUGAAAUCGAUUUGUCUACCACGCUUCACACAUUCAUAGAUUUUAUCCUUUAAGAACACAAAAUAGGAACACUUGCAGCUUAAAUAUGAGAUACUUUGGCAUUUGACUUGAAUUAUCUUUUGAAUAGGGAUCUAAUGAUAAUUCCCAACAUACUUCAUAGUUGCUUAUAAUCUUCUCCUUAUGUCAGGAAAACUAACAUGCAUCCUUCAUAUUCUUUGAGCAAUCCAUCUUUGUGUAUCAUGGUAUGUUCAUUAAUUAUAUAUCGCACAUCAAAACUAUUAGAUAGACAAUAUGUGGUUCCUGACUCAGAACCAACUUUGAUGAGGAAUUAAUCAUAAUUUAUUGAUUUGAUGCAUACAAGUACUUUUGUAUAUAAUAUUUCAAACCAACACAUAAAGCUUUGUUCUCAUUAGAAAUGAUUCAGCUAUUUAUCAAAGGUAUUCAAUUCCAAAUCAGCAUUAUCAAGAUGAAUUAUCUUGAUUACCUAUCUGAAAAUUAUGCUCUUAACUCAAUUUAUAUUGAGCAAGCAACUUUAUAAAUGUCAAACUUCAGGUUGACAAUAAAGUCACAUGUGAUCACCUUAUAUUGAUGCAUCUUAACAGAUCAUAUGAUAAGUGAACGAGCCCUUAUUCAUCUUUAAUAUUUUUUUCAGAUUUUAAGGGAUCCAAUCCCAAUAUUAAUUGGUCCAACCAUCUUAUCAUGAGAACAUGCAACACUAAAAGUUAAUGAAAAAUUUUCUAAUUCUUCUAAUAUUCACAUAUUUGGAAUGUCAUAAUAGUUUAUGUCAACUUAUGAACUUAUUUUUACUAGUAAACUUCAAGUUUAUCAUAAUUUGUGCUUUUACUUUAGUAAACUUCUUGUCUACUGUGACAUAAAUUUUGUAUCAAUAAACAAUAAACUCUUAGUUUAUUAUGAAAUAUGAUUUCAUCAUGCUUGGAUAACUUUUUACAUUUGUGUUUCUUACUACAAUAACUUGAAGAUAUUCAAUCUUCUAAUUAUUCGACAUAUUCUAGAAGUGGAUUGUGAUAUCUUCAUAAGUAAUAACACGUUUGAAUCUAUAAGCUUGACAAAAUAGAGUCACAUUCACCCCCCAAGGUAUAUAUCUGCACUUAUAACAAUUGAAAUUCACAUACCCCAAUGUAAUACUCCAUACUUUUCUUAGUUCAGUUCAGCUCCAAGUGUUAGCAUAAGAGGCUAAAAUCCUAAAAAUUGAGCGAUGUAUUGAGGACAUAGCCAUUUUUAAGACCUUCUAACUUCAAAAAAUUUUACGUUGACCUUCCAGACUUGGAGAUGAUAGUUUUUGAGUUGAUUCAUGAUCAGGGGUGUAAGGAGCAUGUCUCGGGUAAGUUUCAAAUUUUUUUGGACGAGGAUUGGGUCACGUUUGGAUUACAAUUCCAGUAGCUCAAUGCAAUUCCCCCAUGUCAUGCCAGGAAUAGCGAUGAGACACUCAUCGCAUCAUGGUGAAGGAGUAAUCUCCAUGUUAUUGAUUCAUAAUUUGAAUGCAUGUGUCAUGAUAUUUAUCCUAGUGUGUGAAGAGCUUAUUAGGUGAAGAUUGUUCACAAAAAUCACUUCGAGGCAACUUGAGCUAAGAACCUUAGAUUCGUCCAAAGUUUGGCGUUCAAUUAUAUAAGGAUCAACUUUGAAAGUAUCUAACUUUUAAUGUAUAUAAAAAAUUUUAGCUCAAGACCUACCAAAUUGUAGAUAAUUGAGCUAGCUUUCCGACGAUACUAAUUUUACCUUAAUCCGAUACUCGAGCAGAAAGUUAUGAUCAUUUUCGUUAGAACCAUUAAGCUACUAUGAUUAUACCACGUUGCUGUGAUCCUUCAAAAUGGAAUCCGAGUUAUGAAUUUUUGGUUUAAAUGAGUGAGGGUCAAUUAGGCCUUUUCUCACCUCAACCCAGGUCGUAAAAACAUGAUAUUAAGUGUCCAUUAGGGCAUUAUUUUCCCUCAUUCUCCUAUUUUACUCUCAAGAACAAACCCUAAUCAUUCCUCCUCAAGAUCAUCCAUUCCAUCACUUCCUCUUCAAGAAAAAUCAAGAUUAUAAGUUCUCCAAUCCAAUAAUCUCAAGAAAUCUUUCAAGAUCAUCUUCGUGGCUUUCAAGGUGAAGGUUUCUCCACCAAGUCAAAUCUAUUAAGGUAUGUGGGAGUUCCUCCAUGGGUCCCCUUUAACCCAUUGAGCCCAAAACCCUUUUAUUUCAAUUAAAGAGUGAAUUUUUUAAUCAUUAUGUUAUUUUAGAUGUUCAAAAAAGAUUAAAUUUCAUGUUUUAGUGGUGUUUUUAAUUCAAUUCAGCCCGUGUGUGAUACCAUGCAAGAUUUUGAAUUCCUCAUGCCAUGAAUUUGAGUUCCCCCAUGCUUUAUUCAAUUGAAUUCCAUGAUAGAUCUUAAAUUCAUGAUUUUUAGCAAUAUUCUCAUGAUUUAAAUUCAUGCUUUCCACAUGUCUGAUGAAAUUCCCAUAUCAUGUUCAAUCAAUUUUAAGAUGAACCCCCAAGUUAUGAAUUUUUCUAUGUAACUCUAUUGUUCCCUCAUGUUUAAGAGAUUCUUAUGUUCAAUCUAUGAUCUUUAUAUGUUUUGAUGAAAUGUCUAUGUCCUAUUUUAAGUGAAUUUCAUGUAAAUUCCCCAAUUCAUGAUCUUAGUUAUGUAAUCAUGCUAUGCUCCCAUUUUUAAGUUCAUGAUUCCUAAGUGUUUUCAUUGUAACUCACCCUUGACACAUUUGAAUGGUGAUUUUUGCAUGUCACAUCAUUAACCCAUGAUUUUAGAAUUGAAAAUAUGUUAUUAUCUCAUGUUUGAAAAUAUUUUCAUGCUUAAGUUUAUGAAUUCCAAGUGUUUGAUUAAAUGCCCUAAUGAUUGGGUUUUGAAUAUUGACUACUUAUUAUGUCCCGAAGCGUUAGUAUGUCCUAUUAUUAUUGUUAUUGAGUCCUGGGGUUAUGAAUACCCUAAAUUUAGCUGUUUACCUAGUUUUCAGUACCUACAGAAUGAUUUUGGAUAUAUUUGAAUAUUAUUAGUUUGGUCAGUUAUCAUACCAGUCAAACUUAGAUCAGUUCAGUAAUUCGAGUCAGUUCAGUUGGAAGUAGGAUUUCGCACUGAGCGAACCCAGGGAUGGGGGCUCACCUAUCAGUUGAGGGUAUGACCUUUAGUAGUUAUCCCUACAUUCUAAAACUAUAUAGCCAGCGUAGGUUGAGAUGUUAACCUGCUAGUUGAGGGUUAACAUAUAUAUCACUAGAGCACGUUCCAAUAGAGGGUGACUCUUUAGUCCUUCAGGGCUUCACUUUAGUAGAUCCACGCAGUUAUGUGUUAGUGCUCAUGGAACAGAACUGACACCCUACCAAUUGGAGUCACAGGUUGGACCCCAAUUAGCUCAUAUUGGGGCAUGUUGGUUAGAUGAUAGCUCCCACAGACUCAGCUCAUUAUUCAGUUUUAGAGUUCAGUUUCAGGUUUGCUUGACUAUAACAUACAAUUAUCAGUUAUUUAGUUAUCAGUAUAUCAGUAUCUUAAUAUACAAACUAUAUCAGAAUCAUAUUUUAUGCUUAAUCUUACCUUCUCAGAUUUUAUAGUUUUUAUGUAUUUAUGCUCAGCUAUCUCGUGUUGUUCAAUAGUAUGAAUUCAUAUAUCAGUUACUCAGUAUAAAUACGCUAGUUACCCCUUUUUCUUAGAUUUCACUCAUUUUGUCACCCAAGCGUCAGUUAUUCAGUUAAUCAAAUCAGUUCAGUACAUAUAUAUUUGUUUUUGAACAUUUAUAUAUUCAUAUUUUACCAUAUCCCAACUUUGGUUCUACUUAUAUUAUAAAAGGAAAGUCUUAAAAAACUAAGUGUAGUGAUUCACCAGCUUAUCAGAUUAUGUUUGUUACUCAUGAUUUAAGCUACAUCAGAUUUUACUUUAUUUUAGUCUCUCGGUGAUUUUACUUACACCUAGUCAUACAUAUUUUAAGAUUACGUAUGAAACCAAAUUUACUUAUUGCAUUCACCCUCGCUUACUCAGUAUAUUUCAAAAGUAUUGAUCCACAUAUACGUCAUGCAGCUACAUUAUUCAAUAAUGUAGGUACCAGUUGUAGUCCACAUAUCAUGAUUGACAGUUUUAGAUUUUAGCCAGCAGGUGAUGAGCUCUCCUACUUUAGGGACUUUAGUCAGAUGUUGUUCAUGUAUUUUACUUUAUUACUCAUAUAUAUUGAUUAGUGGUAGUUGGGGUCAUGUCCUAGCUAUCUAUAGUCAGUAUAGUAGAGGCUUCAUAGAUGUCAGUCAGAGUCAGUCAUGUAAUUUUAGUUCUCCCCUCAGUUUUUUAUCAAAUUGUAAAUUGUAUCAAUAAUAUAAUUUCUCUCAGAUUUUGUCAUGAUUAUAUUUCUUCAAAGUAGAACAACUAUUUAAUAUAUUAUAAUUAAGUUGCUUAAAGUAUGUUAGUUCAUGAGUUAGCUUGGGAUCACUUGUGGUUUCAAGCACCAUGUUAUGACUAGGGGUAAGUGUCGGGUCGUGACAAACUUGGUAUCAGAGCAUAGAUUUCAAGUUUCCUGGGGUGUCUAUGAAGUUGUGUCUAGUAGAGUCUUGUAGAAUGGCAUGGAGACAUCUGUACUUUCCUUUGAGAGGCUACAGGGUAUUUAGGAAAUGUUUCUCUUCUUUCAUGUCUCAAAUCGUGCAGUAGAAGUGUUCUCUAAGAAAUUUAUACAGAUCCUCAUCUUACUCCAUUCAUGUCAACUUUGCUUUCUUUUCAUGGUAACAGAAAUAGUCAAGCUCAAAUUCCUACAGAUAGAGCUUUCUCAAACAGUCCCCACAGACAUUUAUGGGGGGAUUACAUAGGUACUAAAAGGAUCCCAUCAGUUCCCUUAUGUUCUAAAGUAUGAAUGAUUUCAUUCAUGUUCAUGAAAAUCAUGUACUAAGCUAAAGUCAUAUGUUCCCUCAGAUCCCUUCUCAGAAUCCUAUGAUAGUAUGUAACCUAGAGUUAGAAGCAUGAACCAAGAAGUUUAGCAGUAGUAAAGUUGGGAUAAUGUUAUCUGGAUUGAGUAGAUUUUGUACCCAUAGGGAUAAUUAUAUGAAAGGUGAAUUAGUAGGCUUGAAAUAGUGUAUGCAAGUAUUUAAGUUUAUUGAUUUGAAAUUAUAUGUUGUUGAUGUUAGGUAUAUUGGUGUAAUGGUAAUUCUCAUAGUUUAGGGAAAAAUAUAAGUUUAGAAAUGUGGUAUUACUAGGUUGUGAGAAAGCAGUAUGGUUCAUUAAAGGGUUUGUAAUAUCCAUGUUAAGUGUUAGAAUCUAAGUUUGAAUUUGUAUGGUUGAGCUAAUAGAAAGAAGAUUUGAAAUUCUAAAUGGUGAUACUCCCAAAGAUUCUAAGUUAAUCAAAGUUUAAGUUUUUAUAUGAUGAUUAUGGGGCUAUAGAAAGAUAAGAGUUGUAUCUCAAAAGGAAGUAUUAGCAGUGGGUCUUACACUUUUAGGUGUAGUAUUUCAGGGUGAAAUUAUCUAUGUGUAUUGUUAUAUCUUGAACUCUAGAGUAAUAUAGUUGCAGUUCAGUUUAGAGUUAUUAAAGGGAUCCACAGACUUAGAAUGACAGCUUAAAGCUAAGAGGGAAAUAAUAGAAUAAGUAACUAAGCCAAGCACUCAGAUCUAGUGGUGAUGCCAGUAUGCUGUAGAACAGCAGUAAGAGAGGAUGAUGCCCAACCCAUUCUUACCUCAGUGUAAAGUUUUUCAUUCAUCAUGACCUCUACUCAUGCCUACAAGUCAUCCCUAUAUCAUAGCUCAUAUUUUUGCACUUUUCAUAGAAUCAUGUACGUUUCCAGUUCCUAUUAUGAGAAGUUCAAGUUUACUCGGUAGUAAGAAUCAUAUUCCAUGAAAUUAUGAACUACAAACUCAAGUCAUGUAGCUCAUGACACAUGUACUCAUGAUUUAUAGUAGGUUCAGUUCCAGGUACUCAAGCUACCUUAUUAAUGAUCAGCAAAAUUCAGAUUAUGUCAUGUAUAUCCUCAGCUUAGACCUCUUCGAUGAAUCUAUAAUAUUGAUACUCUAUUCCUUAGGCCUCAGUUAUGUGUCAAAGUUAUCCUUUCAUGCUUCAGGUCCUUAUGUUCUAACCUUUCAGUGACUUUUCCUUAAUAUUAAGAUAGUAAUGAUAAACGGUUGUUUAGGUGAGAGAGAGUAAGUGUUACUUGUUUUCAUGGUUCAGACUAGUAUUACAGUGUUAUGUGUGUACCAUGUGGUUUAGAAUUAGGCUUGGACAUGGUGGGAGUAUGUAGCUUAACUCAGACUUUGGCAGGAAUAGUUAUAUGUAUCCAUGUAAGAAUUAUAAGUUGAAUCAAAUAAGCAUGGUAUUUAAGGGGAAACGUAUAGUUGAGUAUAAGCUUUCAACAUAAUUUAGUCUAUAUAGCCAGUAAUUUAGUUUAGCAGUUAGACAGGCAAGUUCCUAUGGUUUUUCCAUAUCCCCACCUAGUCUUACUAUCAAAAGUCUCGUGAAUAUGGCCAUUCCAUGAGGUAAACUAUUUGCAUCCAUGAAAAUUACAAAUUCAGCUCGGUUCAUGCAUCAUGUUUCAGAUUUAGAUACUAAGUCAGGAUUCAACUCGUGAGUAUCCCGUGCAUCAUCUCAGUUUUUUCUUUGUAUCUCAACCAAGUCAUAUCUACAACCUCUCAACUUUUCUUUAUGAAACUAGAUCCAACCUUACAUAAGGGUUACUUAUAUUGACUCUCUCGUUCCUAUCUCAACCUUAUAACUAUUCUCAUGUUAGUGCAUGUAUUCAAGAAAUUAGCUCAGUCGUGAUAUUCAGUUCAUGUAUCAUGUUUUAGACUCAGUUAGGUAAUCAUAUUCCAAGUCAUGCAUGUUCAGUAUAUAAUCUCAAUUAACUUAGCAUAGUACUCUCAGUCUAACUAGUCUCAUUCGAGGAUGAAUAUUCUCAAGGGGGAGAUAUUAUAAUACCUCAUACUUUUCUUAGUUCAGUUCAGCUCUUAGUGCUUGCAUAAGAGGCUAAAAUAUUAAAAAUUUAGCUAUGUGUUGAGGACUUCGCCAUUUUUAAGACCUUCUAACUUUGAGGAAUUUUAAGUUCUUUCUGAACUCUGAGAUGAUGGUUUUUAAGUUGAUUCAUGAUCAGGGGUGUAAGGAGCAUGUCUCGAGUAAGUUUUAGAUUUUUUCGGGCGAUGAUUGGGUCACCUUUGGAUUUCAAUUCCAGUAGCUCAAUGCUAUUCCACCAUGUCGCGCCAGGAAUAGCGAUGAGACACACAUCGCAGUGUGGUGAAAAUGUAUUCACCAUGUUCUUGAUUCAUAAUUUGAAUGCAUGUGUUAUGAUCUUUAUCCUAGUGUGUAAAGUGCUUAUUAGGUGAAGAAUGUUCAUAGAAAUCACUUUGAGCAAAGUAGAGCUAAGAACCUUAGAUUCGACCAAAAUUUGAUGUUAGAUUCUACAAGGGUCAACUUUGAAAGUGUAUAACAUUAGAUGUAUGUAGAAUUUUUCAGCUCAAGACCUACCAAAUUGUAGAUAAUUGAGCUAGCUUUCCGACGAUACUAAUUUUACCUUAAUCCGAUACUCGAGCAGAAAGUUAUGAUCAUUUUUGUCAGAACUAGUAAGCCACCACAAUUAUACCGCAUUGCGGUGAGCCUUCAAAACACAAUCCGAGUUACGAAUUUUUGGUUUAAAUAAGUAAGGGUCAAUUUGGCUAUUUUUCCACCUCAACCCAAGUCAUAAAAACACGAUAUUAAGCGUCCAUUAGGGAUUUAUUUGCCCUCAUUCUCCUAUUUUACUCUCAAGAAUAAACCCUAAUCAUUCCUCCUCAAGAUCAUUCAUUCCAUCACCUCCUCUUCAAGAAAAAUCAAGAUUUUAAGUUCCCUAAUCCAAGAAUCUUAAGAAAGCUUUCAAGAUCAUCUCCAUGGCUUUCAAGAUUAAUAUUUCUCCACCAAGUCAAGUCUAUUAAGGUAUCUGGAAGUUAAUCCAUGGGUACCCUUUCACCCAUGGAGCCCAAAACCCUUUUCUAUCAAUUAAAGAAUGAAUUCUUUGAUCAUUAUGUUAUUUUAGAUGUUCAAGAAAGAUUAAAUUUCAUAUUUUUAUAGUGUUUUUAAUUCAAUCCAGCCCGUGUGUGAGUCCAUGCAAGAUUUUGAAUUCCCCAUGCCAUGAAUUUGAGUUUCCCCAUGCUUUAUUCAAGUGAAUUCCAUGAUAGACCCUAAAUUCAUGAUUUUUAGCAACAUUCCCAUGGUUUAAACUGAUGUUUUCCACAUGUUUGAUGAAAUUUCCAUAUCUUGUUCAAUCAAUUUUAAGAUAAAUCCCCAAGUUAUGAUUUUUUUCAUGUAACUCUAUUGUUCCCCAAUGUUUAAGACAUUCUUAUGUUCAAGCUAUGAUCCUUACAUAUUUUUAUGAAAUGCCCAUGUCCCAUUUCAAGUAAAUUUCAUGUAAAUUUCCCAAUUCAUGAUCUUAGUCAUGUAAUCAUGCUAUGCUCCCAUGUUUAAGACAUUCCCAUGUUCAAGUUCAUGAUUUCCAAGUAUUUUCGUUGCAAUUCACCCUUGACACAUUUGAAUGGUGAUUUUUGUGUGCCACAUCCUUAACCCAUGAUUUUAGUAUUGAAAUUAUGUUAUUAUCUCAUGUUUUAACCAUUCUCAUGCUUAAGUCUAUGAAUUUCAAGUGUUUGAUAAAAUGUCCUAAUGAUUGGGUUUAGAAUAUUAACUACUUAUUAUGUCCCAAAGCUUCAGUAUGUCCUAUUGUUAUUGUUAUAGGUAGGUCCUAGGGGUUAUGAAUCCCUGAAAUUUAGUUUUUUACCUAGUUUUCAGUACUUACAAAAUGGUUUCGGAUAAAUUUGAGUAUUCUCAUUUCAUUCAAUUAUCAUAUCAGUCAAACUUAGAUCAGUUUAGUAAUCCGAGUCAAUUCAAUUGGGAGUAGGAUUUAGCACCGAGCGAACCCUGGGAUGGGGGCUCACCUGCCAAUUGAGGGUGUGACUUUUGGUAGCAGUCCCUGUGUUCCAAAACUACAUAGCCAGCGUAGGUUGAGAUGUUAGCCUACUAGUUGAGGGUUAACAUAUAUCUAACUAGAGUACUUGCCAGUAGAGAGUCACUCUUUAGUCCUUCGGGACUUCAAUUUAGUGGAUCCACACAACCAUGUGUUUGUACCCAUGGCACAGUACUGACACCCUUCCAAUUAGGGUCACAGGUUGAACCCUAAUUAGUUCAUAUUGGGGCAUGUCAGUUAGAUGAUAGCUCCCACAGUCUCAGUUCAGUAUUCAGUUUCAGAGUUUAUUUUCUGGUUUGCUUGACAAUAGCAUACAGUUAUUAGUUAUUCAGUAAUCAGUAUUUCAGUAUCUCAAUUUAUAGACUAUAUCAGAAUUAUGUUUUAUGCUUGGCCUUACCUUCUCAGAUUUUACAGUUUUCAUGCAAUUGUGCUAAGCUAUCUCGUGUUGUUAAGUAAUCCGGAUUUAUAUAUCAGUUACUCAGUAUGUAUACACUAGUUACCUCUUUUUCUUAGAUUUUAGUCAUUCCGUCACCCAGACGUUAGUUAUUCAGUUAAUGAAAUUAGUUCAAUACAUAUAUGUUUGUUUUGAGUGUUCACAUAUUUAUGUUUACCAUAUCCCAGCAUCGGUUUUACUUAUAUUAUAAAAGGAAAGUCAUAAGAAACUAAGUGUAGUCAUUCACCAGAUUAUCAUAUCAUGUUUGUUACUCAUGAUUUAAGCUACUUCAGAUUUCAGUUUAUUUCAAUCUCUCGGUGAGUCUACUCAUACCUAGUCAUGCAUGUUUUAAAAUUACGUAUGAAACCAGUUUUACUUAUUACAUUCACCCCCGCUUACUCAGUACAUUCCAGAAGUACUAAUCCACAUAUACGUCUGUGUGGCUACAUUGUUUUAUAAUGUAGGUACCAGUUGUAGUCCACACAUCAUGAUCAAACAGUUGCAAAUUUCAGCCAGCAGGUGAUGAGUUCUCCUACUUCGGGGACUUCAGUCAGACGUUAUUCAUGUACUUUACUUUAUUACUCAUAUGUAUUGAUUAGUGGUAGUGUAACGCCCCGAGUCUACACCCUGGACUUCACACGAUGCUUAUAAUCCCGAAGGACCACAAGCUAACUCAUGACUGGUACCUACUGUGAGCACUGAGUAAUAAUACUGAUAACAUAUGCAAAAAUAUAACUGAAAUGCCUUAACGUUCUAAAAAUACUGAAAUAAAUACUGAAUACUGAUAGUAAUAUUGAAAAACUAAACAUCUGUCUGAAAUAGUCUAGUCCAAAAGUCUUUAACUAUCUGAAUAUGGAGUUGAUGAGACAAGUCCCCAACUAACUCUGACUACUGAACAUACUAAACUACUGGAAUACUGAAAUAAUAACUCUGCCCUAGAAAUAUAAGGACUCACCACUAUAACUGUUGUUGAUAACCUGAGCUGCUAAGUAUGGUCAGGAACCUAAGCGCCCGAACCUAUGAUAUGAGACAUCAUAGCACAAAGAAAGAGUAUGCGUCAGUACGUGGAAUGUACUAGUAUGCUAGAUGAGGUGAGGUUGAAAUGCAUGGGCUCAUAUACAUGAACAGUAAUUGACUGAAUGAUAUGAGCAUAACUGAAUGAGAGUACAUAGAUAACUGAAACUGCUAUAAAUACUGAUUAUGAAAUAUUGUGCAUAUAUAUAUAUAUAUAUAUAUAUAUAUACUGCAUCUGAGAUCAUACUGAGACUUAAUACUGAGUUCUGAUAACUGAGUGACUGAUAUUUGAGAUUACUGAUAACUGGGUAACUGUUUCUGACAGUCCUGAUUCUAUAGAACUGAACUAAGUUCUAUACUGAGUCUGAAACUAAAACUGUAACUGUUGGAGCCGACAUACCCUAAUUAUAAACUGAGUUGGGGUCUAACCUGUGACCUCAGUUAGAAGAGUGUUAGCACCGUGCCACAGGUACUAAUAAUGGCUAUGUGGAUCCACUAAAGAAUCUCCCUAUCUGGCAGGUGAGAUAGGUGUUACCCUCAACUAGCAGGUGAACACUUUAUCAACCCUCAACUGGUAGGUUUAUAUAUUUAACCUACGCUGGCUACGUAGUUCUGGAACUAAGAAACUCCUACUAAAGGUCACACCCUCAACUGGCAGGUGAGGCCCUAUCCCUAGGUUCACUGGUGCUAAAUCCUACUCCCAACUGAAUAGAAUUGAACUGAUCACUAGACUGUUCUAGGCUUGACUGAACUGUUACUGAUCAUGUUGACUGACUGAACUGGACUGAGGUUACUGAUUUCUGUAACUGACUGAGUACUACUGUUUGUGAUGUUACUAAGACUAUUUUGUAGCUACUGCAAUUCUAGAUAAACAGCUAGAUUUUUGGGUAUUAAAUACCCCCAGGACUCGAUAACAUCAAUAGCAAAAUAUGCCAAAAUCUUAAAAGUAUUACAUUAAUUACUUAAUCACCAUGCAUUCAUUUAGACAUUUUGUCAAAUAUUUAAGAGACAUGAACUUUUACAUGAAUGGGACCACAUGAUAACAUGUCAUGAAUUCGCUACUCAAUUUACAUAGGCAUUCUAUCAAACACUUGGGGAACAUAAUUAAUGCACAUAGAAAUCAUCAAUAUAUAAAUAUCAUCGCUACAACAUUCAACUUGCAAAUUCAAGGGUUUAACAUGAGGAUCACAUGAUUCUACAUACUUGCUAAUUAAUUCACUCAAAACUUGUAUGAAUCUUUAUUUGAAAACCAUACAACAAUACAUACAUGAAAACAAUCCAGUUCAAACAUGUAAAUCAUGAAAUCAAUAAACUUGUAGUUUUAAAAGGGUUCUUGAACUCCAAGGGAGAAAGGAAACCCAAGGAUGAACACCUAACAUGCCUGAAUGACGAAAUUUGUGAAGAUUGUUGGGUAUUUCUUGGAACUUGAUCUUGAGCUUGAUGAACUAGGGUUUCUUUCUUGAGAGGAUUUUGUGAAUAAAGAAUGAAUUUUGCCCUUUAGGAUAUCAAAUUUAGGCUGAAUAAUGUAAGGAGAAAAUGAUCCAUUUUCCCCCACAAACCCAGAUAAAAUUUAUUGGAUAGUGUCCCCAUCACGUUACGACCCCUGUUAGGGUCAAGAGACCCCCACAAUGCGACCCCUGCUUGGGUCAAGCAUCCCUCACGACACGACCCUGAGCCUGGGUCAACUAGCCUUCGCAGUGUGGCUCUAUCGCGACCCCUUGCUAUUUUGGACAUCCAAACUCACCUUUACGCUAGUCUGAAAAAUCUGAAACUCACCUGAGAUGACCUACAUAUGACCUUGAUCAUGAAUCAAAUUAGAAAUAGACAUACUAAGGUCAGAAAGGUCAAAAAUAAGAUCCUCCAAUUUCGAAGGCUAAAAUAAUUCUAAGUUUUGACACUUGGCUGAAAUUUUCUAAGUCUGGGACCUCUUUUGGCAUGUAUAUAGGACUAAAAUGACUAGGAUUUUGCGAGGUCUUACAGGUAGCUGGGUCAUGUCCUAGCUAUCUAUAGUCAGUAUAGUAGAGACUUCAUAGAUGUCCGUUAGAGUCAGUAAUGUAAUUUCAGUUCUCUCCUCAAUUUUUAUCAGAUUGUAAAUUGUAUCAGUAAUAUAAUUUCUCUCAGAUUUUGUCAUGAUUAUAUUUCUGCAUAGCAGAAUAGCUAUUUAAUAUAUUAUAAUUCAAUUGCUUAACAGUAUGCUAGUUCAUGGGUUUGUUUGGGAUCACUUGUGGUUUCAAGAACCGUGUUACAACUAGGGGAUAGUCUCGGGUCAUGAUACCCAGGAAUAAAAUAUAAUUAUGUCUUAAGUCUAUCAAAUUGUGAUAGCUUAGUACUGCUUUUUAAGAUAUUGCUACUUCAAGAGCAAAUUGAGGCAUACAUAUAAUGCAUAGAAUAUUUUUCUAACAUGUCUUAUAAUUAUUAUAAGCGUGUAAGAAUAUUAUCACUUUUGAUUAUUAUUAUCAUAUUGUCCCUCUAGGCUUAUAUCUGUGCUUUCAAUUACUUGUCUUCUUUCAGACAUAUCAUACACUUCUACCACAUUCCUUUCACGAAUGGAGAAGUUGUCAACUUUCAGAUUCAUCAUACAUUGCUACCAUAUUCACUUCAUAGAAUAAAGAAUAUCAAUGGAAUAUGUUUCAUGACUUUUCACCAAUCACUAUUAUUUUGACUUAGUCAUCAUAAUAUCAUCAAUAUGGUGUACUAAAAUUCAAACUCAAUAUCUUAUCUAUAUAAAGACGUCUUAGGCUAUAACGUGACAGGACUUGAACCGAACAUCUUACCAUCAUGGUGCAUUGAAACUUUUAACCUAAUGUCUUACCCUAUUAAUGAGAUGAGACUUAAAUUCAUCAUCAUAUCUUUUAGCAAUAUUGUUCUUCAUGAACAAAUUUAAAGCAUAAGUGGUUUCAAAUCAAUUAUUUUUUCUCAAAUCCAACAAUAAUUAUAUCAUUAGUAGCAAAAGAAAAAUAAUAUAAGGAAUUACUAAUCCUAAAAUUACCUUUAUAUUUCUAAUCUCACCUUGUUUGGCAGAGUCUCAUGUUGAUAACGUGUUAUUAAAUAUAAAGCAAAUAAAAAGAAGAAUAGAGAGAGAAGAGAGAGUAACUCUUAUUUCUCUUGAGGGAUUCUCUUAAUGAGUGAAUUACAAUGAAGGAAAAUCCAUUUAUUUAUAGGGGAAAACUAACCUUGGGAUUUCUAACUUUUUCAUAAAUAGACAUCCACUAUAUAUGGUAAAGUAGAUAUUCACUAUAUAUGGUAAUAUAUUUAUAACAAAAUCAAAUAAUUCAAUUGAAAUAGUGAACUUUAGCUCAAAUCACACAACUAGAACAUGGAGCAUUUAAAAGAAUUACACAAGUAUAAACGCUAGGUGUGCGAACCCUAUAGACACAAGUAAAUAAAAAUAAAGAAAAAUUUGAUAGUUUCCAUGUACCAAGUGGCGAGAUACCAACAAUUAGAUCAAAUCACACGCGCUCUCCACCCACGCACAAUGUCAGUCAACAAUUGUGUUGCAUGAAAACAUCAAACAUAUAUGGAAUGAGUCAUAAUAAAUAAAACUCAGUAAAAUCCUAGAGUCACCCCUUUUAUUACACCUAGAAUAAAUUAGAAAAUCCAGAUACAACAACAUAUAUUACAUUUAAAUCAAUUAUAUCUCAAUAGAAUAUUGUAUCAACAGCCAAUGCAAAUAUUAACAGAACGUGUAUCACAUCUUAACAUAAAUAACACACAUGACUUGUCAUAAAUAAAAGUGAAAAAAGUUAAUCUACUACCUCGAUGAGUUCACGAAAACAUAUGUGAUGCCCCAUAAUAAAUUUUGACAACAAGUGAGUUAUGAGAGUGAAGAAAUAAUAUAUGAUAGCACAUAACCAUGGCAUGGAGUCAUGCCACACAAUGAAUCAUAUCCAUCAAUUGAGGAAAAUAACUUAUUUGGAAAAAAAAAAAGGAAAAAGUUCAUAAGUAGCAAACUUAAGCUCAUAAUUAGGAGUUUCAUAGCAACUACGUCAUAAUUACUUGAAAUGAAAACUUGUAUUUUAUAUUUUAGACACUUUUUGCUACUAAAGUACUUAUACAACGAGAUUUACUGUCCUUCUUUUACUCAAAUCGGUUGAGUUAAAAAAAAAUAAUUACCCCACGCAUUUAGAGUAGUAAUUUUUUUUCAUAAAUUAUUCUUAUUUAAAGCAGUAGAUUCCUUUUUUCAUAAAUUACUCUUAUUUAAACUAGUAGAUUUCUUUUCCAAAUCUAACUCAAGAAGAUUAUUAUCUUGAUGAUUUUCAAAAUUUCAAAAUAAAACAUCAUUACUGUUUUUUUCUCUUUCACUCUCUUAUAUCUCUAACUUUUUUUUUUUAGUUUUUUUAUCUUCUUUUUUUAUCAUUUUAUUUUUUAAUUUCAAUUUAUUUUUUAUUUUUUCUUUCCACUUUAUUUUCUCUCUUCUAUUUCUCUUCUUUUUUUUUUCUUUUUCAUUUUUUUUCUUUUCCUAUUUUCAUUUUCUUCUUUUUUUUCUUUUUUUCUUUUUUUUUUACUUUUAUUUUUUUCACUUCUAUUUCUCUUUUUUCUUUUUUCCCUUUUUCACUUCAUUUUUUUUGGACUUUUAUUUUUUAUUUUUUUAUUUUAUUUUUUUUCCUCUUCUUUCUCUAGCUUUUUUUUUAUUUUUGUUUUUUUACUUUUUAUUGAAUUUUUUUUUCCUAUUUUCUUUUGGGUUCUAUGUUAAAUUUUCUACAUCACAUAUACAUAUUCAAAAAUAUACAAAAUACAUAGAUAUAAAAAUCUUCAUAUGUAUUACAGUAUAACCGUAUUCAGUGUUUCGUGUUCCGUGUUCCAUGUUUAUUACGAAUCUGUGUGCUUUCCUCUGCUUUAUAUUCCUGCAUUCCUGCUUUACUCUGUUUUAUAUUCCCUAUGGGUGCCGUAUCUAUGUUAUGUCAUCUUCUUCUGUGCUGUACUAUGUGUUUGUGUGAUAUCUCGUGACUUGAGCCGGGGGUCUUUCGGAAACAGCCUUUCUACUUCAUCAGAGGUAGAGGUAUGGACUGCGUACAUCUUACCCCCCCCCAGACCCCACUAAGUGGGAAUACACUGGGUUUGUUGUUGUUGUUGUUUGUAUUACAGUAUAAAAAAUACAUAUAUAUAUGUAUAUGUAUUUAGAGAAAUACAUAUCAGACUC